GAAGUUUCUCCAAACAACGGCAAUCCCUCAAUGACAAGCGUCUUAGCUUUUGCAGCUUUCCCAGUGAGCUCGGGAGCUUAGAAAUUUUGGCACCUUCUAAUGAGAAUUCAGAGAGAGCAGUCAGAUAACAAAUUGAACUGGGCAGGUGAGUCAAUGGGAAGCAAUUUAAGCCACUGAGAAUUUCGAGUUGCUUCAAAUUGCCUAUGGAGAUGGGGAUCUGCCGUACAGAAGUCCCGUCAAUAAAAAGCUCUUUCAGAGCUGUCGUACAACCUAGUUCCACUGGCAACCAGUUCAAUUGGGAGCAGAACUUCAAAUUCAGGUAAACUAAAUGUUUCAAAUUGCCAAUUGAAGGAUCUAGCUUCACCAAAUGAGAACAUCGUUCAAGAAUCAGGAUUUCCAAAUCUUUGUAAUCAGAGAAGUCAGGAGUGAACAGUAAGUCAGAACACCCGGUAAGAUUCAAGACUUUCAAUUUCUUCAUCUGCAAAGCCAAAAGGGAAAACACGCACGUGGUCAAUUCGCAGAUAUUUAAUUCAACAAAGCAACUAUAAAACAACCAAAUGAAUACCAAACCACCUUGAUUUUACUCCAACCUCCCCAUUCUUCCGUGACUUUGCUCCAAGACAGAUCAAGAAUAACCAACUCUCUUAAUACAAAAUUUUCUGCUCUAAAAUCCAGAGGACACCUUUGCCAACAAAGCCACCUUAAACUCGGAAAUACACCUGCAAAAUCUCCGGAAACUUCUGCACCAUCCAACUUGAGAAAACUUAUGGCUGGCAUGAACGCAAAAUUUACAGCUGUUAAUAUGCAUAAAUCAUGAGAUUCAACCUCUCCGAUUCCCUACAUAUAAAAUAAGUAUCAUUAUCAUCAGAAGCUGUAAACCAAAAUACCAAUCAGGAAAAAAGGAUGCUUUCCUUGCCCCGCAUGCUAAAUAGUACAUACAUAAUAUUAUUCCCUCAGAAAAUGUGACAUAAAAAGAAAAAUGCAGCCCAUAUGUCAAGAUGUUUGUUUGCCGAAGACAAACUGAACCAAAAUUUUUUACCUUCUCCCUGUUCAUUGUUUUUCGAAUCAUAUCCUGCGUGAAAAAUCUACGUGAACUUGGAUCUCCAGAUCCCUCUUGCUUAAAAAUUCUUUUGCCAAAGCAUCUCAGCAAUCUGUGCAUCUGCAGUUCAUUGUUUUCUCCAAUUUUUGCCAGGGGCAUUAGAAUGCAACCAGAAGAUGGAAGGUAACAAUUGGGCCACAUAUAUGAAGCAAUUCGGGCAUCCACACCAGAGAUAAAACAUGCAAUGUCCAGAUAUAUAUCUUUUUGCAGAUGAUCCAGUUCUCCGUAACAUAUAUCCAAUAGCUCUUGAAGGCCAACCAUAGUCUUUUGAGAACUCAUCGGACGUGCUUUCAUUGCCUUCUCCAUCUUUUCCCAUUCUUGUAUUGAUUUACCCCGCAAAAAUGAACCGAUGACUUCAACUGCUAAUGGUAGUUUCUUUGUAGCAUCGACAAUGCAGUUUGAGAGUCCAUCAUAAUCAGGCAUGGAAGAUUGCAUCCUGAAUGCAUGCUUGCAGAAAAGUUCAAAAGCUUGACCAUCAUCCAACUCACUAACCUUGUAGGUGGGAGCCUUGUUGGAAUCAUACCCUUCGAGAAUUUCCUCAUUUUGAGAAGUCACAAUUACUCGACUACCUGGACCAAACCAAUGAAGCUGGUCUCCUACAAUAGCAUGAAGAUCGGAUGGCUUUUCCACGGCAUCGACAACUAUUAGAACUUUCAUUUCACAAAAUAUAUCCACGAAAUCUUUUAUUGUUUCAUCAAAAGAAGGAUCUUCAUGAUUUCGUUCAAGGAUAUCACGUAUCAACUUAUUUUGCAAAAACUGCAUUCCACCAGAACUUUGUGUGGUUUCUUCGACCUCUGCAAGAAAGCUACAACUGUCGAAACAAGAAGAGAUCUGGUCGUAUACAGCCUUGGCGAGAGUCGUCUUGCCAAUUCCAUCAGUACCAUAGAUUCCAAUAAUGCGCACCUCAUCAUUACCUUCCAUCUCCAGUAAGUCGGUGAUUUGUUUGGCACGAUCAUCAAUUCCAACCAAAUUCUGAACAGCUGCAAUUGCGUAAUUCCUAUCCGAGGCUCUCAUGUCUACUGUUCGCUGUCCAGCUUCAUCUUUCAUAUUCUCCAUGCUCUGCAAUAAAAAGAUAAUUUCUUCACCAAAGUAUUAUCAUAGAUGGAAAAAAGAACAAACGUCACCUGAUCAGUCUCUCUUUUCUAACAUUGCAUCACUUUCACACAUGAGAUUGGAAAUCAUUUUCCGAAUGAGAUUUAACCCUAGAAACAUUUUUGGUCACAUAUCACAAUAGGAAAAAUUAACAAAUUUUCUUGAAAAAUUUCCCANNNNNNNNNNNNNNNNNNNNNNNNNNNNNNNNNNNNNNNNNNNNNNNNNNNNNNNNNNNNNNNNNNNNNNNNNNNNNNNNNNNNNNNNNNNNNNNNNNNNNNNNNNNNNNNNNNNNNNNNNNNNNNNNNNNNNNNNNNNNNNNNNNNNNNNNNNNNNNNNNNNNGUUAUUCAUGGCGCGAAUCAUUUUCUCCAUGCACUCAAUAGUUAGAGAACAAGUUGAAGAGAUCGACGGAUGCGGUCGGCGAGGGAGAGAAGGCCGUGAACAGGGUCGACGCCGACGGUCUGUAGCUAUUGUUCGGGGGCCAGAACGGGCUCAAGUCUUGCAACAUGUGGGGCUCCGUCGCCGGCGAGAAGAAACCCGCGGAUAUCGCCGGCGGGGCCGCCGGCGUCAGUAUCAUCAGCCCGUCGUCGCCGGCCACCGCCGAAGGCCCGCCCAUGAACAGGGUCGACGCCCACGGGCUGUUGUAGCUGUGGUUCCUGAGCCAGAACGGGCUCAAGUCUUGCAACAUGUGGGGCUCCGUCGCCGGCGAGAAGAAACCCGGGGAUAUCGCCGGCGGGGCCGCCGGCGUCAGUAUCCCCUGACUCUGGGCCAGCUGGACGUCUCCCAACAUACACAUCAGCUCGUCGUCGCCGGCCACCGCCGACGGCCCGCCCAUCUCCGCGGCGGCGGCGGCAAAGCCCUUUUCCCUGCCCGUCGGGCUGGUCUGCUCUAUCGCCGCCACUCUGGCCGCCGGGGACACGUACCCGGAGGAGGUGGAGGAGGACCCCGUGAGCUGCUGGACGAUGGACAUGAAGUUCCGCUCCUCGACGUGGAUGACCUUCGGCGAGAUGUCGAAGAUGAUCGUGGGCCGUUGCCGGUCCGCCCCCGCCCCCGCCGGCGGCAGGUUGGUCGGGCGAGGGUCCCACGAGGAUGAGGACGCCGGGUGGGGCAGCCGGUGAGGGCGGGGCGGCUUCUGGACGGCGUGGGACUGCUUGGGGACCCGGAGCGGGGAGGGCCGGGGGCCCUGGGAGGGGGGAGCUCCUUCUUGGGCGGCGACGGCAGCGGCGGCUGCCUUUCCUCCGCCGGAGGGAUAGGAAGGCUCCAUGAUUGAGGCUAUAUCGGGUCGGUCUUGAUGGGGGAGGAGGAAGGAAAAGGAAGUGGGGGAUGAAUAAGAGGCCGAGAUUUGGUGGGCAGCGGUCAAAAUGGAUGCUGAAGCUAAGAGCAGAGCAGAGGAGGAGAGAGAAUAGAGAGAGAGAGAGAGCGAAUUACAUUUAUGACCGGAGAAAAGUCAACAAUUCAUCGAAAGGGUCCUCCUGUAAUUUUCCAAGGCCCCGCAUUCGUUGUUUUAUUAUUAUUGGCACUGAGCUUAUGCAAGGAGGAUGAUGGUUGGCUGAGGUGGGCAGAACGCCCCUCCUCAUUUCAUCAAUGGGCCGCACCGUCCUCCUUCUUCUAGAGAGAUUAAGGAAAGAUUAGAGCUUUUCACAUUUAUAACCCGUUUUUGCAUAUGAAUCCGGACUGAUCCUUAACAGGUUUAAAGGAGAAAAAAUAGGAGAAAUAACUCAUGAGGGAUUGGACUCCCCAAUGUCGCUUUCUGUAUUUCCAUCUGAAUAGGGAAGAGAAAGAUCUAACUUUGUUAUAAUGGGAGCAUAUCUAACUUAGCUAUAAGAAUAAAUAAGUAUGGUUUCUUUCUCUCUCUUCCCCUUAUGCUAAAAUCAAAAUUCUGGCGUCUGGUAACCAGAAUUGGAAGAGCAACAACAUUCAUUUGCCAGUCAGUUUGACCGGUUUGAUGUACCCUUUUGGAAAACAAGAAUUUCAAAACUAAAAAAAUUACCAACUUUUGAUGAGGAAGUAAGUAUGGCCAGAGCCCAUGUUUAACUGUCUGCCGCCACGUCAUGGGAAAGUUCUUUGUUAUUACCUUUUCCAGUUGUCCGGAUCUCUCUCGUUCUCGCGUAUAAGAAUCUCUAAUCAAGAAAUGCGGGAGAUAUCAUGUCUAGUUUCGAGGAAGGGGAGGCCGUCUGGACUUUCUUUCUUUGGCCUGCCUCAUAAUCUUUUUAUGUACUUCGACCUGUGAGCUAAUCUCGCUUUUGAGGAUCUCUUUCUUUGGCGUGCCUCAUAAUCUUUUUAUGUACUUCGACCUGUCACUCGACCCUAUGAGCUAAUCUCGUUUGAGGCAUUUAGUGGCACUUUUGAGGAUCGCUUUCUUUGGCGUGCCUCAUAAUCCUUUUAUGUGCUUCGACGUCACUCGACCUAUGAACUAAUCUUGCUUGAUGCGUUUAGUUGCACUUUUGAGAAAAGCUUUUAAGAAAAUAUAAAUGAUUUCAAGUUAAAAAAAAAAAAUAUGUAAAUUGUGUUUGUUAAGUUGUGAUAAAAAAUCCAUUAUGAAAUACUUUAAGUAAAAGGGUAUUUGAAAAGAAUAUAUUUACAGCAAAGACCGGCCACAGGCGAGGUCAAGCCUCGUCGGGUCCUCGCCCAAGACUAGUGAGCUUGGGUGAGGCAGCCUUGUUGACCUCUAGCAACCAUCCUCACCCACUCACUACUCUAGCGAGGUCCAAGCUCGCCUGUGGCCAGUUGUCAACCAUCGCCAUGGCCGGUGAUUAGACGAAGAAGAAGGAAAAAAAAAAAAGGAAAGAGAAUGAAAGAAAAGGAAAAAAAAAACAUAAAAAUUAAAAAUAAUUAAAAACUCGAUUUCAAAAAAAUAAAAAUAAAAAGAAAAUGUGUUUGGUGAGAAAAAUACUUAAAUAUAAGUGAAAGAAACAAGAUCUAAAAAAUGAAAAACAUUUUCCCUGCUUAUGUUUUUUUCAUUGAUAGAAAAUAUUUUCCUUGACUAGUUUAUUUUCCGUAAACCAAACGGCAAAAAAUCAAACAAACAUUUUUCUGAAAGUUAUUUUCUAUUACAAGCCUUCACUUAUAAGAGGAAUCCUCUCAUCCUUUCCAAUAAAAAGUCAAAUUAUGUUGAGGAAUAUCUUCAUUGUAUGAAAAAACAAAGAUAUGUAACUGACCUCGAUGGCAGCUUCGACUCCAUCCUUCAGCUGGUUAACAUCUUCAAGCUCAUUAAGGAUUGUUAUACUGCUGCCUCGAAUAAUAUUCAAGACUGGCAAAAGCUUUAAAUUUUUGCAUGCGUCCAAUGCAACAGGAUGGGAGAAUAUUGGUAAAGUGGGACGAGCAGAAAAGAUACCUUCCACCUUCCUGAGACGUCGUAAAUCUUCGAGCCCGUUAAGGUUUAUUGUCCGUUUGCAAUGAAAAACUUUCAAGACUUCCAAAAGCUUUAAAUCUUCGAGACCAUCAAUCUAUGCUAAAUCGCAGUCCUCUAGUUCUAGUUCUGAUAGAUGUUUCAGACUAGAAAAUUUUGGCUCUGGAAUCUUGCAGUGUUUGAGACGCAGAGUCCAUAAGUUUGAGGAGGGAAGUUGUGUGAGGUCUAGCUCCUUCAUGUAGGAUAAAGUGAGUUCCCGGAGCUUGGUAAGACCACGAAAAUCCCCAGCGAGAUUGGUGACAUUUGGAAGGGACAAUUCCAAGGUCUCUAGCCUUGUCAAUCCCAUGAUCCACCACAUAUUUGGGGUCUGAUUUGAUGACCCCGCUUCUAUCUGCUCAUCAACAUUCAAGCAUAGCUCUUUUAGAUUCGUCAAAUUUGUCAAUUUGAGGUCUGCCAUAAUUUUGGAUUCACAACAGAGAGUGACUAAACUGGAGGGCAACUCUGGUACUACUUGAAGUCGUUCACAUUUACGUACGUCAAGGGUUCGAAGAAGAGGGAGACUGCAAGCCCUGAGGCAGCCCCACCACAAUGGAUGACGAUAAUCUCAAAAUUCUCAAGGAGGAUAGUUGUGAUAUUCUCAAGGAGGAUAGUCCUGAAAUAUCACAACUAUCUUGGGCCUCCAAAUUUGUGCAGCUAGAGAAAUCUAUCUCUUCCAGUUUCUCUAACUUCACAAUAUCUUUAGGAAAUUUUUGUAGGGGGGUGCGUUCCAUCUUCAGCGUCUUCAAAUUACUCAAAUCCUUGACUGACUCUGGUAGUUGUGUGAUUCUAGUGUCCGAAAGGUCCAUUUCCUCCGGCUCCUUUAGCUUCCCAAUGGAAGAUGGAAGUUCACACAACUUCUCACACUUCCUUAGAGAAAGUCUUUCAAGCUUAAGAGGAAAAUCAAAAGUUUCUGGAACCCAAUCAAUAUUAGCACCAUCCAGAGCAAGACUUUUGAGUUUCGUCAGGUGGCCAAUUGGGGAUAUGUCCUUCAACUUUUUACAGUUACGAGCACUAAGUACUUCAAGGUUCCUCAAAGAAUUAUUUUCGAUAUGAAUUUCUACGAUGUCAGUUCCGUCAAUCAGAAGUUCCGUAAAAAAUCCCUUGCCACUCAGUUGUAGGAUCGGCAAUUGGAUUGCCUUGCAGUUUCUCAAAUUCAAGGAUUUCAAGCGCUUCAGUUGCCUGAUGAAUGCCCAAAGCGCAGGUGACCGAGUACAAUCUUCCAUUAUCAAUAUCUCCAAAUCGGUUGAAGCUGAAGACUUCAACAAUACCCUAUGCAGAUCACAUCCUUGUAGGUUCAAGACUUUCAAUUCCUCCACCUUCUGCAAUGAACGUGCAACAAAAGAUAUCAGACUUUACUCACUCACACCUAAAAUCUUAUCGAGAGAUUUAAAUAGUAAAUAUCAGCCAUACCUCCAUGAUUUGCCUCCACUCUUGUGGAUAUUUGGUGACUGGACUCCUAGACAGAUCGAGAAUGAGUAACUUCUUCAAAUCUUACAUAGCUCAGGAAUGAAAUGACAAUCUCGCCAAUCACCCUCUUCAAGUGUGAGACUAAUGCCUUCGACACUUUCAUUAUGCUGUCAAGUGUCGACGGGGGAAGACGGAUGAGUAAGUUGAAAAACUUUAAUUUCUUAAUCCUUUAAAUCAAAUGAGACAAAUUAAAUUUACAAAAAUCAAGUGGGUAUCCAUUUCGCGCUCCGAAUCGUGUUUAAGAACAAAUCCGUUUUUUUCCCUGCUCCAGAGAUUGAAUAGUUUAUACUAGGAAGCACGGACACUCUCCUGAGCCCUUCCGUGUCGCGACACGCAGUAAGUUCCGGCAUGCACUUGUCACAGGGUAGAGGUAGCAGGGGUUGGUGUUCUUGAGGGAGGCGGAGAAGCGGGAGGUGGAGGACUCGUGUGGGCGCCGCGCCCAGCGAUGAGUUCCCACCCAACGCCUCCGCCGCUGCAGAUCCGAUCUGGCUAGCUAGAUCUGCAGCAGCCAUGGCAACGACGGGGGAAUCUCUACGGAGCCCAAUCGCUACCGACAUCUCGAUCUAGCCUGUUUGGGCCAUGGACAAGCCGGUCGAGGCCAGGAGCCGUCGGAAUCUCGACCAUGGUCAAGCUUCCACUGGAAUGGCAUCCCCUGCUUCCACUUGGGGCUGCCGUCGCAUUCCUUGACGGUCAUGCGAGCUUCUUGGUCUGGAAGACGAAGCCGCCGACGACGACGAAGAGAGGCAAGGGUCUCACCGGGUUCGAGCACAAGGUUCGCCCGGCAGACGGGACACGUGGUUUGCAUCAGCGCCACGUUUGGAUGCGGACGCAGUCGCAACACAAAUCAUUUGCUAAAUAUAUUAUUAUGUCGAUUCUUUUCAAAAGAAUAUAUAAGAGAAUUCUGCAGUAUCGCGUUCAGCAUAAGAAUAAAUCGAUGUUGAGAACGUGUGUUUGAAUGAAUUACCAAAAAAACAUGUGCAUUAGAAUCAAACAAAAAAAAUGAUAAUUUAUAAUGUAUAUUUAAAAAUAUUCAUUUAUUAUUUAUUGUGUCAUUACGUGUUACGUGUUAGAAUUUUUCAUUUUCUUGAAAAAUGACAUAUCAACGUAUUAUGUUGCUUGCCGAUACUAUUUAGAAUUUAUGUUAUUUAUGGAUGGUUUAUCUGAACACAUUCGUGACCCUCUAAAAGAAAUUUCUAAAAGCUUUUGAAAACUUACCUACCAUCCUUUAGAAUGGAACAUACAUCAUUGAACUUCCAAAUCCUGCAGCGCUUUCGAAGAUCCUUCCCCUCGACAAUUUUCCUUCUGAAGUCUCUUAAUAGUCUGUGCAUUCUUAAUUUAUUAUUUUCUCCAUCUUCCAAGAAAUGCAUGUUGCGAAGUUCUUUUGUUUCAAAAGAAGGAUAGCAACCACAAGCCUUCCGCAUGUUAGAGGGAGUCCUCUCAUCCUUUCCAACAAACGAACACGUUCCCUCUAACAUCCUUUCCAACAAACGAACACGCUAUGUCCAGGAAUAUCUCCUUUGUACGUUCAUUUAAUAAAUCAUAAUUUGCGUUCAAGGCAGCUUCUACUUUUCCCUCAUGUGGAUGAUCUCUUAAGUAAUCUCGGAUAAUUCUCCAUGUCUCUGGAAUGUACUCAUCUUUAAAUAAUUUGCCCAAAACACAGUAGCCAUAGCCUUCUACUUGUGAAGAAGAAUAUGGAUACCUCGUCUGAUGUCUCUAAAGGGAGUGACCCCGUAGGAGAGUUUGUCGUUGCAAUAAUCAUGUCCUUGUAAUCCCUGUAGGGAAGGCCAUUGACAUUAGGAUAGCCAUGGCUUUGUAAUUUACGACACUUCCGAAUUGUUAUUAGGCAUUCAUCAAACAACUUCGUGUUAGAUUCGUCCAGCAGAACUUCCAGUUUCCGAUAGCUAGAAACAUAGAAAUCACACAAAAAGUCUAGCUCAUCAACACCAUCAAUAGAUUGUAGCUCAUGGCAACCGACGAUUGACAGAGACUUCAGCAUCUGUAAGUUUGAUAACUCACAUAUUUUGCUAAUAGGACACUUUUUAAUGGUUAAAGUCUCCAAUGAUUUCGAUGCAACAAGACUUGGAAUCUCAAUCAGCUUCUCACAUCUUGAAACCUCCAAAUGUGUUAGCUUCUCUACUUUCGAUGGAAUAAUUAGUUUCUCCAGUGAACUGCACUCAUAAACAAGUAAUGCAUUCAAAGAUUCUAAAUCGUUGAGGCCCUCAACAGUACGAAGCUCAUAGCAGUUUGAUAUAACCAAAAGCUUCAGCAACUUUGAGUUUGACAGGUCGUAUAACCUUUCAACGGAACCAUAGUACUGUACAUUCAUUUCUUCCAAGAACUCUAGGGCCUCCAAACCUUCAAUCUCAACUAGCUUCGGACAUUCUGAUAGCCGCAAUUCUUUAAGUUUCUUUAAGCUUGCCAGGAUGAAUAACCUUUGGAGGAGUUCACAUUUAGUCACUGACAAUGCUCUCAGUUCUUCGAGUCCACUGAGAUCAAUUUCUUGAAGCUGAGAUUGAGAAAGUCGUAGCUUGGACAAGUUUUUCAAGUUGGAAAAGAUUGACCAAGAUAUUAUUGAGUUGAAAUUAACAAGUUUUCAAGUUGGAAAAGAUUGACCAAGAUAUUAUUGAGUUGAAAUUAACAAGUUGCAGCUCUGAUAAGGAGGGAGGAAGCUUCAUGAUACAUUGCAAGUCUAGUCCAGAUAAAAUAAGCUCAGUUAGACGAGGAAGAGAACCAAACUGAGUAGGUGGUGCAGGGACACUAGAAAGAGACAAUUCUAACUUCUUCAGUUUAGAUAACCUCCUAAUCCACCCUAAGCUGGAACUUGGCAACAGAUAUGAUGAAGCUUUAAGCACAUCUUCAGAGCCAUCAGAUAAGAGCAAAUCAACCAGAUUAGUCAAGUUUGAGAGAUCCGAAAAAAUGUGCAAUGCUGAUGAUCGAAAAUGCAGAUAGAUUAGACUUUUUGGAAGCUCUGGCAAUUCUUGAACCUCAUUACAACCUGUCAACUCCAAUCUUUCAAGGUGGAGAAUAUGAUUGAUUGUUGUCGGCACUCCAGAAAUAUGGGCACCUAAUAGUUCGAGAAUUUUCAAAGAGGACAAUGCGCCAAUUUCAAUUGGAAUUUCACCAGUUAAUUCUUCACAAUCACUAGCAUGGAGCUCUUCCAGAUUCUUUAACAUUCCAAUAGUAUUGGGCAAUUUCCUUAUUGGAGUAUUCUCCAUCGAUAUCACUUUCAAAUUCUUGAGAUUUCCAAUUGAAUCUGGUAACUCAGCAAUUUUAGUACUGGAUAAAUUCAACUCUUGCAAAGACUCUAGCUUCCCAAUUGAGUCUGGGAGUUUUCUCAACUUAAUGCACCCAAAGAGAUAGAGAGAGACUCAAGUUUCACAAGCUUCCCAAUAGUCUCUGGAAGCGUGCUAAUUUGUGUGUACCUUAGAAUAAGGACAGACAUAAACUUCUUAUCACCAAUACAAUCAGGAAGGCAUUCAAUUUGUAUGUUUGACAGAUCCAACUCCUUCAAUGAACCCGGGAGUUUCAGAAAACAUCCACUAGAAGCAAGGAGCUUCAUAUUCGUAAGCCUUCCAAUUUCUUCAGGCAAAUCCUUAAGAGAGAGGUCCUCUUUAAGAUUUAAGUGAAUCAGGCGCUUUAGCUUCCCAAUGGAGGGAUCAAUCUCAACCAAGUUUAUGCAAUUGUAAAAACUCAGCCUCUCUAGACUGAAGCAUGUAGAGAAGUCUAGUGUUCUAAUUAUGCCUUCGCAACCUCUGAGGUUUAGAACUUUCAGAUUCUUUGCCAUCUAACAAAAAUGAUUCACCAUCAAGAGAAGAAAAUAGUAUAUAUUACAUCAUACGCCAAUUAGAAUCAAAGCGAAUGCAUAUCAUACCUUGAUUAGGCUCCAUCCACUCCAGUCAUCUGUGAUGCCGCCUGCAACGAUCUCAAGGACAACCAAAUUCUUCAUAGAUAGAUUGGUUACCUCAAGAUCAAGGGGCCUAGGAGAAUACCAAGAAAUCCACCUUAACUUCGAAAAAUCAUCCCCAAAGUCUCUGGCAAAGGUUCCCUCCUCUAAUUCAAGGAACCUUAGGUUGGGCAACCUAUUAAGUUCGUCAUGCGUAAUUACAAGUGGUUGAUAAUCACUUCCAGUUAAUAUGAGUUCCUGAAGUUUUUUCUUUCUCUGCCAAAGCGAACACAAAUGAACAAGCAUGAAUUUGAAAUAUAUAUAUUAUAGUAAGAAUUUGACAAAUUUUCAAAUUCUCGUUUGGGGUAAAAGAAUCGAGAGGCCUCUAAGUGGGAAUGUAAACUCUUUUCUACACGUAUCAAACUCAUGAAAACAGUGAAUUUUGUUUACCUGUUUUGUUCUUACAAUGUCCACGGCUUUCUCACAAAUCCACACCUGGCUACGCUCUCCAGGAUCAUGCAAGCACUCCCUUAGAACGAUGUGCCUCCCAAGAUCUUUGAGCUGGUCAAGCAUCCAUAAUACAUCACCAUCAACAAUCUUUACCAUAGACAUUUGCAUAAGAACCUGUAUCCUAGUCUCAGGAAAAAAUUGCAAGCUUCCCACAUGUAAAUUGCAUUCGUCUUUUUGGUGUUGUUGACAAAAAAACAAGCAAUGUCAAGAAAAAUCUCCUUUUCCUCAUCCCCUAAUGCUUCAUAACUGAUCAUCAACUACUGUCAGACAUCCUUACGAGGUAUUCUUGCUAGCCUCUCCACAGUCUCUUUCCAUAUCUUCUCUAGUUGGCGAUAGAGAAAUGAGCCUAUGACCUCAAGAGCCAAAGGAAGCCCUUUGGUUGUGACAACAAUUUCUGAUGCAGGAAUAUCGUAUUGAUAUGGUGGAUAAUCUUUUCUAAAAGCAUGUAUGCAGAAAAGCUUAAGAGCUUGAUCAAAAUUCAGUUCCUUUAAUUUGUAUAUCAAAUCCUCAUCCAGGACUUUUAGAGUAGCUUCAUUCCUGGUUGUAAUGAUUAUCCUACUUCCUGAACCAAACCAAUCUCGUUCCCCUGCUAACUUCUCUAGUUGUUCUUCAUUAUCAACAUCAUCCAAAACGAUGAGGACCUUUUUGCUGCGAAAUCUUGUCCCGAUCUGGUUAAUCCCAUCAUCAAUGUCAUGAAUGUUGUCCACGAAUCUAGAGUCGAGAAUGUUUACAACUGUUUUUGCAAAUUUACUAGGCCCCCUUUUUCUGAUGAUUCUCGAACAUCUCCAAGAAAGCAGCAAUCAUCGAAAUAAGAACAGACCUGGUUGAAGACAACCUUCACAAGAGUUGUUUUGCCAACACCGCCCAUCUCGUGAAUACCAACAAAACAAACACCUUCACAGUCAACAUCCAACAGCUUCAUUUCUACACGAUCAUCCACUCCAACCAGCUGAUUUUUCACGUACUUAUGCUUUAUCUUCAACUUUACCAAAACCUCUCGGAUGAUCAACUUAAUAGCUUCCCCAUGCCUGCCACAUAUACGAACUGCCUCAGUUGAAGAAAGACGGUAAAUAGAGAUGUCAUCAUUUCUUUCAAGUCAAAGCAAAAGUAUUUGGAUUUAUGCAUAGAUGAUUCACAAACAAGGAGUCAGUUAAGAAACAUACACAUAAUACAAAGGUAAAAUUUUACACAUGAGACGAAGGUCCAAUGUUUUAUACCUCUUUCCCAACAAUGUAAAUCUGUCUUCAAGCUUUCUCUCUUUUUUUCUUUUUCUUUUUUGUUCUUUUUAUACCAUCAAUAGGAAAUGCAACUUAAGCUUAAAGUUCUUCCUGCUUCAUGAAUGAUUUCCAAGCUAGAUUGAGCAAGAUGGAAUAAAUAACUGGACCUACAAGUUAAAUUAAAAAAAUUGAGUUGAGUAAGAGCAGAAAGAAAACUUAAGAAGAAGAAUUGAUGAAAAGAACACGCAGAAAAAGAGUGAAAAAUAUCCAGUGAAGGGUAAACGAGGGGCAAAGAAAAGAAGGAGACUUGCUAAAAUGAAGCUUUCCUCAGAAACCACUAGUUGCUUCACUCCUUAAAACAUCAGAGUAAAUUUGUGAUAUUAGAUUUCAGACAAGGCAAAUAACAUACAAACAAAAGCUUUGAAUAUCUUGGAACUUAACACACCCUCGAGUAUAUGUAGGUUCUAGAUCUACGGAAUCCACGUGUAUGAUAGAGGAGGUGUGCAAUAUUAUGUCAUUGCAAAUGCCUUCUUGAUAUGAUGCUUAAUUUUCAUUUACCCACCUGAUGUUUUUUUGCUUGGUCUCUGUUUAAACUGUACUCUGAUGUUUGAAAUUGCUUUCUAGACUAGCCAAAUGAAUGAAAUUUUUUUGCAGAACUUCCCGAUUUGGUUGGUAUACGAGUGACCACGACCAAAAUGGAGAUUUUAAUUAACUCAUCAGUUUUCUCCUAUCGAUUAUCACUUACCACUGAUGAAAGGCCCAUCAAAGUGAGGAACAGAAUAGAGAUUAUCCAGGCUCAUUAAUUUUGAAAGCUGGUUGCUGACUACUAAAAUGGAGCCUGCCAGAUUUCAUGAGUCUAUACAUCAAUGACCACACCAGACACAGAAUAUACUAGCAUCCAACUGAGACCCGGACAAUGUACAAUUACUGCCAACUUCUUCCCGCAUUUCAAACCGUCGAAAUUCCCAGAAAUCUUACCUAUGCAGAAAAUGGCAAAGACUGAGGAAUUCAAAUUGUACAUCCUAAUACAACCAUCAGAUUGCAUAUAAAUGACACGAAAAUAAUAUCAAAAGAACAGAAAAUUGGAAGAUUAGUAAUUACCCUCUCGUUUUGAGGUCCCAUCCCUUCAAUUCAGCAACUUCAACAAGAGCAUCCUCCCACCUCUUCACUUCCUCAACCCCAAACUUCUUCCUGUGCUUGGCCAUGGCAUUCCUGUACAGCCCAGUCCUGAGCUUCACAUCCGAGGGCGACGCGUCGAAGAACACCGGCAAGAUCUCCUUAUUCCCCUUCGACCGAGCCACGCAGUCCACCAUGUGGGCGACCUCGCGGAGGCACCACGAGCUCGAUGCGUAGUCCUUGGAGAAGAUGGGCACGUAGAUCUUGGACACGUCGAGCGCCCGCAUGAGCUCGCCGCCGAUCUCCCUGCCGACGCGGAGCUCCUCGUCAUCUCGGUAGACACGGAUUCCGGCGCCGAGCAUGUCGUGGUAGAGGCAAUCAGUAAAUCCCGUUCGAGUAUCAGGCCCCCUGAAGCUCAGGGACACCUCGUACUCCUCGCCGGCCGGCGCCGGCGCUACGCUGCCGCUUGCCGCGGCUCCGGGGUUGCUCGUCUCCUCUCUCCUGACCGUCGCGGUGGGUUUGCGGAAGAAUUUAGACGCUUUCGAUUUGACGAAUGCGAGCACGGUCGGAGCGAGCAGUCCCAAGGCCCUGACAAAGAUGCAACGAAGUUUGGAGACUGGCUUUUUCAUUUCCAUCUUCUGGGUUGGUGAGCUUUGAGGCGGAAGAGAAAAAGGAAGAGUAAGAGAGCGGCUUACAGUCCACCGAGCAUCAUGGCGGCGAACAUGGCGGACACGCCGCGGGGCGCGCGGUGGUAGCCGAGCGUUGGCGGCUGGCAAGACGAGCACCACGCGAAGGAAGAGCUGAACGUGGUCGGAGAACGACACGGCGCGUGCGGGAUGAACUUGAACCCCAUCGCGAUCAUGGGUCAGCUCGGUCUUCGCUUCGGAUCGGAUGUAGAAGACGAUCGUCCAAAGAGAGAUGUGCAGUAAUCUUGGCGUUCGGUCUGGUCAAAGAGUUGACGAUCGUCCAAACAAUUUUUGCCGCGGGCCUAAUUAUUACUACAAGGGAGCUUUAUGUGUAGCUAAAGAAGCAUAACAGAGACACAGGCGAUGGGCGUUUCCGCCAAACCACUGGCGCUCGUGUAAUUCGGUAAUUUUCAGAAUUUCUUCCUAAAUCAUUUUACGCAAUGAAUGCGCUUGUCUUUCUGAUAUCCUUAUUUCAACUUUAGUAAAACGUAAAUUUUCACGAAUUGAGAAGUCAUAAUCUUUGCUCACAUUCAAGUUUUGGUUAUAUGUUUGGCCGGUUGAUUCUAAAAUUGCCUUAAAGAAAGGUCUCAUUUAUUCUUGUGAUUUUUCCAAUUUUUUUCAUCCUUAAGAAGGAGAGGCUUUGAUAGCAAAUGCAGAAAAUGAAUAAGGAACAGACUGGACAUCUUUUAGCUUGUUAGAUUGAACAUUAUGUCUAUUACAGAAGUUAAAAAAUUAAUGUGCAAUAAAUUGAGAAGAGAAAACAAAAGCCUCCGUCUUGGUGAAACUUUUGUCAUCACCAUCCUAUAAUCAACUCCAGGAUAUUCGGGAACCUGACAACUCGAUUAACUCGAAUGGAGAAUGGCAACACUGAAGGCGGUGUUCAGGAUGAAUUUUCCCAGCAGAGUCGACGAAAACACGGGCCUGUGAUGGCUCACAAUUGCUGAGUCCCUGCAAUGUCGCCCGUGGAUCCUGGAUGUUACUUUCUCCUUCGUCGCCUCUUUUUCAUCGUGAUCGAAGAGUUGAGUGGCAGCGGAUGGCUUUUGGAUGCAUCCUACAGGCUACAAAUAACGGUAAAUGGUGUUUUGGUGAAUCGUGCCUUCAUAGAAAAACGGGAGAAACUGAACACUGACAAAAUAUGCAGCAAUUCGAGCGUAGGCAUUUACCUUCAGCAAUUGCCUCGACAAGAUUCUUGAUGCCACUACCAAUUGCCAGACGCGAAGAAACUGCCUGGUCUUUUUUGUGCCCCUGCACUGAUCCAAUGCAAUUUACACAUAAGGGAUGCGCAGAAAUGGUAAAAUCCAACUUCGUUUUGAUUAAAAAGACUUGUAAACAGAGCUGGAGCAUGUACCUUAGAGAGGUCGCCCUCCAGUUUCUUAGACUUAUAGGAAAUAUCCUGUCGAAGAAUCAAAAUGUUAACUUCACAUUCACAUUUGUGAGACAAAUGCAAUAUUGCGAAUGUCCACUUCACAUUCACAUUCGCAUAAUUCUGAUAGACUGGCGAGAUCACAAGAGAAAACUUGCACCUUCCUGAGACGGGGUAAAUCUCUGAGCCCAUCAAGGUUCGUUAUGCUGCAUUCAGAAAUUUUCAGGACUUCCAAAACCUUUAAAUUUUCAAGACCAUCAAUCUUUGCUAAAUCACAGUUGUCUAGUUCCAAUUCUGACAGAUACUUCAGACCAGAAAAUUUUGGCUCUUGAAUCGUGCAAUGUUUGAGACGCAGAGUCAAUAAGCUUGAAGUUAAGGGAAGUCGUGUGAGAUCUAGCUCCUUCAUGUAGGAUAAAGAGAGCUCCUGGAGCUGCGUAAGGAUACCGAAGUUCCCCGGGAGAUUGGUGACCAAUGGAAGGGACAAUUGCAAGAUCUCUAGACUUGGUAACCUCGCGAUCCACCCAAUAUUCGGAGUCUUUAGAUUCAAUAACCUCAUUCGCCAUUUAGCUUCUGGCUGCUCAACAUCUUUCAAAAGUAGCUCUUUCAGAUUCGUCAGAUAUGACAAGUCAGGGACUAUCAUUUGUUUGGAUCCCCAGACGAGACUGAGUAAACUGGAGGGCAACUUCGGUAGAGCCUGAAGUUGGUCGCAGUCGAGUAGGUCCAGGGUUUGGAGGCGUGAGAGAUGGCCAAUACUUGGACUCAGCCCAGCCACAUCGGAUGACGAUAAUCUCAAAAUUCUCAAAGAGGAUAAUCCUGAAAUAUCACAGCGAACUUCACCCUCCAAAUUUCUGCAGCAGGAGAAAUCUAUCUCCUCCAGGUUCUUUAAGUUCACCAUAUCUUUAGGAAAUUUUCGUAGGGGAGUGUGCGCCAUCUUUAGUGUCUUCAAGUUCUUCAAAUCCUUAACUGACCAUGGCAUUUUCGUGAUUCCAGUGUAUGAAAGGUCCAUUACCUCCAGCAGCUCGAGCUUCCCGAUGGAAGUCGGAAGUUUACCCAACUUCCAACAAUUCCUUAAAGAAAGUCUCCGAAGUUUCUGAAGAAGUUCAACAGUAUAUGGAAGCCCAUCGAUAUCAGCACCAUCGAGAGCAACACUUGAGAGAUUCCUUAGGCGGCCAAUUGUGGAUAUAUCUUGCAAAUAUUGACAGUCACAAGCACUAAGUAUUUCAAGAUUCUCCAAAGAACCUUCUGGGAAACGUAUACUAUAAAUCCCAGUUCCAUCAAUCAGGAGUUCCCUCAAAGAUUUCAUGCAGCACAGUUCUUGGGGCAACUGCCUGACUCCGAUGCACUUUCUCAGAUUUAAGGAACUCAAGUUCUUCAAAUCACUAAUGAAUGGCCCAAUUUGAGAUAACUGAGUGCAAUCUUCCAGUAUCAAAAUCUCCAAAUUGAUUGGAGCUCGAAAGUUCAACGACGCAGGUAACUGAACACAUCCUUGCAGGUUCAAGACUUUCAAUUCAUCCACCUUCUGCAAUGUGGAAAAGAAGAUUCAGACCUUAACCACUCGUAUCUAUCAUCUUAACACAAGAUUUAAAAAGCAAAUAUCCGACAUACCUCCAUGAUUUGUCUCCAGACUUGCGAAUCUUCAGUGACUGGACUCCAAGACAGAUCGAGAAUGACUAACUUCUUCAUAUGCAUAUUAGCUAGGUCAGAAAUCAAACGGCAUGCUGACCAUUCAAGCCAUCUCAAAUUUGGAAGAAGAUUCUCGGUGUUUCCCUGAAUGUUAGCCCGGUCCAGUCUAAGGUACCUCAAAUUCGACAUUUUAUGAAAUUCUUCACAUGUAAAACAGACGAUGCAACCCUCUUCAACCGCAAGACCUAUACCUUCGACGUUUCUAGUAUCCUGUCAACCUCGAUUGGGGGAAAAAUGUGUGAGUAAUUUGAGAACUUUAAUAUCUUACUCCAUUCAAUGAAAUGGAGCAAAUCAGACUUACAAAAUCAGUGGUAUCCACUACGCAUUAUAAAUUGGGUUAAGAACAAAUCCGUUUCUUUUCCGUUCGAGAUUGAGAAAAGAAAGGUAAGUUUAUGCUUUCAAGAGGUUCUGAAACUUACCUUACUAUCCUUUAGAACGGAAACUGCAUCACUGUGAUUCCAAAUCCUGCAGCGCUCAUGAAGAUCUUUUCUCUCGACAAGUUUCCUGCCAAAGUCUCUUAGCAGGUCAUGCAUUCUGAAUUCAUUAUUUUCUCCAAUUUCCAAGAAAUGCAUCUCACGAAGGCAUUUUAUUCCUCUAGCAGGAUAGUAACCACAAGCCUCCCACAUGUAAGAGAGAAUCCUCUCAUGCUUUCCAAUAAAAAAGCAUGCUAUGUCGAGAAAUAUCUUUCUUGUAGGAACAUCUAAAGAGUCGUAACCAACCCUAAAGGCAGCUUCAACUUCAUUUGCUUGGUGAUCUUUUAAGAAUUCCAAAGUAUUUCUCCAUAUUCGUAUAUCAUCCUUAUUGUUGCAUAAAUAUGAGGCCGCAACCACAAUAGCUAAAGGAAGCCCUCCAGUAGCUUUGACUAUGUCCGUGGACAGGUAAUCAUACUCAGAGACAUCUUGGAGAGCAUCCCCUUGGAAAGCAUGCUUACGAAAGAGUUGAAGAGCAUGGUGAUAUCUCAUGGGUUCAACCUUGUAUUUUUUGGUUGGUCUGUUGUCAAAUCCAUCUAGAACAUUCCUCAUGCUUGUGGUCACAAUUAUUCUACUUCCUGGACCAAACCAACUAAGUUUCUCGGCUAAUGCUUUAGCUUGUUCAACCUCAUGCAAAUCAUCUAGGACAAUGAGAACCUUCAUUCUACUAAAUAGACUGGCUAUUUCUUUAGUACCUUCAUCAGAAGAUCUAAGUGGUGCAGGUUUUUCUUUCUGGAGGUCAGCAAUCAACAUUUCUUGUGAAAACGUGAUUCCUUUUGAAUUAAUACCUGGAAGGAAGCUACAUUCAUCAAACAAUAGAUGCAUCUUGUUGAAGACAACCUUUGCAAGUGUAGUCUUUCCAACACCUGGCAUUCCACAUAUUCCAACGACACGUACAUCUUGUCCACAUACUUCGAUCGCCCGUCCAUCAUUGUAGACAACACCAAGCUUUCUCAUCAUCUCUCGAACAUGAAGAUCAAUUCCAACUAGUUUAUCGGUUACAACUUGGUCAUCCUUCUUCAACAACUGCCUGACCCGUCUGAGAACUCCUUUUACAAGCUGGGACUCGUGCCUGCAAAACAUAAGUGAUGAGGCACAAAAAUGACAACAAAGUUACCAAAAGUAUUAAAAACUAAACAAAAAUCAAGUGGGGAAUGAAGCGGUGAAAAUUGAAACAACCAACAGGGGCAGGGGGAAUCUUCAAUUAAAAUGGACAGCAAGUUUUAAUGCGUGGGCUAUUUCCCUUUCAUGCACAUAGCAAUUAUGGCAUCGAUUUCAUGCCAUCUGCAAAACAAAAUUUCUAGCGAAGGGGAAAAGAAUAGGGCGCGACGGACCAGUACAUCUGGUCUAGCUCGCGGUUAUGUUAAUGAGUCUAGUCAUUUUCAAAUGGCCGGUGUAAUCGAGUCACCAGUUUUUCAAUAGGCACAUCGAACUACAACUUGUCAAAUCAUCGACUGAUUUCAUAAGAAUAAAUAACCUCAAAAACCUCUUGAGCAUGCAUCAUGAAUGAUAUGAUUAUAUAUAAUAUUUAUUCGAAAAGGUUUGGGUUCAUUUUCACAUCACCCUAAACCAUUUUUUUUUUCCAUUUUAUCUAGGAAAGAGAAUGGAAACCAGAAGUAAAAGAAUUACCCCCCAUAUACGUUAUCUAGAUGAUAUCCGCUUAAUCCCCCAAUCUGUCGAAGAACCUCCUUCCAUUUUAUGAUGGUAUUUGAGCUGACUCCGUCCUUCUCAUGUUGACGGAAGGAUGUUUCAAAAUGCCCAGCCUGGUGUUUUACAUCGGAGGGACUAAUGUCAUAGAAAAUCGGGAUGAUAGUCUGUCCAUUAGAUAUUCUGCACUCCCACAUUUGUACCACCUCCAUGAGGCAACUUUUACUGGAAGCAUAGUCUUUGGAGAGGAUGGCUAUUGAGAUCCUCGACUGCCUGAUCGCCUCUUUUAGCGCCGGCUUGAUCUCUUCUCCAGUAUGGAGAUUCUCGUCAUCCUUAAAGACCUUGAUCCCUGCAUCUACCAAUUUGCAAUGAAGGUGAUCCGUGAAUCCUUUGCGAGUAUCUGCACCUCUAAAACUCAAGAACACUUCAUGAUUGGUUAUGGACAAUGACGAUGAGAUCGAAGAUGAUUCCUGUCAAAUCAAGGAAACUAAACCACUUCAUAUAGUGAAUUAGCAUUUCAUAUUAAGAUUCCGUUCGUUUCAUGGAAAAUGUGACGUUUCUAGAAAAUGUUUUUCAUAAAGCUAUUUUCAAGAAAAUGAUAAUAUUUUUCAAUGUUAAGCUGAAACUUGAAAAUGAACUAAAAGAAUAUUUCCCGUUGUUCGAUAUAGAAAAUUCUAUUCGAUUUUCCUCCAUGCACUCAUUUUAAUAAAAAUUUUAUUUUUCCAAUAAGUAGAUUUUUUAUUUUUUUAUUUUCUUUCUACUUUUUUCUUUUUUCCUUUUUAUUUUUUCUUCUCCUUCUUCUUCUUCUUUAGUUGAUUGCCAACCAUGGUGAUCGACCAAAGGCGAGCUUGAGCUUGCUGGCCUCAAAAAGGCUAGUCGAUCUAGCGAGGCCCGAGGUCAACGAGCUUAAUCCUAUGGGAAGGCUCAUGCUCAUCGGCCUCAAGCCUUGCCAAAUCGAUGAGCUUGAGGCUCACCUAUGGUUGGUUGCUGGUCGUUGCCAUGGUGGCGAUCGGUCGAGAAAGAAGGAAAGCAAAAGGAUAGAAAAGAAAAUAAAAAGAAAAAAAAAAUAAUUUUUUUGGUAAGAAAAAAUAAUAAUAAUUUUAGUUUCUUAAAAAAUGAAUAAAAUAAAAUAAAAUAAAAAUAAAAAGAAGUGGGGGUUCGCAGGGAUGUGAGAUAAGAAAGAUUGAGUAAAAAAUAUUUUCUUUUAUUUAAAAAGUGAAAAAUAUUUUCUCCCCAUUUUAAAAGAUUUUUUUCUCUUGGUGAAAAAUGUUUUUCCAAUCAAUUGGUUUAUUUUCCGUAAAACGAAAGGUGGAAAACUCGGGAAACAUUUUUUUGAAAAUUGUUUUCUGUAAAAUGAAAUCUCAUAAGUUUGCCCAAAUAAAAGAAGUAAAACAAAGUUUUAUGAUUCUGAUGGAGACCUACCCAACACGGCAAACAAGAUGCAACUGAAUCUUGCCACUCAUACAUCGACUUUUUUUUAUAUAAAAAAUUCUUGGAACUUUGGUAACACUCAAAAUGUUGAUAUGUGAGUUUGCAAUUUUUUCGUAAUUUUCUACUAAACAGGCCCGGCGUACAAUAUCAACAGUGCUUGGACUUUCAAUAGCGUUGUGAUUUUUGACAUUGAGGGGGUCUGAUCGUUUCAUGUCAAAAAGUUUUGCUCCAUUCCAGAGGAUUUUUAGGAUUUAGUGGGUCGAACUACAAGCAGAGGACCCACUCCGACGUACGCAUGUCGAAGAAGUUCUAAAUGAAAAUACAAAUCCCAAAGAUGCAGAGAAAACUAACCCGGUUUCUUCUCCUCAUUUUGAAAACAACUGCAACGACAAUCAUUCCGAGAACAAGAAACCACAUGGACAGUUUUGCCGUCGACGAACCGUGGACGGAAACAGCAACUGCAGCACCAAACGUUCCGCCAAAAACAAACUUCCUAAACGGUUUUGCCCACGUCCAACCCAUUGGGAAAUCAACAACUGCAAGAACCGUCAUUCUGAGAAAAGGAAACACCACGGCCAUUUUUGCCUUCGUCGAACCCACUGCGAAACCAACAACUCAAACGACAAUCAUUCCGAGAAAAAGAAACACCACAGCCAGUGUUGCCUUCUUCGAUCGCACUGUGAAAAUGAGAACUGCAACAACAAUCAUUCUGAGAAAAAGAAACACCCGAGAUGGUAUUGCCGUCCUCGAAUCCACGGCCAGCUCUCUCUCUCUCUCUCUCUCUCUCUCUCACACGCGCAGAGGCCCAGGAGGCCUAUAUAUAGACAUCAGAUGCCUUUAAUACAUGACCAAGACGGUUGACUUCUGGGCAUCCGCCCCGCUGUUGGGGUUGGGCGACGCCGAGAAAAUAUCACGCGAUGCCAAUCACGCCGCCGUGUUGACUGGGCCGGCCCAAUCAUGAGGCAACACGUGGCUCCACUUGAAGCCGGGGCCCCACUUUUAUUUGGAGUCACGCUUUUGUCUCCCCACGUUUCUCUCUUCAUCAAUUGCUUCGUACUUUCUCUGGCCAUUUACACGAAGAAGCGCCCUCCCCCUCUCUCCUUCAAAAUUGUCUCCUUCUCUUCAUCGAAUCCGACUUUUCUUCUCACCCAAGCCACACGAAUCUUAAAAUCACCAAAAAUAAUAAUAAUAAUAAUAAAAAAUAAAUUCCACUAAAAAUUCUAAACUUUAACAAUAUAAUAAAUUUAUCCCGAAUUAUUUUAUAAUACAAAAAAUCUUAAAUUUUAUUAAUUGUAACACAUUUAUCUUAAAUUUUUUUCAUCAUAAAAAAUUACAAACUUAUAUUCACGUGACACAUUUACUCCAAAUUAUAGGGUACUUUCAUCUUUUACCUUUCAAUUUUUCCUUUUUUUUUCUUUUUUCUUCUCCUCUCUUUAGAGAAGAAGAAAGAAAAGAAAAGGAAAAAAAAUUAAAAAUUAAAAGACAAAAAUGCCCUUCAACAAUAAAGUUUGGGUAAAUAUGUUACAACUAGUAAAGCUUGGGGUUUUUUGUAUCUUAAAAAAAAUCAUGAUAAAUUUGUCACAUUAAAUAAAAUUUAGGAUUUUGGGUGGCUUUUUUCUAAGAAUGAAAGGGAGGCCAAACUUUGUCAUGUCACUUCUUUGACGCUUGUAUCGACAUUUGCCAUUCAAUCCUCCAUCUACAGCAGAGAGAAUCUUAAGCAUGAAAAAAAGAAAAGGCAAGCCAAACUUUGUUAUUAACGAGAUUGUCAAAAGCCAGAAGAGAAGCACUCACGAAAUCGAGUGAAACCAUCAUAUUGCUCCACCUGAGAAAAAAGGAAGAUACUUUGAUCACUUAUUUUAUACUUAAGAAGAAAAAUAUAAUUAACAUUACAGCAUAUGUUAGGGUAUUUAAACAUCAACUUAUCAAGAAAAAUAUAAUUAACAUUACAGCAUAUGUUAGGGUAUUUAAACAUCAACUUAUCAAGCAUGACAACAAAAGUAAAAGCUACUCCAAUUAGGUUCCAUCGGCAACAUUUACAUAUAAGCAUACAAGUUGCAAAAGAAGAAUGGGGCAUAUGAAAACCAUGACUUUGACAUCUGGAUCCACAGAUGGUACAAUGAUUCUAUCGAUGGGCAGAUCUUUCACUUCAUCUAGGAAACACUCUAUCAAUGGUACAGCUAGAAUGGGAUUCUAGCUUUGAUUCCCAAAGCUCAUCAUAUGUGCGAGUUUUGUAAAGUUGAGACUUCCUGGAAUGCAUCUCUCUAAUGCUCAUCCUCAUUUUGCGAAGAAAUAAAUAUAGAAGCAAUUUUGUCAUCCCCAUUGUAUCAAAUACAAUGACCUGAGCAUAGUGAUAUUGUUAAAUGGGUACAAUAUGACAUCAUUAAAAUAAAGAAUACUCCCAUCGAUACCUUGUAAUCAAGUGCGUCCAAAAUAUGCUCCUUGAGAAAAUGAUGAACAACUUGAAAAUGCAUGUCAUGAGGAGCAACUACAUAGGACUAGUUAACUUGUAACGACACGUAAAAUACAUGUACAGCUAAUCAAACAUAAAGAGGAACUAUGGAUAUAUGACACAUGCAAUAUGAUCCUCAUGCUCCUCAUAAUUAGUUGAAAAUAGUAAAAAAGUGAGAAAUGAAAUAAAUAUAAUAGUAAAUUAGUCCAUUAUUAAUACCCAUGGUUGUGUUGUAACCACCACGCACAUUUGGAAUAUAAUACAUGACUACGGAUAAAGGGCAAUCUUGGCUCACUCAUGGUUCCAUAUUUUGACACUUUAAACUACUCCAUCCCAAUAUGCCUUCUCAUGAUGAGAGUUAGAGUGACCAUAGCAAACUUAACAGCUCGAGACAAGACCCGAGGAGAAAUUUAGAUGUCUUAGACUGCUCAUGAUGAUCAACAUUCAGCAGAACACCACAACAUAGCUGGGCACGAGUCUCCACACAACCGACAUUUACAAAGUCAAUGAAAGCAUGUUCUCUUUUUCAAACAAGCUGAUAUAUCUAGCGAACCUACACUGUUAUGAUGAAUCACAGAAAUGUCAUGAAAAACAGAGUUUCUAUGAUUCCAAGAUUCAAAGAAGUAGUAAGUAUCAAUUUUACCUCUUUUGGCAUGGUUGCAGAAAAUAGAAGACUUUUUGACGAAGAAGACAGUAAAAAAUAGAACGCUCUCUUCUUCUUUUUUUGGCCAGUUUUGCAUUUCUUCACUUGCCUUCUUUCUUUUAGAAUUUUUCUUCCUAUUAAGCAAUGGUUUUUCGAGUUUACCUUGGUUCAACCAGUUUCCCCUUUGACCUGUUUUUGGGUUUUUUACCAAGUACAGGUCCGAGUGUCCAUAGCACCGGACGGCCAGCCAUUACCCAGAUGAAUCUGUCAAGCUUGCGAGUUCUGUUUGAUUUUAUAGAACAUUGUCUAUGGAUCCAAAUGAAGGAAGUUAACAUGCAAUUUCUUCUCACAAAGUUCUCCAGAAGUUCCAUUCAAGAUCAUUAUGGCAUAAAAUAUCACAGUUUCUCAUAUAUAUAGAGAAACAAAGUUCCAGCGCUCUCUAAUCGCUACUCAAAGGCUCUCCAAUGUCAUUCAGAUGGAAGACAUAGAGGACCAAUAUUUAAAGAUUUGAAUAGAUAAUAAAGAAGUGAAAAUGAAAUUCAGAGUCCUUCUCAAUGGGAUGUGUGAAAAAGAAACGAAUGGAUCGGAGCACGGAUCCUAACAAUCAUCUAUUCAAUUGCUUAAACACUUUAUAUGGAGGAUCUCAUUUUAAAUGUAAGGCCCUUGGCAACUAAUAUGAAAAAUUGCAACGACCUUUUUGUACGUGCUCUGGCAAGUACAUACACUAAACAUAGCACGUUAAAUCUACAUCUUCGCAAUAGCAACUAAAAUGUGCAUUGCCUAACUAACUUUUUUAGUCAAACUUUCUCAAUGUAUGUUGACAAUGCUGAAGCAUCAUGGUUCACAGGGGAGCUCAAGUUAUGUUCUCUUGCAAUAUCUUUUAGCAACUGUUCUCUAUAACAGCAACUUCAUUUUGACAUUAUUUCCACAACGUAUGAAGAAAAGUUCACAAUUCAACAUCAGUCAUUAAUAAUAUCCCUAAGAACGAACCUUUGAAGUGGAAAAAAUAAUAAAUAAAAAAAAGAUGCACUAGCACAUAUUUUACAUCUCAUCGCAUGAGAAGAUUGCAGAAAUUGAUUCAUAUGAACACGUAGGAGUUACCUACUAAGGUACAAUUUUCGAUGAUGCAUAGCUUUUGAUCAAAUGCCUUCUUGUUUGACAUCUGAAGAAGUCAGAGAGCAUGCUUCCGAGAGCAUGCUUCCAAGAACUUAGGUGUGGUCACAUAAAAACGGAUUAUGAUAAAAUAAGAAAACAAGAGUAACAACAAACUGUAUUUGACGAGACGAAAAAAGACUUUUCAGUGGCAAUAGCAUAUAAAGAUGAUGAAAUAAACUGGCAGGUGGUUCUCCUAAGUUAUUCGAUUGAAUUGGAUCCUUUAGAUAUAAGUGAGGAAAAAUGGUCAACUUGGUGAUGAACGUAUUCGGUCAUAAACUUUUUGCUAAUGUAAUCUUAAACCUUUUUAUGAAAUGUUAAUAUAGUUAUUCCAAUUAAUUUUGACUUGAAUUUUCCAGAUUAUUUGGGUUCCCCCCCCCCCCCCCCCUCUCUCUCUCUUUAUGGUUACUGUAUCUUGUUCGCUGUUCGUAUACCGUUCACCUCUCUGGGUAAACUCCUCCAUCUUUCCUCUACUUUCAUCAGUCAAUUACCGGCAAAGUAGUCCAGAAAGAAAAAUCCGAACCCCUUUCCCAACAUUUUUCCAGAUCAUUCCUUCCUCACGACUUACACCAUCAAACAUUUUGGGUAAAAACCUCCGGUCGCUGAAAACGACCUAGAUGGAGAAGACCGACUCCUCGAGAUGCUAAUAGUUGUCAAAUUCACGGUUGAAUUUGAUGGCCCGGGGUACGUUUCGACGAAACAUCGCUCUUGAUUUGCGGUUUGCGCGGAUGGUAGCUUUUCGGUUGGAGCGGGGCUUGAAUUUAGAGCCGUCUGUGUUGAUGCUUGAAAGCAACGGCGCUCGAGGCCUUACGGUUCAGCGGGAUAAUGAUGUGGACGAGAUGAGGUGCAAUGUACAUUCGCUCGGUCCUUUCAUUGAGGAACAGAAAGAACGUUUCUCGUACGUUUCUCGUUUCUCAUGUUAGGGUGUAAGAACCAGAGAUCGUUCAUCUUAUUCUCUCAACUCUUCCGGCUAAAGAGGGACAACGAAAGAGGUGAAAGGAACCUCUGGAGUCUGGAUGGGAGUGGAUCGGGGCGAGAUUUGAGGUCGCCGAGCCUCCUUCAAGGCCGUGGAAGCGUCGUUGUCCAUGGUGGCUUGACUUUAGAUUCGAGGUCGUCGUCCGUGAAGCUUGUUGGCCGGAAGUCUCGUGAAGGUUUCCCUCGUCCUCACCCCUUCUUCAGCUUCAAACAUGAAAAUUUCGCUUCAUUUUUCAAAAAUGAAACUUGAAGAAAUGAACAGUAAAAAAUAAAAAAAUAAAUAGAAAAAAUAGAAAAAUAAGUGAAAACUCUAUUGAAAUUUCACAAUUGAGUUUAUCCACAUUGUGCCUCACAGGACCGUUCACAAUAACUGUACCAUCAGAUUAGUAAAUUCAAGCUAAAAUUUGCCCAAAAAACUCUAUUGAAAUUUCACAAAAAGACUUAUAAUUACAGAUUAUUGCCAGAAGACGUAUAUUGAUUUUUUUGGUCAGCAAGGCAACACAAGCCCAUGCAUUUUCUAUCAGGAUCAUUUAGUACUAAAAUCUUUUACCAUCUUCGGACAAAUCCUGUUCUGGUUUCGGGAUUACAAAGAAUUUUGUUGUUCAAUUUGCACAAUUUCGGCAGUGAAGUUAGAGCUUCGUCCCUUGAUGACGACCGUAAUCUUUGCCUUCCUUACUCGACCUUCUCUCUCCUUAAGUCUUGUAAUCGCAUCGAGCUUCAUAAGUUCGCUUGCGCAAUCAAACAUAGUUGCUUGCGUCUUCUUCCUAGUAUCACAAAUGGAUUUAUGUACUCUCCUCUUCUUUUCCAUGAAACUCAUUCUAAUCAUGAUUAUCAAUACAGGCAUGACGCUGUCGAGAAAUUUAACAUACGUGUCACGUUAGUACACUCAACCAAUUUAAAUAUCAUACGUCUUCUCAAUUAUUUACAUCUUCCUCCACCCUUCCCGGAGGAGCACAAUCACUCCAUCAAUUCGUCAAUAGUCCAGGCCAACGACUCUAAAUCAUUGACUCUUCAAUUUCCGAAGCACUAUGGAGAAGUUGCUUGGAACCUAUGCAUCUGCUUCUUUGACUUGACUUGAUUUUUCUAUUAAUUUAAAAAAAAAUAGAAAAGAAAACCAUGGAGAAUGUCUUCAAGACACAUUCAAAUAAAUUUAUCACUUUCAAUACACAUCAGUAGAGGUGAGCAUGGUCUGGGUUGGGCCGGUCCACCCCCUAACCCUAGAACCAAUCCGCACAAUGCCGGUCCUCAAUUUUUAGGAACGAGGACCGAUCUUAUUGAGCUUGGAACCAAGGACCGAACCGACCCAAUGGGUUCGGUUCAAUUCUAGGAUCAACUCAAAACCAACUGAUAAUUUUUUUAUUUCAUUUUUUGUACUCCUUAAAAAAGCGAUUGAGGACCAGACUGACCCAAUGGAUUCGGUCUGGUUUCAAGGUCAAUCCAGGCUAACCAAUAAUUUUUUAUUUCAUUUUUUGUACUCCUUGAAUGGGUAACAGAGGAUCGUACCGACCCAAUGAGUUCGAUAAUGAGUAAGGUCAGUUAAGAAAGGCAAGCGGUGAGAGUCAAGUGGGGUGAGCUUUAAAUAGAAUGAGCAUUGAAUGUCGAGUGGGGAGCAACAAGCCAAGCGAGUAUCGAGCGACGAGUGGCACGAGUGACCCAAAGCGAACAAGGCGAUGUCAAGUGGCGAGUGAAGAAUUUUUUUUCGAUUUUAGCAAAUUAAAGACUAAAAUGAGAAAUAAGACAAAAGAGAACGAAUAUUAUAGGAGAAUGCCAUAAGGUGCUUUUUCGGAUGCCGUGUGUGACAGCUUGAAUUUUCAGAUUUCGUUUUCGAUUAAAUAAAUCGGGCAUUUUGUCGACGCGCUGAUAGUGCUAUUCUCUGAGCUGAUCACUCACGAGAUAACUAGACUAUCUAGGUAAGCAAUUAAGGAAUUUAAAUGCAAUGGAUUUGAGAAUUUGACUAGAAAUCAACUGCUCGACUGUGUUGAUAUGCAUGAGUCAUUAUGGCACCGUAAAAAAUCGAUCAAAGACCGGAGAUAGAUCGAUUUGAUUGAGAUAUGUGAUUAGUGCAUGGGUGAUUCCACCUAAGCAUUAGACCGAUUUUUUUCAUUUAUGUACUUGGUGUCCGUAUUUGAAAUCUCGAGAUUUUCACGACAACCGGGAAUCGUCAAUGUGUCGAAAAUGCACUAUGUGACUCGAGAUAAAUCGAUCACGGAUCAAUUGCACUAAAAAUUCAUAAAAACUACAUGAUAGAUUAGGUCACGCUAAAAGCGCGCCAAAGUGAAAUUAACCGUGAAUGUGAACCCGAUUUCAGAAAUUGAAAGUUCUAUGGUGUCACGAGCUAUUUUAGGAACGUUGACUCAUUCUCCCAAAAUUUUUCAGAGAUUUCGAGACUUUUACGGAAAUUCGAUUCGAACGUUGCGGAAAUUAAUGGAAAUUCGAAUGGGCCGAAUUGAAGUGAAAUUUGGACUUCCAAACUAAGCUACUAGGUGAUGGGAAUUUGUGGAAACGUGGGAUUUUUUUUCGAUGAAAUUGGUCAUCAAAUUUGGAGAACUUGUGAAGAAAUUGAGGUCAAGAUUAUGAAAUUCGGAGCUAUGGAAGGGAGUAGUAAAUUUGGCUUCAAAUUGGAUUAUACGGUGGAUUUAUCUACGAGAAAGAAGUAAGAGACAAAGUAGGAUAGGAUUGAAGGUGAUUAGGGGACAAGCCUUUAAGUGGGUAGAUAAGUAUUGACUUUCUUUUCUUUUCUCUCUCAAGCUUCUCGCCUACGCCUGCAGCUGUUCCCCUCCAUCACCGCCUUUGAAGAAUUCCGCUCCAUCACGUUUUCCUCUCUCCACUUUCCCCCUUCGAACACCCUGCCUUUCUUCCCUGUCAUUUUUCUCUCUUCCACCGAUCGCUUCAUCCCACCAUUUCAGCAACCCUGCAGCUGUCCCACCAUCGAUUUCCUUCCAUCUUUCCCCACUCACGCCGGUCAACAAACCAGCCACAGCUCCUCCUUCCUUCGUGUCUUCAGCCACGCGUCUCCACCGAUCCACCAGCGUGCGUUUUCUCUGCAGCAAACCGGUCAACACUCAGCAGCACAAAGCAGCCGGUGUUGACCCCAAACAUCCACGCGGCCAACGCACGCCAGCUCACGUCCUCCACCGAAACCGCUUCUGCCCAGCCUGCUGCCACUCGCCCGUUCGUGUCUUCGGUUCCAGCGUCCGUCGAAGUUACUCGUCCCUUCAUCCGUUGACGCCAACUCCUUCGUAGCUGCUCCUUUGAUCGGCCCAUCUCCAGCAGCUCGCCCAUGCACGAAGCUGCACGCGUGCAAUCGAGCCCAGCGUUUGGCCCAUUCUCCAGCAGUAAUUCCAGCGUCAGUAAAGCCUUCUUGCAGCCCGCAUGUUCAGCCUACGUGAGUGUUCAAGUCCAGCGAAGCCCAUCUCCUUUAGCAGCCCAUAAUUUGAAAUUUUCAGCCCGUGAAGCCAAGGCCCAGCUUUUUGAAGCCCAGUGAAUUUUUGAGGCCCAAGCCUAGUGUCUGCAGUGAGCCCAGUCCAAUGCAAUAAUAAAUCUCAAUUUGGGCUGAGAUUUGUUGGGCCCAUUUAGGCCCGGCCUGGGAGUUCGCCGAGGCCGCCGAAAAUUAGGAUUUCGGCCGCCGUCACGCCGUCAUCACAGUGAACCGGUUUUUGCAAUUAACCAGUGAGCUUAUACUCUAAACUUUUCUUAGUAGGCUAAUGACGUUUAAUAGGAGUGUGCAACCGAUCCGGGUCAACCCGGUUCUUGGAUCGACCCACCCGGAAAACAAGGUCGGGAAUCGGUUCUAGUUGAAACCGUCCCGAGAACCAGUUCCCAAAGUUCAGACCCUAUUUAAACGGGUCCGGGAAUGGGUUCCAAGGGAAUACCCACCUAGGAACCGGAUCGAUCGGACUAGUUCGAGAACUAAUUUGAGAACCGGUUUUUAAGGCAGCACCCCAAAAGUCCAACCAAAACCCUAAUUCGUAUUUUGUUUCUAUCUUUACUCUGCUUCCGCUCUUACCUCCGUCAAUCCAUCUGAGCAUUGACUCUGCUUCUGCUCGCCCACCAUCACCUUCCUCCGGCGACACCCGCAGCAACACCAGCUUCGUCAACAUCAUCGAUCUCCAGGGCGGCAAGGUGGGCUUCGGCGCCGUUGCCCCCGAGUCCAAGCUCGACUCGUCGUCCUCUAGAUCAGCGCCCCCAUCUUGGUCCUGGCCAUCCUCACCGCCCUGAUGCCAUCGGCCUCGGACACGAACGUGACGGCGCUACUUGAGAAGGCCGGGUGCAAGACGUUUGCGGGCCUCCUCGUCUCGAGCGGGUCCUUGAAGACGAGCAACGCCCCGAUCAGCACCCUCUCUCCAUCCUCCACCUCACCACCGCAUCAUCGUAACUCUCUCUCUCUCUCUCUCUCUCCGCGCGAUGCAUGCGAUAUUCUUCUCGGUCGAGCGCCCGAAGUUCGUCUUCUACCGUGAUCGAUUUCAAUUGCAGUGGUCAAAACGUGACUCGUGAAUGUCCUGUGCGGGAGCAGGUAAGGUGCGGGCGAUGUCGGCGGAUUUCCUGGCGACCGUGGCUUCUUAUCCCAAUCCCGACGACAAGAUCAGAACCACCGAUCUGAAGGUACUCGAUGAGUUUAACUGUCGUAUCACUCCCCGACUACGAUGCCGCUUCUUUACUUGCUUCCAUGUGCUUUUGGCUACAAGUGCUGGUCGUCUUUGCGCCAUACUACUUUCAAUUGAUAGUGGCUCUCUGCAAUAUUCGUCGGAUUCGAGUGUGUUGCAUUGCCUUUUUUUCCGUAAUGAAUUAGGGGUCUUGUUAAUGGCAUGACGUGUUGAUGCGGAGCGUUUCGCAUGUGCUGCUCUCGAAGACAUUGGGAGAGUAUGUUAUGGUCUGGUUUGUCGGUUUUUCAAGUUCAAGGAGGCGGACAAAAUUGAUUUCUUUGCCAUUAUUGCCAUGUCUUGUUUUGUCUUGAACCCAUUUUGCUUCAGCUUGUUUAUGUGAAGCUUGUAAUUCUUGUUCGUGACAGAGAUAAUAGGAAACUUGUAUUUUCACAACACUGAAGUUGAGUAAAAAUGGAAUAAUUUCUUAUGUUAGACCAUGAAUUACAUAGUGCCAAAAGAUCAGCAUUCUACAUUUCCAAUGCACACCUAAUGAGAGAUUUGAUUUACUAUGUUAGACCAUAAAUUACUUUCUGUCUCCAAAGUUAUGUUGAGAGAUUUGAUUUACUAUGAAAAUUAAUAUGUUUUUGUAAAAUCCUAAUGUUAUAUAAUUUUUUUUUUUAGUUUUCAGUCAAUGGAUCAAGAUAAAGACGUAUCAAUGGAAGUAGAGGGACAUAAUGAAAUGAGUUCACUCAUGGAAUUGCCAUUCCAUUGGUCCAAAUUUUAUACAUGUUCCCAAUGAGUUUGGUGGAAUGAUGUGCUUGGUCCGGCCUUUUUGUUUCAGCAGACAACUCAUCUAGACUUGCUUCUCUAAGCUUCAGCGGACAACUCAUCUAGACUUGCUUCUCUAAGCUAAAUAUAAAGAUACAACAAUUUUUAUGCAAAACAGGUUCCAAUAUAAACAGGGUUAACCCUGUUCCCGGACCGGAAAAAUAGGGUGAGUCUGGAACAGGAUCCAAUGCAAACAAGGUCAGGAACAGGGUCCAAAAAAAGAGAACCGGUUAUAACAAAGUUGAGUACAGGGUUCUAGACCCUACCCACCCUUGAUCCGAUCACCCCUAACGUUUAAGGGAUGUUUAGAUUUAUUUAAUUAGAAAUUAGGUGGUUAGUUAGAUUAAAUUAGAAAUUUAAUUAAUUAAUUUAGCAUGUUAGGUGGUUAGCAUGAUUUAGAUAAAGCCUAGAUAAAUUGCACUACUUGUUCAAAAGGGUUUGGGAAUUUUCCGAGUCCGUAUUGGUAAAUAGUUUAAUAAUUUUGGCCUAGGUUAGUAUUUUUAGAAAUUAAAUUGAUUUAUUUAAUUAAUUUUCGAAAUUAAUUAAUUAUUAAUUAUUCUUCCGGAAAUUAGGCUGGGAUAGCCGGUGAAUGGAAUUUCGUACUAAUUACAAUGGUGUAGUUAAUUUCUGCAAUCGAGUGCUAAAUUGUGAAAAUUGAGUGUUGAUUGGAAAUUUGGUCAAUUAUUCUAAAAUUUAUGAAUUUCGAUAUUUAUCCAGAAAAUCCCGGAUGUCGGGUUUUAAACAUUGAAAAUGGUUUUAUAUACUAUAUAAACCUGUGGGAUUUUGAAAAGAAUGUUACAAAUUUUCCGGUUCCAAUUUGACCGUAUACCCACACACGACUAUUUUCACUGAGUGUUUUUAAUACGAAGAAAAUGGGCUGGAAUCACCAUUUUAAUUGAAGCAUUUGAAUGCAAUGCACGGUGUCCUGGGUCGAGAUUGAGUGAUCGUGUGCCAAUUAAGAGAACCCGUCCCCGAACUGUAUCGAAUGGACGUUACCUUAUAUGGGAUACCCACUUAGUGGGAUUUGGGUCGCAAUAGAUUCUGGAUCUAUACUCAUUCGAGGAAGUCAUCUCUAAGAGAGACGUAACCGUGCUUAAUGGGAUGAGACGAUGGUUGGCUACGCUAGUAGACCGCCGAAAUUCUAGUAGGUUGUACCCUCAAGUGGGUGAAAUUAUCAAUUGGAACACAUGUUGAGUGAAAUAGAUGCGCCGGAUUAUGGGACAAAAUUGUGUAAAAUGGUAUAGGACGUGUCAUAAUGAUUUGGCCUUAUAAUCUGGACCCUGUAAUUUAUUGAGUUGAGUGAUGCGUUUCAAUUAUUGUGUGUAUCAAUUCUAUACCUAAUGUAUAUGAACUGUGUUGACCUACAAGGAGGAACUGAGAUGAGAUAAGUCAUCUAUGCUAUAUACGUGAUUGUGUGGUUAGGACGCUCUUAGCGUAUUUUCCUCCUAAUUGGGAUUUAGAGCUUAUACUUGCUAAGAUUAUAUCCCACCCCGUUGUGGGACAAUAUUUUCAGGGUCGUCAAGUGGAGGAUCGGGAGCCGAGAGGAGGUGAUGUGAAAUGUAGGUCAGCUAGGACCGUCUUUUUUGGAAAGUCAAUUUUUGUGGUCUUUUGGUCAUAGACCUUGUACAUGAUUAUGUGAAUAUAAAGGCAUAUUUGUUUGUGAAAUUGUUGUCCUGCUUUUCUAUCCCGAGAUAAUUACUGUCAAGGGAUUUCUUUUCGCUUCCGCAUGUGCAAUAAAAUGGAAAGGGUCGACGACUCGUCCUAAGAAGUCGCAAAUUAUUAUCGACCAGAUAGGGGUGGGCAUGCGCUCGGGGUUUGGGAUGUGACACCGUGAGAACUCCUCAUAAAAAUAUUUUUCUCCUUCAUAAAUUAUGACUAUUGAUGCCAUAAAAGACAUUAAAAACCUAAGUUAUUAAAUAACAAUGUAAAAUUACUUGAACUCCUCACUAAAAAACUGUUUAAUGUUGUUGAUGCCGCUUAUUUUAAGGUUUUAUUUUUAUAAAAAAAUUAUAAAAAUUAUUUUAUAUAUAGUUAUGGUAGAUUCGGAUUGGACCGACCCGGAACUCUCAAAGGACUAAAGACUGACCUGCACAGUGUUGGUCUAGGAAUUCUAAGACUAAGGAUCGACCUAAUCUCCCUGGAAACUAGACCAGUUGCAGUGAGCCGAUCCAGGGUUGGUCCACGGUUGACCCUAGACCGAUGCUCACCCCUACACAUCAGACUUCACUUUUCAAUAUAUAUAUCUCAAAACAAUUUCCCAAACUAAACUUCUCCAUGACACAUCAUGCCUAAAGAUGAAAUCAUACCCUCCCAUCCUAGUCACUUUUUUUUGUCCUUACAUUAAUAUUUGUUAACAUUUUACAUUCCUUUUAAUUCCGCAUCGCGUUACAAAUUUCUGGGCAAUGAGUUCUUUAUGAUCGAAUAGUUUAUUCAAUGAUGUGUUCUCUUUUUUAUUUCAUUGUUUGAUGACCUUUUUAAUAUUGUGUUAAUGCUCAGUAUAUGAAGGGUCAAAGUAGAUAAUAUGUACAAAGGCAACACGUGCUUUCUAUGAUACUUCAACAGUGCUUAAAGAGAGAACAUAUUUAAGAACUAAUUCAUCUUUUCUUCUACCUCUGACCCAAUUUCAUUAGCCAAACCACUUAUGCUUGUGUAACUCGUAAUUUUUGGAAUUGCUUCCUAAAUCAUUUCAUAGGAUGAAUGCACUUUUCCUUCUAAUAUGGUCAUUCCAAAACUACGUGUGUUAUGUACUGUGCACACGUUGUGAAACCCUACUCCCUCACUCAUAUAUUCCCAUCCCAGCCUCUAAAUUGCAUGGUCCCAUUUAUUCUUGUGAUUUUUCCUUCUUAUUUUUCACCCUUGAGAAAGAAUUUGCUGGUCUAGAAAGAAAAGCUUUAAAACCAAUAGAGAAUGAACAAGGAAUAAACUAGAGAUCAUUUUGCUUGCAAGAUGAAGCAUGAUGUCUAUUAGAGAAUUUAAAGGUUCAUGUGCUAUUAAAUUAGGAGUGAAAGCUUCAUCCUUCCAUGCAUGGCCCUCUCCUUUGUAACUUAUUGAAUACUCGUUUAUUUCUAAUUAUGAAAAAAUUACCAAAACAAUCAUAAAUAUAUUGCAACAUUUUCAAUCCAGUCAUAAAUAUUUUGCAAUUGUGUCAAUUCAAUCCAUCUUGCUAAAUUUAGCCAACCGAGGUUGACGUGGAUGCCAACUAACACUAACAUGGUAAUUUUUUAAUAAUAUUUUUUCGAAUUUCUUAAUUAUUUUUUAUUUGUAUUUCUUCUUUAUUAUUUUUUAUUAUUUUUUCUAUGACCACGGCCAAAGGUUACAACUAGUGAGACCUCACUGGCCACUAGUGAAGCCUCAUCAUCACGGGCGAGCUCAACCUCAUCCAAUGACAACAAGGGCGAGCUCGCCCACAAUGAUGAGCCCUUGCCAAUGUCCAGCAAGGUCUCACUUGCUGCUAGCCGUAACCUUUGGCCAAUUCAACGACUAGCCUGAAGAAGAAGAAUAAAAAGAAGAAGAAAAGAAAAUAUAAAAGAAGGAAAAAAUAAAAGAAAAACAAAAAUUAAUAAAAAAUCGAAAAAAAUUAUUAAAAAAUUGCCACCUUAGCACUGACUGGACGGCUCGACCAGCAUUCACAUCCAGCCGGUCAAAUUUGGACGGAUGGACUGAAUUAACAUAAUUAUAAAAAAAAAAGAGUUUAUGAUUGAAUUGGCCAAAAAAAUAAAUUAUAACUUAAUUGAAAAAAUUGCAAUAGGUUUAAGAUUGUUUUGGUAAUUUCCCCUUCUAAUUACUGCAGAUCUUUAAUGCAAUAAUCAUAAUAUAAUAGUAGUUAAUUUGAUUUGAAAAAUGCUAGCACAAGAAAAAAAAAGAUUCAUUAUCCAAUUAUAGUGUGUAGUAUAGAAAGGACGCAGUAAAAAAUUAAAUUGCAAUAACUAAUAAUGUAAAAAAUUGAUAAAGUGAAAGGAGAAAAGAAAGAAAAAUCAAUCUUUUAGACCAUUUAUUCGUAUAUAACCAUUCUAUGAUAUCCUCUUUCCAUAGAAUAUGACUUUUAUUAACCUAAAGGAUGAAGGCAAUGAGAAACUUGCUUCGGAUCCAAAAAUAUACGGAUACAGAUCUAUUUCAAGGUUAGUGCCUAUUUGUUUUGCGGAAAAUAAAUAAUUUGAAAAUAUAAUAUAUUAGCUAAUUAUUUCAAAUGAUUCAAACGAUCAUUUUUAAGAAAAUAUUUUCCAAAUCAUUAUACGAAGCACAAAGCUAAGUGUAGGGAAAUAUAAGUGUACACAUAUGAAGUGUCAAGUGAUAAUAUGUUAUAUCUUAAUCUCAAAGAGGAAAAGAAAAAUACAUAUAAAUCGCAGUUCAAGAGCCAUUUUGUCUUCUGCCAACCACUAUGUCAUUCAAUUUGGCUCCUCAAAUAACAAUCCCACCUCAUUUAUCGUACAAAAGUACUAUAUAAAAGAUGAUAAAUGAAAGCAAUUAUCAAUUAAGAAAAUAUGCCAAUUCUGUGGUAAAGGGCUGUUGAACCAGUGGGGACUGGGCAGGGACCCCAACUGAGUAAUACUUACCGAUGUAUACAUUGAAACUCUUAGAUGUGAAAAAAAUCAUCUAAAUCAUCAAAAAGAAAUAUAGAUUGUUGCAAAAAUUGUGACCGAAGAGAAUGUAGGUGGAUCAGAAUACAUUUAUUCAAGCGAAAUGUAUUGCAUUAAUUAUUCAUAUUCAAUAUAAUAAAAGUCGAAAUUGACGUAUUGUGCAUAGCAAUUUAUAUACAUGCUAAUCAACAACAUUAAUUGUUUGAAAAAAAAAACAUAUUAAUUGCAACAAAUCGCCAAUUACAGAUUCGAUCGGUUCUUAAACAAAAUCAGCAUUAAUGACUCAAUGAGCCAAAGAAUAGGAACCUUUAACUUUUUUAAUUGUUACAAUACUUUUACCUUUUUCAAUGAAUAUGUAUUUUUUAGUAAUAUGGAGGAGAAGCAGAAGUAAAAUUAAGAUAUGACUCGACAAAAAGUUCUGUUCUCCAUGUUUUGUUAUUAUUUUUUUAUAUUUACGGAUGAAUACAGAGCAUAUCCCAUCACGAUGAACCCGGAUUGUAUCCAGAGGUGCGAGUGGGAAGAAAAUCGAAUAAGAAGAGGAGAAGAGAACAAUGGAUGAAAAGUAUCCUUUCCCAAGCAGCAGAUCAAUUCAAAGGCGCAUCUCUCUCCCUCUCUCUCAACAUCGCAAUCAUCCUACUCAAUUUCACGAUCACGAGCGCACUCUAUUGUAGUUCCUUCUGAUUAGAUCUCCGUCAAAUCCAUUUCACAUCGCCAUCAUAUAAUGAACUCAUGGAGAUUUGGGAACCCGAUGAUUCGAUCAACUGAAACGAAUGAAAGCAAAUUUGGAGGCGGUGUUGAGGACGAAUCUCACCAGCAGAGCUGAAAAAGGUAAAGGCUGGUGAUGGCUCACAUCCACGGAGUCCUUGCAAUGUUGCCCAUGGAUGCUGGAUCUUGUUUUUCUUCUUUGUCUUCUCUUUCUCAGCAUGAUCGAAGAGUUAAGUGGCAGUGGACGGCUUAAGGAUGCAUCCUGCAGGCUACAAAUAAUAGUAAAUGGUGUUUUGGGGAAUCACACCUUUAUAUAAACAGUACAGAUAGGAUGCCAACAAAAUAUGCAGCAAUUCGAGUGUAGGCAUUACCUUUGGCAAUGGUUUUGAUGCGAGAUUCUUGAUGCCGCUAACAAUCACCGGACGCCAAGAAUUUGCCUGGGGUAUUUUGUGGCCCUGCGCAGAUCCAGUGCAAUACACACAUAAGGAAUUCAUGGAACCAAUAAGAGCUAACUUUGUUUCAGAUAAAAAGAAUUCUAAACAGAAUUGGAGCAUGUACCUUAGAGAGGUCGCUCUCCAGCUUCUCAGACUAAAAGGAGAUGUCCUGUCGAAGAUUCGAAAGUACAACAGUAGUUCGUACAGGACAGAGACUAUUAAGCCCCCAGGCAUAUGUCCUGUUCAACACGUUGGUCUAAUUCUGGUAGACUAGGACGAGCAGAAAAGAUACCUUCCACCUUCCUGAGACGGCCUAAUUCUUCGAGCCCAUUAAGGCUUAUUAUCCGGUUGCAAUGAAAAACUUUCAGGACUUCCAAAAGCUUUAAAUCUUCAAGACCAUCAAUCUUUGCUAAAUCACAGUCCUUUAGUUCUAGUUCUGACAGCUGUUUCAGACUAGAAAAUUUUGGCUCUGGAAUCUUGCAGUGCUUGAGACGCAGAGUCCAUAAGCUUGAGGACGAGGGAAGUUGUGUGAGGACUAGCUCCUUCAUAUAGGAUGAAGAGAGUUCCCGGAGAUAAGUAAGGGCACUAAAAUUCCUGGGGAGUUUGGUAACAUUUGGAAGGGACAAUUCCAAGGUCUCUACACUUGUUAAACUCGUGAUCCACCCAAUAUUUGGGAUCUGAUUCGAUGACCCUGCUUCUGGCUGCUCAUCAUCAUUCAAGCAUAGCUCUUUUAGAUUCAUCAGAUUUGUCAAUUCAGGGACUGCCAUGAUUUUAGAUCCCCAGUAGAGAGUGAGUAAACUGGAGGGUAACUUUGGUAGUGCUUGAAGUUAUUUGCAUUUACGUACGUCUAGGGUUUGGAUGCAAGAUAGAUGGCAAAUCCUCUGAGGCAGCCCGGCCACAUUGGAUGACGAUAAUCUCAAAAUUCUCAAAGAAGAUAGUCCUGAAAUAUCACAAUGAAUGUCCCAUUCCAAAUUUAUGCAGAAAGAGAGAUCUAUCUCCUCCAGGUUCUUUAAGUUCACAAUAUCUUCAGGAAAUUUUGGUAGGAAAGUGUGCGCCAUCUUCAGCGUCUUCAACCUCCUCAAAUUCUCAACUGACUCUGGCAAUUCUGUGAUUUUAGUAAGUGAAAGGUCCAUUACCUCCAGCAGAUCCAGCUUCCCGAUGGAAGUUGAAAGUUGAAUCAACUUCUGACAAUCCCUUAAAGAAAGUCUCUCGAGUGUCCGAGGAAAUUCAAAAGCAAGUGGAAGCCCAUCAAUAUCAGCACCAUCCAAAUCAAGGCUUGAGAGUUUCCUUAGGCGGCCAAUUGUGGAUAUAUCUCGCAAACGUUUACAGUUACAAGCACUAAGUUUUUCAAGAUUCUUCAAAGACCCUUCCUGGCAAUAAAUUUCUUGGAUGCCAGUUCCAUCAAUCAGAAGUUCCGUUAAAAAUUUCAUGCAGUACAGUUCUUGAGGCAACUUCCUGACUUGGCUGCAGUUUCUCAAAUUUAAGGAUCUCAACUUCUUGAGAUUACUGAUGAAUUGCCUAAUUUGAGAUAACCGAGAACAAUCUUCCAUUAUCAACAUCUCUAAAUUGAUGGGAGCUGGAAAGUUCAAUGAUGGAUGCAACUGAACACAUCCUUGUAGGUUCAAGACUUACAAUUUAUCCACCUUCUGCAAUGCAUGUGCAAAAGAAGAUAUCAAACCUUACUCGCUCAUAUCUAUCAUCUUAACACGAGAUUUAAAAAGCAAAUAUUGGCCAUACCUCUCCAAUUCCUUCCCAGAAUUUUGAAACCCUGGUAACUGGACUACAAGACAGAUCGAGAAUCACUAACUCCGUCAAAUGCAUAUUACAAAGCUCAGGAAUUGAAUGGCACUCUCGCCAAUCAAGCCACCUCAACUUCUGAGGAAGCUUCAUAGUAUCUCCCAGGAUGUUAGCCCCGUCCAGUCUGAGGUACCUCAAAUUCGACAUUUCCCAAAAUUGUUCACAAGUAAAACUGUCGGUGCUGCCCUCUUCAACUGUGAGACCAAUGCCUUGGACACUAAUAGUACCCUGUCAAGUCUCGGUUGGGAAAGAACAUACGAGUAAGUUGGAAAACUUUAAUUUCUCUUACUGCUUUUAAUGAAAUGACACAAAUCAUAAUUACAAAAUCAGUAGGUAUCCACUACGCGUUCUAAAUCAUGUUAGAAAAAAAUCCCUUUUUUAUGUUAUCUAUGAAUGGUUUAUCUGAACGCUUUUGUGACCUUCUGAAAAAAAAAUUUAGAGGCUUUGCAUACUUACCUGACCGUCGUUUAGAAAGGAAAGUGCAUCGCUGUGAUUCCAAAACCUGCAGCGCUGAUUAAGAUGUUUCCUCUUGACAAGCUCCCUGCCAAACUCUCUCAACAGAUCGUGCAUUCUUAAUUCAUUAUUUUCUCCAUCUUCCAAGAAAUGCAUGUCGCGAAGUUGAUUUAUUCCUUCAAGAGGAUCGCCAUCCCAAGCCUCCUCCCACAUGUAAGGAGGAAUCCUCUUAUCCUUGCCAAUAAAAAAACAAGCUAUGUCGAGGAAUAUCUCCUUUGCAGUAUCAUCCAAAGAUGUGUAACUGACCUGGAAGGCAGCUGCUACUUUUUUAUGUAGUGGGCGUUUUUUUAAGGAUUUCAACUUGCUACUCCAUAACUCUCUGUUCUUAUUUUUCUUUAAAUAUUCUGCCUGAAGCUUAAUAGCCAAGGGAAGCCUUCCCAGAGCUUCGACGAUGUCUGGGGACAAGAUAUCGCACUCGGAGACAUCUUGGGAAGCAUCCCCUUGAAAAACACAAUUACGAAAGAGUUGAAGAGCAUGAUGAUGACUCAUUGGUUUAACCUCGUACACUUCAGCUGCUCUAUCUUUUUCUUCUUCCCCAAAGUCGAAAACCUUCAAAACAUCUCUUCUAUCUGUGGUCACAAUGAUUCUACUUCCCGGACCAAACCAAGUAAGGUCGCCAGCCAAUGCUUCAAUUUGUUCAUCCUCACGCACAUCGCCAAGCACAAUGAGAACCUUCGUCUUAGAAAAGAGAUAUUUUAUUUUUUUAACUUUACCAGAAAAUCUCAGUGGUUCAUGUAUUUCCUUUUGAAGUUCAGCAAUCAACAGUCCUAGGGAAAACUCGACUCCUUCCGAAUUUAUACCUUUCAGGAAGCUACAUGCAUCGAUCAACUUGUGGAUCUUGUUGAAGACAACCUUGGCAAGUGUAGUCUUUCCAACACCCGGCAUUCUGCAUAUUCCGACAACACGUUUAUCUUCUCCACAUACUUUCAUCGCUUUUCCAUGGCUGUAGACAACACCAAGCUUUGUCAUCAUCUCUUGAACAUGAAGAUCGAUUCCAACUAGUUUGUCGGUCACGUCUUGGUCAUCCUUCCUCAACUCCUGCCAGACACGGGUCAUAACUUUGUCUAGGAGGUCGGUCACAUGCCUGCAAAACAUGAGUGACGAAGCACAAGGACAACAACAGAGUUACCAAAAAUAUUAAGCUGUAGACAAAAAUCAAGCGGGCAUUGAACCGACGAAAAAUAAAUUAAUUUACAAGGGCAGGGGGAAUCUUCAAUUUAAGUGGAGAGCAAGAUUUAAUGCACAGAGCAAUUUUGACAUUGACAUCAUCAUGCUAUCUGCAUAACAAAAGAUCUAGUCAAGGGGGAACGAAGAGCGCGUGGUGGACCAGGUCGGCUGAUCUAACUCCCAGCUAUGUCAUGAGUCGAGUUAAUUUUCAACUGGCCAUUUUAAUCAACUCACUGGUUACUUGAAAGGUAUCAAGAACUACAACCUGUUAAAUUAUCAGCCCAUUUCACAAGAAUAACUUUAAAGAUCUCUCUAGCGUGCAUCAUCAUCGAUGUGAUUAUAUAUGACAUUUAUUAGAAAAGUUUCGGAUUCGUUCUCACACCAUUAUAAACUAUUUUUCUUUCCAUCUAUCUAGGAAAGAAAAAAGAAACCAGAAGUAAAAGAAUUACCCCCCGUUUAUGGUCGCCCGAUCAAAUCCGCUCAAUUCCACGACCUCUCGAAGAACCUCCUUCCAUUUGUCGAUGGUCUCUGAGUCGACUUUUUUAUAUGCAUCAUGUUUAUUGAAGGACGUUGCAAAAUCCCCCUCCAGGUUCUUUACAGCAUGGGGCCUAACAUUAUAGAAAAUUGGGAUAAUAAUCUGUCCAUUUGAUUUUCUGCACUCCCACAUUUGUACCGCCUCCAUAAGGCAACUUCUACGGGAAGCAUAAUCCUUAGAGAAGACGGUUAUUGAGAUCGUCGACUGCUUGAUUGCGUUUUUUAGCUUCGGAUGGAUCUCUUCUCCGGCACGGAGCUCUUCGUCAUCUCUAAAGACUUUGAUUCCUGCCUUUGUCAAUCUGCUAUGAAGGUGAUCUGUGACCAAUGAAGAUAAUUCCUGUCAAACCAAGGAAACUAAAGUAAACAUAGUGUUCCAGACCAAGUCUUUAUGGUUCUGGCCAAAAAAAAAAAAGUUUCUUGGUUCCGAUGGAGCCGAGCCUAACACAGCAAGCUGACUGCAACUGAAUCUUGCAGCUCAUGCAUUUUGGCUGUUUUAAGAUCCAUUAUUUUCAGAACUUUCGUAAUACUCACACGUUGAUUAGUGAAUUCCCACGUAAUCUUUUUAUAAUUUUCUCAAAUUUAAAUGGUAUCUCAAAUUUUAGGGGAAAGCAAAACAAUACUUAACAGACCCAGCGUACAACAUCAAUAGUGCUUGAAGUUUUGAUACGAUCUGGUAAUUUUGAUUUGAUUCAAUCGUUCACGUCAAAGGAGAAUUGUAACAUUUCAGACGAUGUUUAGCAAUUUGAGGGGCUGAACCACAAGCAGAGGAUCGAUACCGCCAUAUUCAUAUCGAAGAAAUAAUAAUACAAAUCUCAGAGAUCCAGAGGAAACAAACCGGGCAUUUUCUCUUCCUUCCAGCAGCCACAUCUUCAGGAGCCAUAACUCGGAGAAUUAUUAGAAACACCCCGCCCGGACCAAUUCGCUCGCUCGCUCUCUCUCUCCCUCUCCCGUUGGGCAUAGGAGGUCUAUAGACAUUUUCAGACAACAUUAUAAGUCUUUCUCCAUUACAAAAAGUCGAGAAAAAAACAAAGAGACGAAAAGGACUUUUCAGUGGUUGGAAUCGAUAAAGCAGAUACAGUGAACUGAUUGGUGGCCCUCUCAAGUCAGUUCCAUUCAAUCGGAUCGAUAAAGACGAUGCAAUGAAGUGAUCGGUUGUCCUGUCAAGUCCUGGUUUUAUGUUUUAUUUUUACUUUCUCACCUUGGCAAACGAGGAUGGAUUCCACGCAGGUCUCACAGUACGAGUUCUCCAGUCUGGAGCUAAACUCGGCCAGGGUCCUCCAGCUGGGACCCAAAGUUGAAUAUGCACCGUUCGAGUCCGAGUCCAGGUAGAUUCUUUAAUUAUAAAAGUUGUUAAAGCACAGAUAUCUUGGUAAUACUUCAAACCACCGGAAUAUCUAGCUUUGAGAAAAUAUUGUGUACACAAGAGCACCACAUCAUAUGAGGCCCAUCUGUAGAAAUUUUGAAAACGCCUCGACGUGUCUGGCAGCGUUUGUUUGUAUUUCUUUUUUGUGUUUUUAAACACUUUUUCUGUUUUUUUGUUCCUGGGAACAAAAAAGGAACAGAAACGCGUUUGGGUGCGUUUCUGUUCCUUUUUUGUUCUUUUGUUCCCAGAAACAAAAAAGAAACAGAAACAAAACUUAGAAAUAUUUUUUUAUUUUUUCUUCUUUUUCUUCUUAUUUUCUUUCUUUUUUCUUUCGCCGGUCGCCGGCCUCGGCCAUGGUCGGCGACCGGCCAAAAGAAGAAAAAAGAAAAAAAGGAAAAAUAAGAAAAAAAUAGAAAAAAUAAAAGAAAUAAAAAAAUUAUACAAAUUUACCAAACGUGUUUCUAUUUAUUUUUUGUUCCUGGAACAAGUUUACCAAACGCGUUUUUUUGUUCAGAAAUUGUUCCCAGGAACAGAAACACUUUUUUCUAUUUCUGUUCCCUGGAACAAUUUUUAAACAGAAACGCAAACAAACGCACCCUCUGUCUCCUCUCUUCGUUCAAUGUGCCGUGAGAGGGUCCCACCUGUACUGUAAAGAACGAGGCACUCUCUCUCUCUCUUCUUUCAUAUGCAUUAUUUUCUCCCAGAUAUGUGAGAGAGAGAGAUAGACAGAGACAGAGGGAGAGCGAGAGCCUGGUCAUGGCGGAAACCAUGGAAGCCCCAGGGCACAACCCUAAAGCUCCUCGAGCACGACCGCGCCAUGCUCUCAAUUGCCACGGGCCAGUGAGGUGUCUCACUAGACGUCUGCGAGGUCGAGACCUCACCAGAUCGGUGAGCUUGAGCAUUGCCAGCGCCAGACCUCGGCAAGCUCGAGCUUCGCCAGCGUCCAACGAGCUUGUCCCUCGCCUGGCUGGUUGCCAGCCACCAGCCGACAUAACGAAGAAGAAAGAAAAAAAUAAAUAAUUAAUAAUUAAUUAUAAUUUUGAUUUUUAAAAAUCUUUUUAUACGCCUGGUGUUUUGGAAAUGGGUUUUAAACUCUAAUUUAAACUCAUUUAUUUUAGUCUUAAAACUCAUUUACGAUAAACACUUCAAAAUCGGAGUGAUUCAUGGUUCAUUUAUAUUUAAGAUUCAAUCUGACAAGUUUGUUUGAUGGCAAUUUCCUCGUGAAUACUUGUUGCACAUUCUGAUCAGGAAAGGCUUGCAGCGUUUGGCGGACUGCUCCUCAUAUUACGUAAAAGCAUCUUCUAGGUGAGACGACAUAGGAAAAAAUUCUAAAAAAAAAAUCGUAAGUAUCUCUAACAAUCUAAAAUUAAAACACUUAUUCUCGAGUAUAUUAGACCUGGAUUGUGGGUUAAAAAAAGAGAGUAACAGAGGAAGCUUAGGUGCUGCAUGGCAAUGUUUCUAUUCCUCAAAAUUUCUGUUUUUUGGUUCCCUGGAACAAAAAAAGAACAGAAACCUGUUUGGUAACGCCAAGUUGUUUUUCUAUUCCCGGGAAUAGAAAGUUAGCCCGGGAAUAGAUUUGGAGCAGAAAUGAGAAGUAAAAAAAAUUUGCUUCUUGUCCCGAGAACAAUUUCUAGAAAUAAGCUGAUUUUCUUUUUUAAUUUUCUUUUAUUUCUUUUUCUUGCCGCGACUACCGUCAACCGCCAGGAGCCAUCGCUUACUGCCGCCGCCGCCGCCGCCUCACGGCCGGCAGUGACGGUCGGCGGUCGGCAGUCGUGAGGCGGCGGCGGCUGGAGGGCCGGCGGCCGCGACCGGCGGGCGGGCGGCGGCGAUCCAUUGGCAAGAAUAAAAAAUGAAUAAAUACAAACAAUAAAUUGUUGCGUUACCAAACGCAUUUCUAUUCUUUUUCUAUUCCAAGAGUAGAAAUUUUGUGUCGUUAUCAAACGGGUUCUUUUACUCAGAAAUUGUUCCCCAGAGCAGAAAUAGAAAAGAACUAUUUCUGAAAAAAAAAAAACUCUUCCCAGGAAGGAAAGCGUUGUCAUGCGCAGCCUUAAGGAAUUGAUGGGCAGUUGAGGAAGAGAGAGAGAUUACGGUAUAUAUACAAAUGUUAUAAUUUGUACACAAGCUCCUAAAGUUUCUCCUGUAAAUUUAUUUAUCCAUUGACUUUCAAAUACUCGUAAAUUGUUUUUGGGAAUAAAAUAAAAAAGAAUAAGUUCCAAUCAGAAACUGUUUCCGAAAACAGAAUGAUUAUCAAAUGCAUCAUAACUACUGAUGCUUGAACUUUAGCCAACUAAUUCAAGGUUCCAUUUUUUAAAUGUACCAAAAUAAAUAAAUAAAAUAAAUAUCAAGAAUGCCAAUUCGUCCAUUUUCCAAUUUGCAUGAGUCUAAUUCAUCGGACCUCAGCCCGCAAGGUUAGCCCAUAAACCCCACUCGAAGCCCAUUAUCCAAAUUCCAUCACUCUUACCAACCGAUAAAACACACCCGGGAUCCGGAUCGUAAUGAUGUACAGCUAAUUCAAAGAGCAUGCCGGUAGAACUUUGGAUUCUUUUCAAGUUGAACAACGGACGAUAUGAAUUUUGCCGACAAAUCGAGAACUCAGCAGGACAAAAUGAUCUAACCGCGCCUUCAACUUGCAAAAGGCACGGCGAAAUACCAUCUGGACACUCCAUGAGGCCGAGGAUGAGGUGGGCAUUAAAGGUUCUGCAAUCUAAAACAUUUACAUUCUGUGAUGCUCUCCAUUGUGGACAUGAGGGGUUAAUUGUCCUACAUUGGGACAUCACACAGUGCAUGCCAUCUUUUCUGACCUGAAACAAUGCAUUUCCUUCCAUUGUCUACGGUAGAGGAACGCAACAGAGAAAGAUUGAACCAAGGGGGUCCGGCACCUCAGAGAAGAACUUAUCAUAUAACCUGAACAGAGAAUUUCACUGACAAUCGGAGACAUGAAGAUGCUCAUGCUCCAAGAGCUACAAGAUGAGCAGAAGAGUCAACGGGAGGAAGAGGGAAAGAAGAAGAUAAACAUAGAAACGAAGAAAGAAAAUGAAAAAGAAAAAAAGUCUUUGGACUAAGAUGCCCCUAAUUAUGAUUUGGAAAGUGGCAUGUGAGAUAUGCAUGCUCACUAGGUUUUUAUUUGAGACAAAGUCCACCAUGAAUUUUUUUUUUUGGUAAAAAAAAAUGAGCUCACUUUAAUUUUAUUUGAAAUUUUUCGGGUGUUCUUUCAUCCAAAAAGAUGAGAUAAAUAAUUAUUUAAUUGGCAUAUAAUCGAAUAGCAACAAGCUUACUAAGACGUUAGAUUGUUAACUUUUAUGACAGGUGAUGUUGCCUUGCUAAAAAAUAUCAAAUAAAUGAGUGUGUUUGGACUCAAUGAAGGAAAGGUAAAGCAGUUUCGAUGUAUUUUGGAACCCACCUAAUGCUUACAACAAGACAAGCCACUCGCGAAUUGAAAAGAAGGCAGAGGGUAAAUACGGUAGAUGGAUACCAGACGACAGAACAUGGUAUAUAUGUCAAAACACAUUCCCCGCAUUUAGGCCACAACUCCUGGAUACUGCAAGGAUAAAUCUGAAAAUAGAAGACAUGAUCAUGGAGAAAGCACUUUAAUCGGUCUAUUCACUUGUUCUCUUUUAACUAUUGAACUAAGACAAGCUUGAGACAUAAACAUCCUACAAGACAUAGCAAGCCUCAAGAAAGAUAAGUUACUUGCCUAAUAAUUAUGAAAUGGCCAGAAAAGAGUACUCAAGUUGGUUUCUCUUUUUGGAUUAUUGCUUGCUAAUGGAUCACACUAGAUUUCCUUAUUUCUCCCUUUCUUUCCCCUUGUCUACUUCUAGUGCGACUUUGGGACCGGAAGAACCUCAAAACACAGUUGCAAUCAACAAUUUCAGGGAUGGCCAUCCUUGGACGGCACUGGAAUGUCAUGAUAUUUUUAUGAGGCUCCGGAACUCCUCAAGUUAGAAGCCGUACUGCAAUAAAACAAAACCUAUCUGUCAGCCGGUAUCAAUCUUAUGGGACUGAAAGUGCUAAGAAAGGAGAGGUUUCUACGCAAUAUAAAUAGAACAGAGUGUUAAAAUGGAAUGUUUUCCAUGACCUUUUAUUCUUUUUUUUUUUUUUGAAUGUUCUAAAAACAAAUUUAUCCUUUCUCUGAAACGCCUAUAUCUAAUAUAGGCCUAAUUACCCAAAAAAAAAAAAAAACCACCAAGAUGAACGUGCCUUACUUGGUUUCUCCCGCACCUAAGUCCCAAUGAUAAGAAUGAACUCACCAAAUUAAAUAAUGGAAAGAGUAGUAGAAGAUUAGAUAAACAAGAAAAAAAAAAGUGAGAACAGAUGACACCCCAUUAGAGACUCUGCUAAUCUGUAAGUAAUCUGCCUUCUGUAUUCAUGGGCUUUAGGGUGUAUAAUGUUCUGAAUGCCGGGUUGGGAGUGGGUGGAGAGAGAGAGAUGGUCAGCGAGAAAAUUCAGAAGGAAAAGUUAACGGCGAUCUCCCAGUCCCGUCUUGUUUGUUAUUCUUCACUCUGUUAUUUGGAAGGAGAAGUGAGCCUAUCAUUUACAUGUUCUCUUCCUCAUGAUUUAGGUUGUGGAAUACCGAUAUAUAUAUUAGUUUUUCUAUUUUGAAAACCCUAAUUAACUCUCUCUCAUGGUCGGCGCGCCUCCUUCAGUCCUCAACACUCCUCAGGCACUUUCCCUCAAAAAGAAACCCUAACCUUUGGUCCAUUCUUAAUCCUCCUCACGCAAGAUCCUCUUAAUUCUCGCGCCUCGUCUUGCUCUCAGUCGCCUCUCGGCUAAACUUUCACCUCCAGCCCUCUAUCCCUACAUCACAGUCGUGGCCUUGCAUACGACCCUCCCUCGCGGUCAUGGCCUCACCUCUCCCUUACUCUCGACUCAAUGUAAUGGCCGUUCUCUUGCUAUUAUUGCUUGAUUUCUGUCGCUGGAAUGGGAUUUCUUAUGGGAACGCGGCGUUAGUUAUGCUAGAAAUUAUCCAACACUCAAUUUGGUGUCUUCGCACUUUUAUGGGAAAAGUUUCGCAGUCUUUUUUUCAUUCAAUUUCUUUUACGUUUCAUAAAACAUGGAAAACUAACAACAUUGAAACACACUAAAAGUCGAACAAGAUAUAUCAAUAUGAUAUUAAUAGAGUAAGAACCCGAACUUUGUCGGGCAAAAUUAAAUACCGCCUUUACAUUAAGCCUUGAACAGGAUCCCAGCCAUGCCCGACAUAAAAAAUGCAAUUAGUCUAGGCUAAUGAACGCAAAUUUCCCUAAACUUUGGCGAUAAUGAAAUGUUAAACCUAGAUAUGAAAUUGAGUUUAAAUAAACUAAAUACCGUGAUGAAAUUCUUACCUAAAUGCAAUUCCUUUUUUUUUUUAAAAUCUUUUUCAUCUCCAAUAUUUUAUAUUUUCCUCAUGGAAAAAACAGACUAGAAUCUAAGAUAACAUCCAAGGGAGACACGGACCAAGGCCCAGUCCGGAUGAGGGCGCACAUUACACCCCCAAUAAAUCACACAGGAUAGACUUGUGUCAUGGACAGGAUUCUCCCGUGCUUAAGUAUCCUUGUGAGUAGAGCUUGGUGUGAUUGAAGUGAAGAAUGAGUGAUGUAGAAGGGACGAUACAACUAGUUCUUAGGAGUGGCGUCAGAGUAUUUGUGCUAGGAAUUCUAUAAUAGAACAAUUAUAACUACUAGGAGUUUUAAAAGCAGGUUUGGCCUCCCGUGUAUAGACUAAUCAAUAGUUGAUGUUGCUUUCCCAAUGAGACCAUGGCAAGCUGAAAUCACUUGUUGCACCUUAAUGUUCUAUGUGUCUCGCGCAAAACAUUGGAUGCCCGAGCUAAACUAAGUGUGAUGCAAUCCUACGUGAUGAUGCAUCGCCAUACUCUUCUUAGGAACAAUUAUAAACAGAAGGCUAGUACAGUGUUUUCGGCUCACUAGGUGCUGCAAAGGCUGUUUCAUGGCCAAGAAACUAUCGGUCCAUGACACUUGAAUGGCGAUUGCAUAAGUGCUCAAUGCAAAAUGAAUGGGCGAAUACUAAGGCUCUGUUUGUUUCGCAGAAAAUAAAUGAUUCAAAAGAUAUUUUUUUCUUCUAAAAAUGCUCAUUUGUAUAACUCGAAAUAAUUAAUUAACAAAAUAAAUUAAUCAAUGAUCACAAUUCAUGUCUAGAUAUUUUUGUGAAUGAUAAAAAAUAUUUUUCAUUUAUUUAUUUUUGUAAGUGAUAAAAACGAUCAAUUUUAAAAAUUGUUUUUCGAAUAAUUUAUUUUUCGCAAAAUAAACGAAACCUAAUUCUAACAUCACUAGACAUCAAUAUAAACAUGGAUAUGAGAAAAUCAACUAACUCGACAUGAUGAGGUUCACCGCUAAGGGGGAACACGGCUUUGAGGCAAAUUCGUUGUUUUUGGGUAAGCAAACAUAAUGGCCGGUUUUGAUGAGAACAUUAAGAUGCAAGUAUCAUAGGUCAAUAGUUCCUUGGCCAUGGAAUACCCCGUGUAGCUUUUGAGGAGCGGAAUUCGCCAGGCCAACCUUCCUUUUAUAGUUGUUUCAAUGAACAAUACGACGAAUAGUACUUUUAUACGAGAUCGUACCACGCCCAACUUUACUUAGGCGUCUAGUCCAUCAAGUGAGACAACAGAUCUCUUUAGGCUCAAUAAUUGGUUUCAACCUCCCAUGGCCUCAUCAAGAGAGUGGCAUCAACUCUUGACUAGUAUGUGCAUGAGAGGCUAACUCCGUCUUCAAAGCUCCUAAGUAAUAUAAUCAUUUCUAUCCUAGAACUCUUAGCACCAAUCAUCCUGAUCUCACUCCCAGUUGUGUUUAUCCUCUUUGCAUCCUCACUCUUUAUUCGAUAACCCCCGGCUCCGGUAUGGGAGAAUCAUAGACUGUGACACAAACACAUGAUUUAAGCAUUAAACAAGACAUAAUCAAACCUCAUAUCCAGGCUAAUCAAACUGGUGGUACCGAGAUAAUGAGUUUGCAACACCCAAUAGGGCGAGAUAGACUAACAUACUUGGCUUUAAACUACAAUUUCGCGGUCGGCAGAUCUGAUGAACAAUAGAUGAUAGGGAGCACACGAAAAACAUUAGACUCCUACAUUAAAUGAUGGAAGGAAAUAAAUGAACAAGCCUGGAUGGACCUCUCUCAAAUUUCUCACUCUCGUUUCCUUCUCAACUCACUCUCUCGUGCUCUCACGGCCAAACUCACUCUCAUUCACUCACCCACGGUUUGGGAGAGCUGUGGGAGAUGUUCUCCAGCUCACUCUCUAUUUCCCUCACUCCCUCUCUCUUUCAUGGAUUGAAUGGUUACGAAGUGAAGAAAUUUAUUCUUUAUACUCCCCACUCCCCAAUUUAUGCUCACCGUUUGGACCCAUUUUUGGGGUACAAUAUGGUGAGGUCUUUUGUCCGAUGGUUUGUACCAUGCAUGGGGUUAUUGGCCGGUCAAAGGGGAGAUGAUUUGUCCAGGGGAGAGGAUUUGUCCACUGGUUCGUGCCAUACUCAAAAGAGGAAGCCCUUUUGCCUAAGGGUUUGUACCAUGCUUGGGGUUCAAAGGAAGUCUAUUGCCCCUUGGAUUUAGAGGUGUAUGGCCGACCAAGGAGAUCCUAUUUUGACCAAUUUGGUUCAAAUUUAAUGUGCCAUUGUUUCCCUAUACGGUAUACCUAAAAAAGCCUUAUUUGCUUGUCCAGUAUUUUCCUAUUUAAUCACCAACGUAUCUUUCCGAUCAGGACGUAGACAAACUGCAGGUCGAUCUAUGCGCUUUCUCUAAGUUCUGCCGUUUGUUCCUUAGCUCCUUAGGAAUGAAGGGGAAGACAUAAGGACGGGCUUUUCGGGCUAAGGUAAGAAAGUCAGCCUUUACGACUGUGAAAGCAAUUCCUUCGUGGGACUUGGAUUAGCGGCAUAUCCACAAAGGAGGCAAAUUAAAAGGGCUAAUAAUGCGAAAAUGUGAAGCAAAAUGGGUGAUUCGAGAGUUAUCAUUAUUUGGACGAAUUUUAAAAGUAAAGGAUACGCAAAAAUGAGAUAUAUGAACUCGAGUCCACGCAAAGUGCAAUAUGCAAGUUUAUGCAAUAUAGAUAUUUUUGGUUCGGGAUCAAAUUCCAAAUGAAUUCGAUCCCUAAUUUUUCUUAUGAAAAGCACAAAUAGUCUAUAAGCAAAAAUUUAAGUGUAAAAACUAUAUUUAAAUUGAAAGAAGAACCAGAAAAGUUGAACAGCAUGUAAUGAAAAAUAAAUGUAAAAAUUAACCACGUCACUCAUGUCAAAAGAUGCAAAACAUCCUUCCCUUUCAGAUAAGCCUACGACAGCAUCGAUUUGGCAGGGGAAUUCGUAAACUUGAUCUAGAAGUGAGGAGACACAUGGUAACUAAAAAUUUGACAAAUCAACUAAAGGCAUAACGUCAUAAACCAUAGGUAAAGAAAGAAUGAGAACUCCAAACAUCAAAGUGACCCAAUAUUCCAAGUGACAAAUCUGCCAGAAAGUAGCAUACACUUGAGGCGUUACAGAUUUUUCCAGCUGAAUUUUGUUAGGAGAAAAUCAACUGGUGCACAACUUUCCUUUCGGAAGAGACCGAUGUGCUCACCCGGAGGGGCUGCUUUUUGCUCACGGCGGUUGAUUUUGGCCUCAACUUGUCUUCAGGGGGAAUUCAAUAGAAUCAAGCUUGAAAUUGACUCCAACGAAUUUGCCUUAUUCGCCUGCUCCCCUAGCUUCCCUUAACAAGGUGGAUGGCCAUGCACAGAUAUCAGUUAGAACUGAGGAGACUCCAGCAUCACGUAUUUGGAAAACGAGCCAUUACAUACUUCAAUGCAUCCUGUACUUGCGCCGACUUCUCAGCCGGACAUUCACUGAUAUUCAGCUUUUCCAAAGAUGUUAAUUUUUCUAGGCCUUCAAUUUGACUGAUCUUUUUGCAUCGAAUGAUCUCUAAAACUUUCAGCGACUUCAAGUUUGAUAGAUCAGGUAAACUGAGGUCAUCACAGUCAGAUAGAAUCAAACUCCUCAGUGAGGUUAUCUGGCCAAUCCCAUUGAGAUUUUGUAUUUUGCAGUUUGAUAUAUCUAGCCUCUUCAGGGCUUCAAGCCCUUCAAGCCCUUCAAUCUCUUCUAUCGCAGAGUGGUAGAGCUUGAACGAUAACAGCUUCUUGGGAAGCUCAGAUACAUCUCUACAGCUCAAACCAGGGGGGGUAAGCAUUUUGAGCCUUUUGAGGGGAGGAAUAUCCGUAGGCCCAAACUUCAGCUUGAUAACUUGCGAAAGAGAAAGUUCUAGUUUCCUCAGUCUGGGAAACGAUAUCGAGAAGGAUUGUUUGUCAAUCAUUCGUUUCACGUUGGAUUCUGGCAUUGGCAGUUUGGAGGGAGGUUGGCGUGCCUCCCAGUCCCCAUCACUUAGGCACAGCUCCUCCAACUCCUUCAAAUCUUCAAGAAGGGGUAUCGCUUUCAUCCUUUCAGAACUCACACGCAGACAAAUUAGAGACGGGGGAAGCUUCGGCAACUCUUCAAUUUCAUCGCACUGAAUUAAAUCCAGGGUGUGAAGACCACCGAUGGUGGAGAUUGCAGGGGGUAGGCUAGAUAUACUGGAAUGGCCCAGCGUCAAUGAUCUCAGACAAUGUAGUCCCUUAAUAUCAUGGGGAAUGGCCCCCUUCAAACUCCAACACCAGGACGCAUGUAGUUCUUCGAGCUUGGUUAGAUACCCAAUCUGCCCAGGAAAUGCUCGAAUGAAAGAUGAGUCCAUUCUCAGCACUUUCAAGCUUUUCAGAUUUCCUAUUGAAUCUGGGAGUCCAGAGACACUAGUCGCCGAUAUAUCCAACUCCUCUAAUGACCCAAUUUCACCGAUGGAAUAUGGAAGUUUCUCCAAACAACGGCAAUCCCUCAAUGACAAGCAUCUUAGCUUUUGCAGCUUUCCCAGUGAGCUCGGGAGCUUAGAAAUUUUGGCACCUUCUAAUUGGAAUUCAGAGAGAGCAGUCAGAUAACAAAUUGAACUGGGCAGGUGAGUCAAUGGGAAGCAAUUUAAGCCACUGAGAAUUUCGAGUUGCUUCAAAUUGCCUAUGGAGAUGGGGAUCUGCCGUACAGAAGUCCCGUCAAUAAAAAGCUCUUUCAGAGCUGUCGUACAACCUAGUUCCACUGGCAACCAGUUCAAUUGGGAGCAGAACUUCAAAUUCAGGUAAACUAAAUGUUUCAAAUUGCCAAUUGAAGGAUCUAGCUUCACCAAAUGAGAACAUCGUUCAAGAAUCAGGAUUUCCAAAUCUUUGUAAUCAGAGAAGUCAGGAGUGAACAGUAAGUCAGAACACCCGGUAAGAUUCAAGACUUUCAAUUUCUUCAUCUGCAAAGCCAAAAGGGAAAACACGCACAUGGUCAAUUCGCAGAUAUUUAAUUCAACAAAGCAACUAUAAAAUAACCAAAUGAAUACCAAACCACCUUGAUUUUACUCCAACCUCCCCAUUCUUCCGUGACUUUGCUCCAAGACAGAUCAAGAAUAACUAACUCUCUUAAUACAAAAUUUUCUGCUCUAAAAUCCAGAGGAAACCUUUGCCAACAAAGCCACCUUAAACUCGGAAAUACACCUGCAAAAUCUCCGGAAACUUCUGCACCAUCCAACUUGAGAAAACUUAUGGCUGGCAUGAACGCAAAAUUUACAGCUGUUAAUAUGCAUAAAUCAUGAGAUUCAACCUCUCCGAUUCCCUACAUAUAAAAUAAGUAUCAUUAUCAUCAGAAGCUGUAAACCAAAAUACCAAUCAGGAAAAAAGGAUGCUUUUCCUUGCCCCGCAUGCUAAAUAGUACAUACAUAAUAUUAUUCCCUCAGAAAAUGUGACAUAAAAAGAAUAAUGCAGCCCAUAUGUCAAGGAUGUUUGUUUGCCGAAGACAAACUGAACCAAAGUUUUACCUUCUCCCUGUUCAUUGCUUUUCGAAUCAUAUCCUGUGUGAAAAAUCUACGUGAACUUGGAUCUCCAGAUCCCUCUUGCUUAAAAAUUCUUUUGCCAAGCAUCUCAGCAAUCUGUGCAUCUGCAGUUCAUUGUUUUCUCCAAUUUUUGCCAGGGGCAUUAGAAUGCAACCAGAAGAUGGAAGGUAACAAUUGGACCACAUAUAUGAAGCAAUUCGGGCAUCCACACCAGAGAUAAAACAUGCAAUGUCCAGAUAUAUAUCUUUUUGCCGAUGAUCCAGUUCUCCGUAACAUAUAUCCAAUAGCUCUUGAAGGCCAACCAUAGUCUUUUGAGAACUCAUCAGACGUGCUUUCAUUGCCUUCUCCAUCUUUUCCCAUUCUUGUAUUGAUUUACCCCGCAAAAAUGAACCGAUGACUUCAACUGCUAAUGGUAGUUUCUUUGUAGCAUCGACAAUGCAGUUUGAGAGUCCAUCAUAAUCAGGCAUGGAAGAUUGCAUCCUGAAUGCAUGCUUGCAGAAAAGUUCAAAAGCUUGACCAUCAUCCAACUCACUAACCUUGUAGGUGGGAGCCUUGUCGGAAUCAUACCCUUCGAGAAUUUCCUCAUUUUGAGAAGUCACAAUUACUCGACUACCUGGACCAAACCAAUGAAGCUGGUCUCCUACAAUAGCAUGAAGAUCGGAUGGCUUUUCCACGGCAUCGACAACUAUUAGAACUUUCAUUUCACAAAAUAUAUCCACGAAAUCUUUUAUUGUUUCAUCAAAAGAAGGAUCUUCAUGAUUUCGUUCAAGGAUAUCACGUAUCAACUUAUUUUGCAAAAACUGCAUUCCACCAGAACUUUGUGUGGUUUCUUCGACCUCUGCAAGAAAGCUACAACUGUCGAAACAAGAAGAGAUCUGGUCGUAUACAGCCUUGGCGAGAGUCGUCUUGCCAAUUCCAUCAGUACCAUAGAUUCCAAUAAUGCGCACCUCAUCAUUACCUUCCAUCUCCAGUAAGUCGGUGAUUUGUUUGGCACGAUCAUCAAUUCCAACCAAAUUCUGAACAGCUGCAAUUGCGUAAUUCCUAUCCGAGGCUCUCAUGUCUACUGUUCGCUGUCCAGCUUCAUCUUUCAUAUUCUCCAUGCUCUGCAAUAAAAAGAUAAUUUCUUCACCAAAGUAUUAUCAUAGAUGGAAAAAAGAACAAACGUCACCUGAUCAGUCUCUCUUUUCUAACAUGGCAUCACUUCCACACAUGAGAUUGGAAAUCAUUUUCCGAAUGAGAUUUAACCCUAGGAAACAUUUUUGGUCACAUAUCACCAAAUAAGGGAAAAAUUAACAAUUUUCUUGAAAAAUUUCCCAGAAAGGUUUUUUCCAUUGUCAUGAAGUUUUCCCCCAAUAAACGCACCCUUAGACUCAGUUCGUUUGGUGGAAAAUGUGACAUUUCUGGAAAAUGCUUUCCAAGAAAAUGAUAAUACUUCCUGAUGUUUAGCUGAAACAUGAAAAUGGAGUGAAAAUAUUUUCCGUUAUUCGGUAACGAAAAUCAUUUUCUCCAUGCACUCAAUAGUUAGAGAACAAGUUGAAGAGAUCGACGGAUGCGGUCGGCGAGGGAGAGAAGGCCGUGAACAGGGUCGACGCCGACGGGCUGUAGCUAUUGUUCGGGGGCCAGAACGGGCUCAAGUCUUGCAACAUGUGGGGCUCCGUCGCCGGCGGGACCGCCGGCGUCAGUAUCAUCAGCCCGUCGUCGCCGGCCACCGCCGACGGCCCGCCCAUGAACAGGGUCGACGCCGACGGGCUGUUGUAGCUGUGGUUCCUGCGCCAGAACGAGCUCAAGUCUUGCAACAUGUAGGGCUCCGUCGCCGGCGAGAAGAAAUCCGCGGAUAUCGCCGGCGGGGCAGCCGGCGUCAGUAUCAUCAGCCCGUCGUCGCCGGCCACCGCCGAAGGCCCGCCCAUGAACAGGGUCGACGCCGACGGGCUGUUGUAGCUGUGGUUCCUGGGCCAGAACGGGCUCAAGUCUUGCAACAUGUGGGGCUCCGUCGCCGGCGAGAAGAAACCCGGGGAUAUCGCCGGCGGGGCCGCCGGCGUCAGUAUCCCCUGACUCUGGGCCAGCUGGACGUCUCCCAACAUACACAUCAGCUCGUCGUCGCCGGCCACCGCCGACGGCCCGCCCAUCUCCGCGGCGGCGGCGGCAAAGCCCUUUUCCCUGCCCGUCGGGCUGGUCUGCUCUAUCGCCGCCACUCUGGCCGCCGGGGACACGUACCCGGAGGAGGUGGAGGAGGACCCCGAGAGCUGCUGGACGAUGGACAUGAAGUUCCGCUCCUCGACGUGGAUGACCUUCGGCGAGAUGUCGAAGAUGAUCGUGGGCUGCUGCCGGUCCGCCCCCGCCACCGCCGCCGGCGCCGGCAAGUGGGUCGGGCGAGGGACCCGCGAGGAUGAGGCCGCCGGGUGGGGCAGCUGGUGAGGGCGGGGCGGCUUCUGGACGGCGUGGGACUGCUUGGCGACCCGGAGCGGGGAGGGCCGGGGGCCCUGGAGGGGGAGCUCCUUCUUGGGCGGCGACGGCAGCGGCGGCUGCCUUCCUCCGCCGGAGGGAUAGGAAGGCUCCAUGAUUGAGGCUAUAUCGGGUCGGUCUUGAUGGGGGAGGAGGAAGGAAAAGGAAGUGGGGGAUGAAGAAGAGGCCGAGAUUUUGGUGGGCAGCGGUCAAAAUGGAUGCUGAAGCUAAGAGCAGAGCAGAGCAGAGCAGAUAGAAUAGAGAGAGAGAGCAUUACAUUUAUGAGUGGUUAAAAGUCAACAAUUCAUCGAAAGGGUCCUCCUGUAAUUUUCCAAGGCCCCGCAUUCGUUGUUUUAUUAUUAUUGGCACUGAGAUUAUGCAAGGAGGAUGAUGGUUGGCUGAGGUGGGCAGAACGCCCCUGCUCAUUUCGUCAAUGGGGCGCACCGUCCUCCUCCUUCUAGGGAGAUUAAGGAAAGAUUAGAGCUUUCCACAUUGAUAACCCGUUUUUUUAUAUGAAUCCAGACUGAUCCUUAACAGGCUUAAAGAAGAAAAAAUAGGAGAAAUAACUCAUGAGAGAUUGCACUCCCCAAUGUCGCUUUCUGUGUAUUUUCAUCUGAAUAGGGAAGAGAAAAAUCUAACUUUGUUAUAAUUAGAGCAUAUCUAACUUAGCUAUAAGAAUAAAUAAGUAUGGUUUCUUUUUCUCUGUUAAAUUAUGCCUCGAGUUUGAAUAUUUGCAAAAAUGUGAUUCGCUUGGACAAAUAGAAGUUCGUGAGACUCCAUGAAGAUUUACAAAAGAAAAUAAUAACAAAAAUGAGGAAAGUUCUUUGCUACGAAGCUUGCGGAAUCCGAAAUGAAGAAAAGAAAAGUGAAGCCCUGUACGUGGUUCCCUUCAGCAAUCGAAGAUUGGUUAAUGGUGGGGUUCAAGGUCAAACUUUUGACUUCGGGCACACUCGCGCACACACACGUUCGGUGUGAAGUCCUCUGCAUGCGUAAGAAUCCAAAAGUGGUGGUGGCCUUUGACCUGGGCCCACAUAUAAAAACACAUAUAAUUUCCUUCUUCGAGUGAGUGUGUGGCGUGGCCGAAGACCUACGUAAAAGAGAGAAGCCCCACGCCACUUGAGAGGACGCCGCUGCAGCUUUACGUAGAAGGGAGCCGCGAAGAUUCAUAAGCUGCCCGUGUGAAGCUUUGAUUAAAACGCGAAGCUAUACGUAGAGCGUUUUCUUUCAAACUUGAACGCAUGGCAAUUUUAUGUCAUAAGUUUAAAACUAAGUGAGUUGUUUAUUUAUAAAUAAUUUUGAUUUGAGGUUAAAUCUAGGUAUGGAAAACAUUGAGCGUUUGAGCGAUUAUAAACUCUGAUAUUCCGAUUAUAGUGGAUUAUUUACUGCUGACUCUUUCCGUGGACGUAAGUACCGAAACUCGGACCGAACCAUAUAAAUUUAUGGUAUCCUUAUUUUUCUCGUUAAUUUCUUCGAUGCCUUAUUUUUCUCGUUAAUUUCUUUGAUGAUUUCGUAUUGGCCUAAAUUGCAAAAUCAUAUCGUUUCCACAUAUUAUAUCCCAACACUCUCUCUUCCCAUUAUGCUAAAAGCAAAGUUCUAGCGUCUAGUAACCAGAAUUGGAAGAGCAACAUUCAUUUCCGAAUCAGUUUGACCGGUUUGAUGUACCCUUUUGGAAAACAAGGAUUUCAAAACUAAAAAAAAUUACCAAAUUUUGAUGAGGAAGUAAAUAUGGCCAGAGCCCAUGUUUAACUGUAUGCCGCCACGCCAUGGGAAAAUUCUUUGUUAUUACCUUUUCCAAUUGUUCGGAUCUCUCUCGUUGUCGUGUAUAAGAAUAUCUAAUCAAGAAAUGCAUGAGAUAUUAUGUCUAGUUUCGAGGAAGGGGAGGCCGUCUGGACCUCUCUUUCUUUGGCCUCCCUCAUAAUCUUUUUAUGUACUUCGACCUGUGAGCUAAAAAUUUAAAAUAAUUAAAAACUCAAUUUAAAAAAAAAAGGAAAAUGUGUUUGGUUAAAAAAAAAUACUUAGAUAUAAGUGAAAGAAACAAGAUCUAAAAAAUGAAAAACAUUUUUCCCACUUAUGUUUUUUUUUUUCAUUGGUAGAAAAUAUUUUCCUUGACUAGUUUAUUUUCUGUAAACCAAACGGCAAAAAAUCUAGCAAACGUUUUCCUGAAAGUUAUUUUCUAUUACAAGCCUUCACAUGUAAGAGGAAUCCUCUCAUCCUUUCCAAUAAAAAGGCAAAUUAUGAUGAGGAAUAUCUUCAUUGUAUGAAAAAACAAAGAAUUGUAAUUGACCUCGAUGGCAGCUUCUACUCCAUCCUUCAGCUGGUUAACAUCUUUGAGCUCAUUAAGGAUUGUUAUACCGCUGCCUCGAAUAAUAUUCAGGACUAGCAAAAGCUUUAAAUUUUCGCAUACGUCCAAUGCAACAGGAUGAGAGAAUAUUGGUAAAGUCGGACGAGAAGAAAAGAUACCUUCCACCUUCCUGAGACAUCGUAAGUCUUGGAGCCCAUUAAGGUUUAUUGUCCGUUUGCAAUGAAAAACUUUCAGGACUUCCAAAAGCUUUAAAUCUUCGAGACCAUCAAUCUCGCAGUGUUUGAGACGCAGAGUCCAUAAGUUUGAGGAGGGAAGUUGUGUGAGAUCUAGCUCCUUCAUGUAGGAUAAAGUGAGUUCCUGGAGCUUGGUAAGACCACGAAAAUCCCCAGGGAGAUUGGUGACAUUUGGAAGGGACAAUUCCAAGGUCUCUAGCCUUGUCAAUCCCAUGAUCCACCACAUAUUUGGGGUCUGAUUUGAUGACCCCGCUUCUAUCUGCUCAUCAACAUUCAAGCAUAGCUCUUUCAAAUUCGUCAGAUUUGUCAAUUUGAGGUCUGCCAUAAUUUUGGAUCCACAGCAGAGAGUGACUAAAUUGGAGGGCAACUCUGGUAGUGCUUGAAGUUGUUAAUGUUGGAGAAAACUUCCUUAUUUGUUUUGAAGUUAACAAAACGUUUCUAUCAGUUUAGUUUGAAGAUUUGCAGACUCUAUUGUCAAAGUCUGAAGACCUCCAUACUCAAGAUUUAAAGUCUACCCUCACUGAUAGCCUUCAAACCGAUGAAGAAAAGAUUUAUUCGUUGAAGAAGAUUUAUCCAGAUGCGAGUAUAUUUUUAAGGAUUUGGUUCGUACGGUUGACGAAGAUCUCACGGCUGGAGAUAGCUUUUCGUGAUCAAUUAUUCUAAUUGAAAUCAAUUCGGAUAAUUAGAUCUGUUGAUUGGCGAAGUAUACUUGGAAGGUUCUACUUAUGGAAACCUAGAUCCUGAUUGUAUGGGCGAACAUGAUUGGUGAGCUAUUAUCACAUUCCUUAAAUAACUCGAGAUCUCCCUAAUUGAUUUUGUCCAACGGGUAGAUUAGAAGAACUCUUUUGGAAGGUGCCAAUGGUUAAAAAGGCAUGGAGGAAUAUAUAAGGAGAACGCUCAAGUUAUUCAAGUGUGCGUAAAAGAAAAAUUCCAAAAUAUGAAACUCCUAGUUCUUUGCUGUUACAUUUGUUGAACUUAAGUUGUACUCAGAAUAGAGAUUAAAUACUUUUGAGACCUUGAGGAAGUGUAGCAGAGUUUCUACACUGUGGAAUCAAAGACGUGAGACUGUAAAAUCUCUUUUGGUUUUUAGUGGAAUUCAGCCCGUGGGCUGUCAGUGCAGGAGAAUGGACACAGGCUUGGUCUAAGCCGAACCAAACCUUAUGUUUCAAUUCUCUUUCCCUAAUCUCUUUACUUUAAUUCGUAAUCUUAUAUAUAUGUUUAUAGUCUUUUACAUCUUCAAUCUAUUAUCCUUAAAAGACAAUUUAAUUUGUUAAGUCUUGCAACAACUUUUUUUGUGACAUCCAAAUUUUCAGGUUUUAAUUGUGAUUGGAUAAAUUAGGCAUUUCAUCGACGCGACUACAGUGUUUUUUUCUGAGUUGGCCACUCAUGAGAUAACUAGACUAGCUGAGUGAGUUAUUAAGGACUUUAAGGCAAAUAGACUUGGGAAUUCGAUUAGAAAUCGAUUUCUCGACUGUACUUAUCUUUAGAGAUCAUUACAACUCAAUUAAAAAUCGAAUUAAGAUCAAAGAUAGGUUAGUUCGACUAAGAUGAAUGACCAAUCGUGGAUGACUCCACUAAAUUGGAAAACUCUCGUUGACUGGCACUAAUUUGAUUUUACUGUCGUUUUGAUACUCUGUGUUCGUAUUUGAAUCCUCGAGAUUUUUAUGACAACCGAGCAUCGACAAUGUGUUGAGUGGGUUCAUUAUAGCUCGAAGAAAAUCGACCAUGGGUCAUUUGUCCUAAAAAGUUCUGAAAACUACCUAGUAACCUAGGUCAUGCUAAAAACGCGUUGGAGUGAAAUUAACGAUCAAUUUAAGUUCGAUUUCAGAAAUUGGAAGUUCUGUAGUGUCACGAGCUAUUUUAGGAAGGUCGACUUAGUUUCAGAAGAUUUUUCGGAGAUUCUGAGAUUUUUACAAAAAAUCAUUGUGAACAAUUCGGAAAAUGAAUGGAAAUUCGGAUUGGCUAUUUUGAAGAGAUUUUUGACAUCUGGGGUAAGUGACUUGGUGAAUGAAAGUUGUUUGGGCUUUUUCUGAAUUCAAAUUGGACCUCAAUCGGAUUUGUUUGUUCAGAAAAUCGAAUACCGAGAAAAAUGAAUUAGAAUUUGGAAUCGAGGGAAAUUCGUGAGAUUGAAUGACCGUCUCAUUUUGGUCUUUAAUUGGACUUCGAAUUGGAGGAAUCAAAGAAGAAAUUGAAGCCAAAACUUAGUGCCAAAAAUGUGAAAUUCGGAUUUAAGCUUGGGGCUGCAUUUUUUACAUUUAAAUUGGAUUAUUUAUGGAAUUUUAGGCUAGAAAGAAUUAAGGGACAAUGAGAUAUUCAUGAAGACCAAAGGGGGACAAAGCUUUAAUGGAUUAAGAUAUUUCUUUGACUUUUGGCCUUUUCCUUCUAAGCUGCUCACGCAUGGCUCUGCUGGCCUGUCUCCUUCGAGUGGCUUCUCUUUCCUUUCCUUCGGCUUCUCUCUCUUAUCUUUUCUAUUAUGUGUUUACUUUCAUUUGUUCCUCUUUCCCUCGAGCAAAACCGAAGCACCAUCUUCUGUCUUUUUCCUUCCCAUCAUCGAAGCAACCCAUCCCCAUGUUUCCCUUAGCUUCAUGCAUUUCCAUUCAAAUUCAAGUCUCAGCCAGCAACUGCCACAUGUCCAGCGUGCGCCCAUCUUCAGUCAACAAUUAUCACUCGGUUGACCUCCCAAAGAACCCCACCAAGUGGACGUCAGCUGCUUCUCCAUAAUCGAAGAGUCCAGCGCUUGCAAGCUCACCGAAGUCCAGCUUCUUUGGCCAUGUCUUCUCUCGGUCAAAACCCUUGCCGUGGAGCUCCAUCGAAGACCGCCGAAUCAGCUCAUGUUUAGCUACUGCCACCUGCUCGUUUGUCAUCUUCUUCGGCCAAAGCUUCUCCAAACUUGCUUUGAUUGAAGACCGAGCAGCUUCCUACCGAACCGAAGACCGAAUCAGUUCAGCGCCUCCGCGCCCGCGGCCUAGCUUUCAUCUUGCCGUUCCCUUCCACCGAGGCCUCAACGAAUCGGUCCAACUUCACGUCUGAAAAUUGCAAGCCCAACAGCGAGCUUGUAGGCCGAUUUCGGCCCCAGUUGAGCUCGAUUGUCGAAACCGCUUUGAAGAGAACCAAGCUUUGUCGCAUGCUUGUCAAUUUGAUCCGAUAAAAUUUUUAAUCAGGUGAGUUUUACUCACUAUUGCCUUCUUAGUUUGCUAAUUAUACUUAAAUGUUGAUUAGAUUUAAUUAAUUGUAAUUGGGUGGAUAGAUUAGAUUAAAGUAAUUAAAUUAAAGACUCAUUGAUGCAUGUUCAUUAAAUUGAUUGUGCAUUUAACUAGUAAACAUGUCAUAUUAUUUAUUAGAUGCUUCUUGGGAUUUUUCCCGACCUUUAUCGGGUGUUAAUUAUGCAAUUCGGGCCUAAGUGGAAUUUUUAGUAAUUAAAUAUUAAUUUUCGAAAUUAAUUAUUUAAUUAUUUUUUUUUUCUGGAAAUUCAACUAGGAUGGCCAAUGACCAGGAUUUUAUGCUGAUGAUCGUGGUGCAGUCCGUUUAUUUAAUUGAGCUUUAUAUUGUGCUAAAUUGGAAUUUGUAUUUAUUUAUUCAAUUUUCGAAAUUAAUUAUUUAAUUAUUUAUUUUUCCGAAAAUUCAAAUGGGAUGGCUAGUGAUCGGAAUUUCGUGCUGAUUGUCGUAGAGCAGUUCGUUUAUUUAUUUGAGCUUUAAUUUGUGUCGAAUUGAUUUAAUGGUGCAUUUUGAAGUUAUGUUCUUAAUUAAUGCAAUUUUGACUAUGUGAUUGAGAAUUAAUCGGGUAUCGGUUGUCAGUAUCGAAAGUGAGUUGGUAAAUCACCUGGAGAAUGGAUGUGGCCUGGUGAAUUGGAAUGUCACUUGGGAAGGACACGUGGCUCGGUAAUUGGAUAUGUUACCUUGGCGAAAAGGUAGUCUUAGAGAAUGCACGUGGCUUGGAAACUCGGUAUGUCAUCCUGGAGAAUGCACGUGGCUCGGUGACAGGGUAUGACAUCAUAAAAUGGGCACAUGGGCUUGGUGAUUAGAUGCAUCACUUUGGCUGACUUGGCGCCUAAGAGAAGGCAUGUGGGCCCGGGCAUCAUAAAAAGGGCAUGUGGGCUCGGUGAAUUGAUGCAUCACUUUGGUGAACUAGUACCUAAGAGAAGGCACGUGAGCCCAAUGACUUAAGUGUGGCAUCAUAGAAGAGACACGUGGGCUCGGUAAUUUGAUGCAUCACUUUGGUGAACUAGUGCCUAAGAGAAUGCACGUGCGCUCGACAUCUAGAUAUGCAUUGUGGGGAUUGUAUGGUUUGUUUGAUAUGUAAUCGACUAGGUCGAUUGAUCAUUACUUUGAUCUAAUGUUGUGAAUUGACUGAUUGAAUGGAAAUGACCGUGAGUGGUCUUGUUGGCAUGUAAUCGACUAGGUCGAUUUGAUUGAUGCUUCGAUCAGUGAUGUGAUUACUUUGGUGCCUAUUCGAUAUGUGCUAAUAUGCAGGUGUAAUUUGAAGCCAAGGUAAGUCCUAUGACUCAUGUUAUGCAUAGGCAACCCUAAGGUGUAUUAGUUUACUAAUUGAGUCUUAGGGGGUAGAACUUGCGGAGACAUAGUCUCAUCCCGGUUGUGGGAUUAUAUUUCAGGCCCCUAGAUUUCCCGAAGACGAGCUGACAUUUGAAGCCGAGGAUGAGCGAGAAGAAGGAGAUGAAGAGUUUGAAGAAAAUGAGCCUAGUGGUGAAAGAUCUGAGGAGGAUCAGGAUAAUGAUCCCGAGCAUGACUCGGAUGAGAACUGAGAUCCUAUCCUCUUUUGUGAACCCUGUAUUUGUGUGGUCGUGAAUUUCAUUAUGAAAAUUAUGGCAUGCUUUUCUAUUCCAUUGUUUUAUUGUCUAAUGAUUUAUAACUGCUUCCGCAUGUGCAUAUAUAAAUGAAAGGGUCGACGAUACAUAGUCUCAAGAUAUCACAUUUUAAAAUCGACCAAAGGUAAGAGAUGUGCACGUGCCUGAGGAUCGAAACGUGACAUCUUUAAUACUUAUUCACCCUCCUCUAGGUGUUUUUACUAGUCCUAUCAGUUCACAUUUACAUACGUCAAGGGUUCAAAGAGAGGGAGACCGCAAAUGCCCCGAGGCAGCCCCGCCAUAAUGGAUGACGAUAAUCUCAAAAUUCUCAAGGAGGAUAGUCCUGAAAUAUCACAACUAUCUUGGGCCUCCAAAUUUGUGCAGCCAGAGAAAUCUAUCUCUUCCAGUUUCUCUAACUUCACAAUAUCUUUAGGAAAUUUUUGUAGGGGGAUGCAUUCCAUCUUCAGCGUCUUCAAAUUACUCAAAUCUUGACUGACUCUGGUAGUUGUGUGAUUCUAGUGUCUGAAAGGUCCAUUUCCUCCGGCUCCUUUAGCUUCCCAAUGGAAGAUGGAAGUUCACACAAUUUCUCACACUUCCUUAGAGAAAGUCUUUCAAGCUUCGGAGGAAAAUCAAAAAUUUCUGGAACCCAAUCAAUAUUAGCACCAUCCAGAGCAAGACUUUUGAGUUUCAUCAAGUGGCCAAUUGGGGAUAUGUCCUUCAACUUUUUACAAUUACGAGCACUAAGUACUUCAAGGUUCCUCAAAGAAUUAUUUUCGAUAUGAAUUGCUACAACGUCAGUUUCGUCAAUAAGAAGUUCCGUCAAAAAUUCCUUGCCACUCAGUUGUAGGAUCGGCAGCUGGACUGCCUUGUAGUUUCUCAAAUUCAAGGAUUUCAAGCGCUUCAGUUGCCUGAUGAACGCCCAAAGCGUAGGUGACCGAGUACAAUCUUCCAUUAUCAAUAUCUCCAAAUUAGUUGAAGCUGAAGACACUUAAAUUUUGACAAUCCUAAGGAAAUAAAAUAAAAAUUGCAUCAAAACAAGAAAAAGAAAAAAAACCAGGGAAAAUCAGUAUGAUUGAUUAUGCAUGGAAAUUUGAAAUUCUAAUGAAUAUUCAGAUUUUGAUAAAUGCGGAAAUAAUUUGGAGAUCAUGUGAACAAAGGGCAAAGAUUUUGAUAAAACUGAGAAAUCUAAGCAAGAUCGAGCUGAUUAUGAAAUUAUGCCAUAAUUUACAAAUCUCAUUUAAUGUGACAAGAGAUGGAAACUUAAAAAAUGACAUACAAAGCGGCCGUUUGGAAUUAUUAUACAAGAGAGGUUCAUUUUUCGCAACUGGGGAGGUUUUUUUCGAAAAAAAUGAGAGCAAAAAAAAUUAAAAAAAAAAUUCCAAAAAAAAUUUAAAAAAAUUCAGAAAAAAAAAAAAGAAAAGAGAUUUGUGUGAGAAAAUUCGAAAAAAGGGGGUGGAAAAGUAAAAAAGGUGUGAAGUGACUGGUCCGUGAAAAGUCGUGUGCGGGCGAAAAAAAAAAAAGGGAACGUGCGUCUGUUCGUCUUCCUCGGUGUCCCCCGCCCGUUCGCGUCGGCCGCCGCACCGGCCGUCUUGCUGGCACUGCCUCGCGCCGGUCACCGCAUCUCAAUCACCACCGCGCCUUUACCGUCGCUGCUCCACCGGACUCGCCCCCCGAUGCACAGCGCCGCCGUCGAAGCCCCCCUGCAACAGAUUGAAGCUCGCCGCUCCGAUCUGACAUCCCGCACCGGUGACCGGCGACCAGCAACAGCUCCGCGACUCGCGACCCAGCUCCGCCGCUGUCUCUCGCCUGAGCGCCCAUCUGCAGAUCCCGAAGCACCAGCGUCGCUCAUGCCGGCACCCCCCGACUCGCCACCAUCCUCUUUCCGGCGACCCAGCGUCCGACGCCUGCCGGUUCGCCUCAGCCCGACGAUCUACUGUCGCAACGCCUCUACCCGAGAUCCGCCGGUCCCUGCCGCGACCAGCAGGCGCCCGCAACUCAGCCGCCUCCCGAGAUCCCACAGCCGAGCCCCACACCACAGCCGACUCCCGUACCGUAGCCGACGCCGCCGCCCAACGACCCAUGCCGGAGCCCCCAACAGCCACCGGCCUCCUUCCGGCGAUCCAGCGCCUGACGCCCGCCGGUUUGCCUCAGCCUGACGCCCGUUGAUUGCUGCGCCGAGCUCCCGUGAAGCCGUCACCGCCCCUGCCCUCAGCGCCGCUAGCACGCCCGUCGCCGCCUAGCCCUAGCCGGAGCCCCGACGCCGACCGCCGCCCUUCCUCCGCCCGACGCACCCCCCCUGUCCCCGUCGUUUACCCCUAGUUAGUUUUUUUUUUAAUUUUUUACUUUUACUUUUUACUUUCUUUGCAUUUUAGUUUAUUUUACUCUUUUUAUUUGUUAUUUUAGUUUUCUGUUUAUCUUUUUUGGCUUUUUUAGUUUAGUUAUUUGAUUUGUAAUAUUGUGAAAAAAAUUAUAAUACUGGAUGUUAAUAUUUGUAAUUUUUAUAGGCAUUAUUCGUAGGGAUUUUGUUUGAAAUUAUUGUAAUUAUUAAUUUGAUCUGAAAGGCGUCGGAUUAUUUUUUAAAUUAUAUUAAUUUUUGGGCUUUUUUAGAAGAAUUUUAAUUGUUAAAUCACAAUAAUUAUUUAAUUUAGUCCGUAACAUUUCGAAUUAGAUUUUUAAUUAUUUUGAUUCAUUUUUGUGAUAAUUAGGGUUAGAAUAAUUGUUAAUUUUACUUGUGAGACAACAAAUUAUUUUUUCGAUUAUUUUAAUCAUUUAUUUGUUGACUAUAUUGAUUGUUUAGAUUUAAUUUUUGUUUAAUAAUUACUCAUCUUAAAAAAAACUAAAAAAAAAAAUCAAAAUCUUGCAUGAGCAUAUGGGACCUGUAGGUUUAAUAAAUUAGACACGUAAGUUUAGUAAAUUAAUUUUUUAGGACUAUAUUUUUAGGAUUGCAUUUUUGGAUAUCUUUUUAAAAUAGGUUAGGGUUAGUCUUAAACAACCUUCUUUUUUAUAGAGUCUUAAAUAAAAUUGGCAUAUUUUUAUAUUCUUUUUUUAAAUAAAAAAAUAAUAAAUAGUUUUCUAAGAUAAAAUGGGGUUUAAGUCAAAUUAAUCCCAAAAAUGAAUUAGGAAAUUAUUCCCUUUUAGAUAGCUUAAUUAGGGUUUUUAUUAAUUUCGAAUUUCAAUAAAUAAAAAAUACAAAAAUGCUAGGUGCACAUUAACUAGUUUGCAUAAUAUGAUUAUUAAAAUAUGUUCACUAGUAAAAUUAGGUCAUGAGGUGCAUGCUAACUAGUUUGCAUAAUAGGCCCAUUUAAUUAGGAUUUACAUAUUAAUAAGAUUAAGUUAUUUAGUUAAAAAUGCAUUUUUAUAAAAGAAUUCUAAUUUUUUAAGAAAAAAAAAUCCUUUGCUUUGUGUGAUUUGUUUUUGUGUGAUGCAAUUUAUUUAUUGAAUGUUUAAUAAUGGUAGAACACCCGUGUGGUCACCAUAUUUGCAUGGUAGUAAUUUAGAUCAAAAUAAAUCCAAAUUGCUUGCAAAAACAUUUUUCUUAAAAAAAUAUAACAAAAGAAAUGGUACUGAAAGGACAUUAGAAAACUCUAGUGUAAUCAAGUUUCCAUACCCUUAGUCUCUAGAUCAUAGGAGUAAAAUAAAUAUUUCAUUAUUUUACUUAGGUGUCUAAUCGACCUACCGUUAACCGAUUAGUGGCGAUUUUUAGUUAAUAAUCUUUUGCAUGUUUAACAAUUUAAACUUAAGUCGCGAUUUGGUAUGAGCUUGGAAGAGCCCGAGUUAAGUUUAAAAACUUAGCAGUCCAUUAACCUAGUUUUAGGUGGUGAACAAAAAAAAACAAGUCGCGACAGCUUGGCGACUCCGUUGAGGAUUUGUGUUAAAACACUUAGUGGAUUUAAGCCAAUUUUUCUUUUUCUUUCAAAAAAUGUUUUUUGUUUGGCAGCUAGGAUACCAGAUAUGUCCAUAACAUUUUUAAGGUGUUAAAUGUUCUUGCAGAUAAAAGGGAUAAAGGGAGUAGUCUUUGCUAACCCUUGUCUUAUAAGGAGGUGUAGGCAUGAAUGAUUUUAUUUUUCCGUGUUGUUUGCAUUUAAAUUGUUAUGCAUGUUUUAUUACUUUUAGCACUACAUUAUUGCACACACAACCUAUGACCAGACCUGGGCUGCGAUAAGUUUUUUAGGAUAGUGUUGAGAAUGAUACUUCCUUCAAAGCGAGACUGCUAUGUAGAUAUUAACAUUCUUUUCCCCGAAAUUUCUUUCAUGGUGUCGGAUGUGUUUGUCCAUAUCCGCGAGACUACGUGAUUAUUAGGCAUUCCAUUCAACUGAUCUAGAGUUAGGGGGACUUAACACGUUAAUGCGAGACUGCAACGGUCAGAUUAUCAUCUUAACUCUACUCUAUUAAGCCAUUUAAAGUAAAAAUCGAGGCUCACAUCUCAUGUGCAUGUCUAUGUGAUUGUCAUUGAUUUUCCUUGGUGAAGUAAGUCUUCUAUCCUUAUAUCAUGCAAUUUAUUUUGUCAUACUUUUGGAUCAGUCCAUGGCAAUCUAGGUUAAUCAUUAAUUUAAUUCAUUUGUCAAUUAGAAAUGAAAUGAGGAAAUUGCCAUGCAAUGAAUCAUUUGGGAAAAAAAAACUUUUGCAAAAUUUAUUUUCAAUUCAUGUCUUUAUUGUUCUCAUUAGGGAGUUUCAAAUUUUGGUCUUUCCUAAUUCGUGUUUAGGAAAUUUAAUUCUUGCUAGGGUGUCUUAUUUUUAUUUUUCUAGAUAUUUUUAGGAAAUUCCCUUCUUGCACAGACUUUUCAUGAAUAAAAAAAAUGAAAAAAAUCGAUUAGAUUGCUGUUAUGGACUAGCUCUUUAUUUACACCUCAUGCUUACAUGUUCUCAUUUAUUUGAAUUAGGUGAUUAUGGAGCGAUCUCGCUCACCCAUCGUAUACGGUCGAGAAUUAAAAUGGCGGAUCAAAAUGAUGUGUUGGACCGUAUCAUUGACAAUAUGAACAAGCAAAUUGCACACUUCCAAAGUCAAGUCGAUGAAUUGUCUGCUAUUGUGACUUUUCUUAUCAAGCAAAAGGGCAGUGAUGACAUAGGUAUUCUAUCUUCAGUGAGAAACUGCAACUCGAAGAAGAGAGCCAAGAGAACUUUUGAAUCGUCUCAUUAUCCUGAGGUACCUAAAUUUGAUAUCACCAUAAAGAGACUAAUGACAUAUCUAGAAUUAAGAAUCUCUGACUUGGAGGGUUCGCAUCACAAGAUCAAGGAGGGUGAAGAACUCAAGCACGCAUGAUUCAUGGUCUUAAGUAGAUCGCAUUCCUUAUUUAAUUAGGGGCAUGUUCAGUUGUACCUUCCCAUGUGUGGGGAUUUUUAUUGCUUUCAAGGAUUGGUUUUAAUUUCUUCCGUUUUGCUUUAAUGCUUGAAUAUCACAUUUUUCAUUCCAAUAAAUGUAAUUUGAUUGAUGAAUAUUAAUAAAAUUACGAGUUUUGUUUUGAGAAUAUGAUGGGAUACACCAAACUAGCCCGGUGACGAUAUCCAACAAUGAAAAGAAAACAUCAUCCAUUGAGAAAUUCUGAGAACUGGGCUCUUCAUGCUUCCUCAUCCAAAAAUUUUAAAAAUAAAAUAAAAUAAAAGAGAGAAUAAAAAAAAUCAUUUUUUAAGCCAUUUCCAAAAGCAUGCAUUAGGUUAGCUCUUUUUAAUUUUCUGACUCAUUUACUUCAUGUUUCAGAGCAUUACUUUUUCGGUUUGAUGAGAAGGCAUCUAAAAAAGGUAUCCUAGGUUGCAAUUGGCCCAACUGUCAAGGACAUAUUUCUAAAGAAUUAAUGUGACAAAUUGGGGAUAUGAUAGAUUUUGGUAGUGACUCGAUUGAGAUAAGAUCUUGACUCAAGCCAAAAAUCGAUAUUCCAUUUGCUUUUGCUUUGAUGUUGCAUAGUAUCAUAUUCAUGCACGUUCUCUUGUGCAGGGGCAAAAGUGGAUUUUUAGUCUUGAAUGAUAGGACAAUCCAAAGACAUUAACUAAUAAUGCAAUCCCAUUGUAGAGGAAUUCUUGAAUGAAUGCUUAAAAUCAUUUUGCAAUGUGGAAAACUGUUUGUUUUGAAGUUGACAAUUUUUCAUGCCUAAAACUGUUGAGCUUUUUUUAAAAAAAAGGAGGAUUUUGCAUGAUGACUCUUACAUGUUUUAUCCACCAAUUCCACUAAAGAAUAUCAAGAUGGACUAAUUUAAUGAAUGAUACGGGAUGGAUUAAGCAUACUAAAUGAGACAAGUUGGGAUGAUGAAAGUCAAAUCCUAUCCUACACACAGUCCCAUAUUCAUACACUUGUGAGAUGAGUGUAGGAAGGUUUAUAUUCACAAGGUAAAGAGUUCUCUCACAAAAAGUACAACAACCGAAAUGAUGAGAGGUAAUUCAUUUUUCUAUCCCAAACACUAUAGGUGAUCCAUUGCUUAACCUUUUUGAGCCCAUACACUUAUGGAUAUUCUUUUCAAAUUACUCAUGUCAAGAAUCACCCCACAUCGGGGCAACUGGGAGAUAAAAUGAGAUCAUGAGGUGAGGAAAAUGAAUUGAAAUUUUCUUGCUUUUACUUGCAUCAAUUUUUAAGUCAUGCUAUUACAUUGAAUCCAUGUGAUAAUUUAAGUGCAUUAGGAUGACGAAGAGCAUUUCUUUUCUAUCCUAUUGUGGCAUCCGAGAAUUUAGUCGACCCUCAAAUAUACGACGGCCCAUAACUAAGUGAUGGAAUUAUCAUUGGACUAUAUCAUUGGAAUUAUAUAUGAAUAUUACCUUGAUACCGCCAUUGGACCGAUGGGUCACGGUUAGAAAUGGUUCAAUCAUCGAAUAAGUCAUAGUCCCAUCCCUGCAUGCUAUCACCAAUGAGACCGAGGAUGUGCCAUAAAAUGUGUCGACAAGAUAUCUUCUAUGUUGGUUUUAGCCGUCCAAUCAUACCAUGCGAACCGAACCUCUCAUGCACAUUGUCGCGAUUCCGUGCAGCCACGUGAGUAAUGAUAUUUCAACCCAUGUACCUGCUGAAAAUAAGAAUAAAAUUUUGGAGAAGUUGAGCCGUGCGUAAGGACCCUGCACGUUUCUUCCUUAUGCAAAUUAGCAAGUGAAGAAAAUGAAUUUGAAUCACUAUGUAGCCUUGUCAAGUUCUUUUUCCAUGCAAGAAUUUCAGUUAUGAAUUUGUACAUGAGGUGGAUUGGAUAAGAGAAUAUUGGUUGAUUUCCAUGGAGACCUUGAAACCGAGAAUGCUCUAUCCAUGUAUGGAAAUUUAAGGACCAAUCUUUGGAAAAUUUGAGGCCGUGUAUUAAGGACCAUAUGGCCACAAAGAAAAUAAACAUAAAAGUAAUUUGCUGCCUCAAUUAAGCCAAGCUUCCCUUAAUUGUCGUCGGAAUGGGGUCAAUGAGUUCUGAAAUCUUGACCGAAGGAAGCCCAGCAACAGCCACGUUGCUUCCUUGGAGACAGCCAGCAAAGCUCAAGGAAGAGCAAGCUGAAGACACGUCCUCCCCAAGCUGUCUUCGGUUCUUACUGCUACCGAAGGUUUUGCACGCAAAUUGACUAGUUUAUCAAUUAAUUGAGAAGCUAGUACGCGGAUUAGUCGAGGAAGAGAGAGAGAGCGAGUGAGCAACGAGCGGAGAGAAAGGAGGGAAGAAGGCCGCCCUCUGCCGAGCGUGCGUGCUGUUGUGACCGUCGCCGUGCACCCCUCGCCGCCUCACCGCACGCCAUUGACACCGUAGGACUCGAGGCAAAUGAAAGUCCACUAAUCUAUGUGAUGCAAGAAAUGUCGAGAUGAAGGUUGAAUACUAAAGUGUAGGCGAUGAAAGUGAAUGUUGAACUAAGAAAACGAGAAGAUACUUUGGUAUUCCUACGUGUUCUUUUAGGGUCUUUUGAUCUAGAAUUAACAGUAGAUUUUAUGAACUCUAGAAGUAAAUUAGACAAGGUAUAGGUAUGAGAUGAUUUGAAUCUAUGCUGUCUAGAGUAAUUCGCACGUAGUCAGUAGCUUCGAUGUUUGUUUUUAGAAGUUUUAAUAUGAAUUUAGCUUUUAUUACUUCAUGAGAGUUGUGCGGAAUUGUUUAGAUUGUCACAUGUAUUCACGCUAGGUUUUUUGUAUUAGUAUAAUGAGUACAAGAUCGAUUUCGGUGUGUUGUUUGCUGUUCGCGGGUAAAACCAGAAGAAAAUUCUGAGUGUAUAUUAAAGUUCUUAUAGAAUUUUUGGGAAUUGGUUGAGCAGUAUGUUUUUAGCAAAAGCGUGACAUGCAUUUGUGCGUGCAUCAUUGAGAUUACAUCUUUAGUCAAUGAGGUCAGGGAACUUUAUAUUGUUGUUAGGGAAUGUCGAUUGAUGGAAUGAAAUUCGGGUUAAGUUAUGCGAGUUGAUAUUCUCUGUACGUGACUGCAUUUUGAUUGUGGGGGUUCUUAUUUUCAAUAUACUUGAGUAUACUUCUGAAGGUGAAUGCAUUUCGGCUAUUAUUUAGCAGCAUGAUGGUUUGGCAUUCGAUAAGUCACUUGGUACUGAGAUUUUGAUAAAAACUCAUUAUACUUCCAAUGUCAUUGCAUUAAAAAUAUCUUUGAUCUUGAAAUGAGUUAAGAUGUUAAUGAUGCUGUCAGACCGUUGAGUCGACGAUGCCCCGGGAGUCGGGAGGCCCAAAGGCUCGAGUGAGUCGAUGUCCUUUGGAUGCCUGGGGUCCGUAGUGCCCCAGAGGUUUUCCCCGGGAGCUUCGGGAUGCUUGGUAGUAUGCUUGUUGGUACGUAAAUUCGGAGGGUAGGGGUAACCAUUUUCAUGGAGAAUCCCGGCGAUUCCUCGUGAUGCCAGGUGGGGUGUGAGAUGCCUGGAUGUGUGACGUAACACGCUCUGGAUGCCCGGUGGCCCUGUGUGACUGAGUGCCGAAGACUUUCGCGAUGCUAGGGUGGGUGUGAAAUCCCAUAAGGACACAAACACUAGUCCUCUGGGGGGAUAAAACCUUUUGAAUGAUUAAAACUAAUGGUUCUACUAAGUGUGAGUGUGGUUUGGUUAUCAGACUAAAUUGAAUGGCAUGAAAUGAGACGUGUCAUAACAAUUUGGCCAUAUGCUCAGGACUUGUGUGACUGAACAUGAUGUAUCUUGUUGGUUGGAACUGCAUUGGUCAUUGCAUUAAAGAGUUUUAUGGUUUCGAUGCAUAACCAUUCCUUGAUAAACUGUCUUGUCUAUAUUGCAUAAAACUAGAUCAUGAUGGCCUACAUAGUAUAGUUUAAUGGAUCUUUUACUGCUGAGUGGUUGUAUUCACCCCAUUUGGGGACUAACAUUUCAGACUAGAAGAUAUGCCUCUGCUACUAGUCACCCCCGACACAUUUUAUGGUAUUCCGGUCGACCUUCAGUGUGAGUGUUCGAAGCACCACCAUCCUAAGAUACGAGGGUUGGUUUUGUUCGAGUGCGGGUACUAAUCAUGUAUGACGUUGGUCCUCCCGCCGGCCCAGUGAUCCAGGAGUUUCUGACUAGUUCGUCCGCCGUGAUGGGAGUAUGCUGGGGCCAUUGCUACCACUGCCAGCUGAUGGACCAAACUGGGUGUGAUCGAGAGUGAUGGUUAGCUGAAGAAGCAUUUUUGGACCGCCGACACUGAUUGAUGGAUCUAUGUACAUGGUCAUUAGAGAGUCAAGUACUUUUUGGAAAAUAGCUGAGUUUAGAAAAAUCUUGGCAUUUUGAUGUAUCGAUUAAGAUGUCCAUCAGGUUUAUGUAAAUAAAAGUGUCUGGCUUUUACCUAUAAAAAUGUGUGUGGUUAGUGUGCAUCAUUUCUGAGUAUGAGAUAGGGAGAGGUUGAAUAUGCUUCCGUUAUAUUUUUGUGCAGGGACCAAUAUAAGAAUUAUAAACCCACUAGGACUCAUGGACUUCCUGAAAAUUUCAUGGUAUCAAAGUAAUAGACCUUCAGGUAGAGAAAGAGCAAGUGAUCUGUGGCGACCUCAGCAGAUCGAGGACUGUUCAGGGGGUGCCACACCUACAUACUUAUAUCCUUUGCAUAGCCCACUUGAGCCUGCAAUUUUAUUUCUUUUAAAUCUAGUUGGUGAUCAUCUCUCAUACUGGGGCAAGGCAAAAGGCAAAUUGAAGACUCUUAAAAGUUCAAGCGUCAUUCAAAGUAUAAUUCCUUGACGCAUGCAUUGUGCGCUAGAAUGGAAAUUAAAAUAGAACUAAGAGGUAUGAAAAAACAAUGUGCCUGGUAAAAGUAAGACUAAUGCCCAUGAAAAAGAAGUGAAGAAAAAAUGCAUGAAAACUAGAGGCAUAAAAAAGCGGUGUGCCCGAUAAAAGCAAGGCCGAUGCCUAUAGAUGAAAAUGAAAAAAAAAGUCAAGAAAUGUGACUAUCAAUUGUAAAAGGUUGCAUCCCUCAUGGAGCAACAUUCAAAGAACGCAAAUACCGAGCUUUUACAGUUAGUGGUGAAAAAGAAAAUUGGUCGCAAUACCAAGAAAAUCAUCAACUUUCACCCUUAUACACAUCUUCGAGCCUAAUAAUCUUUUGUUUUUCAACCCAUGAACCAGCCUACGUUACGUCCCUUGUAAAGUCUCUUCUGAUUAUGGCACUUGAAUUUAACCUAAGGGUUCACAUGUUUUAAGCAUCGCUCGAAGAAGUGCGAGCAAGAUUAUUUAUUUCUCAUUUUGCAAGGUUCUUGACUUGUAAACCCGGAGAUGACUGCGAAGCUGUUCUUUCAAUAGCCUUGACUCAAACAGUCCAUUUUCAAGCCAUUAACCAAGCCCACAUUACGAUCCAUGUUAAAGACCCCUCAAAUUGGUAAGGUCGUACCACUUGUGAGAAUACUCGGACCCUUAUCGAUAUGGUGAAAUUGAGUGAUUCUCCUAAAAUUGCCUUUUUGAAUGAGAGUGAGUGAAAGUCCUUUCUAACUGAAGGUCUCUCAUUUAGUAUUUUUAGAAAAUCCAUGUCAUGAGUGAAAAUUGUCUUGAACGAUAAUUCUUACCAGUUGAAAUUUUGGGUGAUGCAAAGGUCAUUAUGCAUGAACCCCGAUUGAAUUGAUAAAAACUCUAGUGGAUUUUGAAGUGUGCAUUCCAUAAUAGCCUUAAUUGCUUAUUUCUUUGGUGAAAUUUUUUUAUUUCUACCAGAAGGUGAGAGGCCUCCAUAGGAUAUCUAAGUUUCAGAAGACAUAUCCCCAAGAAUCAGAGAUAUCACCAGGUAAGUAUAUCUCUACCCAUACUCUAAAUACUUGUCAUUGUGCAAGUAUUCUCUCUCAAGUGCAUCGACACUUGACUUGGCCAAAUUGUCCUUUAUAUUGACCUAGCAUGCUUUCGUAGCCCAGAGUCCCUUUCAUCGACCCAGCGUACUUUCCUAGCCCGGUGUCCUUUAAAUUGACCUGGUGUGCUUUCAUAGCCCAAUGUCCAUUUCAUCGACCCGGCAUGAUUCCGUAGCCCGGUGUCCUUUAUGUUGACCUAGCAUGCUUUUGUAGCUCAAAGUCCCUUUCAUCAACCCGGCGUGCUUUCGUAACUCAGUGUCCUUUAAAUUGACCUAGCGUGCUUUCGUAGCCCAGCGUCCAUUUCAUUGACCCAGCGUGCUUCCAUAGCCCGGUGUCCUUUAUGUUGAUCUGACAUGUUUUCGUAGCCUAGAGUUCCUUUCAUCGACCCAGCAUGCUUCCGUAGCCUAGUGUCAUUUAAAUUGACUUGGCAUGCUUUCGUAACCUAGAGUCCCUUUCACCGACCCAGCGUGCUUUCGUAGCCCGGUGUCCUUUAAAUUGACCCGGCGUGCUUUUUUAGCCUAGAGUCCGUUUCAUCGACCCGGCGUGCUUCCGUAACCUGGUGUCCCUUAUAUUGACUUGGCGUGCUUUCGUAGCCUAGAGUCCCUUUCAGCGACCCGGCGUGCUUUCGUAGCCCGGUGUCCAUUUAUAAUGACCCGACGUGCUUUCGUAACCCGGUGUCCAUUUAUAAUGACUUGGCGUGCUUUCAUAGCUCAGAGUCCAUUUUAUCGACUCGGCAUGCUUCCAUAGCCCGAUGUCAUUCUUUAUUGACCUGGCCUGCUUUUAUAGCCCGGUGUCCUUUGAUAUGACCCAGUGUGCUUCUAUAGCCUAGAGUCUCUCUAUCAAAUCGGUGUGCUUUCGUAGCCUGAAAUUCCCCUUCAUCAACAUGGUGUGCUUCCGUAGCUCAGAGUCACCUCAUUAAUUUAGGAAACAUAUCCCUAAGAAUCAGAGAUGUUGCUAGGUAAGUAUAUCUUUAUCCAUACUUUAAAUACUUGUCAUUGCAUAGGUAUUCCCUUUUGAUUAUACUGGCACUCAAUUGAGUUGUCCCCCAAAGAUUUUUCUCCAAGUUCAGUCUGAUUAAGGUGAUCGAAGAAAGGUUCGGGUCCUGGUCAAAUGAUCUAUGUUGCAACGCUAGGCAACUAAAGAAAGAUUCGGGUCCUAGCCAAGCAAAACCUCAAUUUAGGUGACCGUAAAAUGGUAACGGUCCUAGACCACAUUUAUUUCCCCUUUCAGGCGACCGUAGAAUGGUAUGGGUUCUGGAAAGUAAAUCUCCGUUUAGGCAACCGUAGAAUGGUUUGGGUCAUGGAAAAUCAUUUUUUUGUCAAGGCGACCGUAGAAUAGUAUGGGUCCUAGACAACAUUCAGGUGAUCGUAGAAUGGUACGAGUCCUGGAGAAUUAUUUUCUCAUCAAGGCGAUCGUAGAAUGGUACAAGUCCUAGACAACAUUCAGACGACCGUAGAAUGGUACGGGUCUUGGAAAAUGAAUCCCCAUUUAGGCGACCGUAAAAUGAUACAAGUCCUAGACACAACCAAAUGCCAUAUUAGGCAACCUUAGAAUAGUACAAGUCCUGGGAAAGCAGUCUCUUUGCGAAGCCAUGUUACUAUUCUGGGCGACUGUAGAAUGGUACGGGUCCUGGACAUGUAACACUAACUAUUUUGAAUUACUCUACCCUCCUUGAAGGUUAGUUAUUCCAGGUAGGUUCAUUUAUCGUUUGCAUUAGCAUUUCCAUGCAUCAUAUAAAUUGCAUUUCAAAAUGGGAUUCAUUUUCCAAAAAAAAAAUCAUUCAAUGCAUGAGCAUGAUCAAAAUUUAGUUCACAAUUUGUCUUUGAAGGCAACCUCUACGAGCUUACUUUCAAAUAGGAGCAGCUAUUGACACCUAAAUUUUGAUGACCCUAAGGAAAUAAAAUAAAAAUCCCAUCAAAACUAGAAAAAGAAAAAAAUGAGGAAAAUCAGUCUGAUUGAUUAUGCAUGGAAAUUUGAAAUUCUAAUAAAUAUUCAGAUUUUGAUAAAUGUGGAAAUAAUUAGGAGAUCAGAUGAACAAAUGGCAAAGAUUUUGAUAAAAUGGAGAAAUCUGAGUAAAAUUGAGCUGAUUGUGAAAUCAUGCCCUAAUUUACAGAUCUGAUUUAAUAUGACAGGAGAUGGAAAUAUAAAAAAUGCCAUACAAAACAGCCGUUUGGAAUCAUUAUAAAAGAGAGGUUCAUUUUUCAUAACUGGGGAGGUUUUUUCGAAAAAAAUUGAGAGUAAAAAAGAUUUAGAGAGAAAAAAAGAGAGAUUUUUGUGAGAAAAUUCGAAAAAAGGAGUGGAAAAGUCAAAAAGGUGUGAAGUGACUGGUCUGUGAAAAGUUAUGCGUGGGCGAAAAAGAAAAAAAAAAGGGGAAUGUGCGUCUGUUUGUCUUCCCCGGUGUCCCUCGCCCGUUGCCUCGGCCACCGCACCAGCCGUUGCAUUGACGCUGCCUCGCGCCAGUCAUCGCAUCUCAAUCACCACCGCACCUUUACCACCACUGCUCCAUCGGACUCGCCCCCCGAUGCACAGCACUGCCAUCGAAGUCCCCCUGCAACAGAUUGAAGCUCGCCGCUCUGAUCUCACAUCCUGCACCGGUGACCGGCGACCAAGAACAACUCCGCGACUCAUGACCCAACUCCAUCGUUGUCUCUCGCCCGAGCGACCCAUCUGCAGAUCCCGAAGCACCAGCGUCGCUCACGCUGGCACCCCUCGACUCGCCACCAUCCUCUUUCCGGCGACCCAGCGCCCAAUGCUUGCCAGCUUGCCUCAGCCCGACGAUCUGCCGUCGCGAUGCCUCUACCCGAGAUCCGCCGGUCCUCGCCACGACCAACAGCCGNNNNNNNNNNNNNNNNNNNNNNNNNNNNNNNNNNNNNNNNNNNNNNNNNNNNNNNNNNNNNNNNNNNNNNNNNNNNNNNNNNNNNNNNNNNNNNNNNNNNGGCAUUAUAUGUAGGGAUUUUCUCCAGAAUUAUUGUAAUUAUUAAUUUGAUAUGAGAGACGUCGGAUCAUUUUUUUUAAUUAUAUUAAUUUUUGGGCUUUUUUUAGUAGAAUUUCAAUUGUUAAAUCACAAUAAUUAUAAUUUGGUCCGUAGGACUUCAGAUCAAAUUUUUAAUUAUUUUGAUUUUCUUGUUGUGAUAAUUAGAGUUAGAAUAAUCGUUAAUUUGACCUGUGAGAUAGCAAGUUAUUUUUUCGAUUAUUGUAAUCCUUUAUUUUGUUGACUAUAUUGUUUGUUUAGAUUUAAUAUUUGUUUAAUAAUUACUUAUCUUAAAAAAAACUAAAAAAAAAUCAAAAUCUUGCAUGAGCAUAUGGGACCUAUAGGUUUAAUAAAUUAGACAUGUAGCUUUAGUAAAUUAAUUUUUUAGGACUAUAUUUUUAAGACUGCAUUUUUAGAUAUCUUUUUAAAAUAGGUGAGGGUUAGUCUUAAACAACCUUUUUUUUUAUAGUCUUAGAUCAAAUUAGCAUAUUUUCAGAUUCUUUUUUUUAAAAUAGUUUUCUAAGACAAAAUGGGGUUUAAGUCAAAUUAAUCCCAAAAAUGAAUUAGAAAAUUGUUCCCUUUUAGAUAGCUUAAUUAGGGUUUUUAUUAAUUUCGAAUUUCAAUAAAAAAAAUAUACAAAAAUACUAGGUGCAUAUUAACUAGUUUGCAUAAUAGGAUUAUUAGAAUAUGUUCACUAGUAAAAUUAGGUCAUGAGGUGCAUGCUAACUAGUUUGCAUAAUAGGCCCAUUUAAUUAGGAUUUACAUAUUAAUAAGAUUAAGUCAUUUGGUUAAAAAUGCAUUUUAUAAAAGAAUUCUAAUUUUUUAAGAAAAUAAAAAAAAUCCUUUGCUUUGUGUGAUACAAUUUAUUUAUUGAAUGUUUAAUAAUGGUAGAGCAUCCUUAUGGUCACCAUAUUUGCAUGGAAGUAAUUUAGGUUAAAAUAAAUCCAAGUUGCUUGCAAAAACUAAACAAUAUAAAAAAAAUAAAUGGUACAGAAAGGGUAUUAGAAAACUCUAGUGUAACCAAGUCCCCGUACCCUUAGUCUCUAGUUCGUAGGAGUAAAAUAAAUCUUCAUUUAUUUUACUUAGGUGUUUAAUUGACCUACCGUGAACCAAUUAGUAGCGACUCCUAAUUAAUAAUCUUUUGCAUGUUUAAAACUUUAGACUUAGUCGCGAUAUGGUAUGGACUUGGGAGAGCCCAAGCUAAGUUUGAAAACUUAACAGUCCAUUAACCUAGUUUUAGGUGGUGAACCCAAAAAAACAGGUUGCGACAAACACAAACCCUCUCUUUUGGAAUACACCAUCAGUAUAUGUGAGGGAAUUGGGUUAAUAGUAUAUACCCAAUAUUUCUAUGAUUUUCAAAAUUUCCGACAAACGUGAUUAUAAGUAAUGUCUAGAGGUUUUGUCUAUAAUCAAUCAUAGUUUUCGUAUUUGAUUUUUUAUGUUUUACAUUUGGUAUUAAAGCAUGUUUAGAACAUCUGCCUUGUUUUUGUUGAAUUUUUGGUGUAUUUUCGGGCAUUUUUUGAAGAUGAACAAUAACUCAAAGUUACCACCCGUGAUGGCGGCGUAAUGGUUGAGCUUCAGUUCUUUUCGGGAGAGGUAUGGAAUUUGAAUCCCUGCGUCGUCUACCUUGUUGAAAAGGAACCCACGACUUGCCCAGGGCAGAAAGGGUGGUGGUGACUCUCUUGCUCCUCCAAGUUUACUCCACCACAAAGCUACGCAUGGAGGUUUCCUGAGUAUCAAAAAAAAAAAAAAAAACAAUAACUCGGAGUUUUGAGGCCAAGAGAGAAACUCGCUAAUUCCGAGCAAAAUUCGGUGACCCACCGCUCAAUUUCAAACCCAUACAGUCGCAUCGCCAUAAGAAACAUUAGCAAUGAGUUAUUUUGGCAUAUCGGUGUUCGCCCGAGGCUAAUCAGGCGGUGGAAAUCAAGGUGGUUGAGGUUUUGCGUUUUUGGAAAUUUUCUUUUGAUUCGGGCCAAUUUCUUGCUCAUUUUCGCCGAAACUUGGACCCAUGUGGUCAUGCCGGCAUGGUUUCCAAAGCCACUAAUUUAUUUCGAUCUUAGAUGGGCUACCGGAGAAGAAACAGUGGUGAAAUCGCAACGGAAAACAGUGAAAUCAUGGCGGAAAUCGGCUUUGCGUGCGGGCCACGUGUGCGCCUCAGAUGGCGGAUGCAGGCGUGUGCUUAGACGUGCCGCAGCGUGCCUUUUUACUCUUUUGUCCCUAUGCCAUUUUUAAAUUCCCAUUUUGCCCUUUUUGCAAUUUUGCAAUCUUGCCUUUGGCCAAUUUUAUUUACUGUUCUGCCCCUUGGUACAUUUAUUUACUAUUUUGUUAUUUUAUACAUUUUUAAGAAUAUUUUAUAUAUUAAAUUGAAUGUCCAAUGAUCCAUAUAGUUAAUUAAUUAGAAAGUGGCCACAACAUCUUUAAUUAAUUAAAUUAUAUAUUAAGAGUCUCCAGAUCAUAUUUAGAAAUGGACAUUAAUUGUAAUUAAUUAUAUUAAUAUGAUGAAUUUUAUCCCACGGGAAUUUUCAUUGUAUUAAUAUGAUUGAUUAGAAUGAAAUAUCAUAUUAUUUUUCUUAAUUUACCCACAGGGAUUAAGAAAAGAUAUAUAAUAUGGUAGUUUCUUCAUAAUGUAAUUAUGAAUCUAUUUAAAUUAAAAACUUAGCCCAUAUGUAGUUUUUAUGUUAUGUGAUUCAUAUUCAUGACGUGUAUACAUUGGUAAAACAUGAUUUAUGUAUAUUUUGCCUCAACUUUUGUGACAUAAGCAUGAUUAUGUGAUGUGCAGUUUUGCAACCUGUGAAGUUCUCUAAAUUUAAGUGUGAUGUUCGGUGAGAACUGUAAAGUCUGGAACAAGUUAGUUCUUCUUCAAUUGGGAUGGAUGGACAUUGACUAUAUUAUAAAGAAAGAUGAACCACCUGCUCCUACUAAUUCGAGCACUGCAGCUGAGAUAGCCCAUCAGUCAAACUACAUAUGUGCAAUGUUUAUAAGAGCUAAAAUAUAUUCUAGUAUUUGUGGUUUGGUUACUCAGCAUAGCAAUGCUAAGACUUUAUUGGAGGCCAUAAAUGCGCAAUUUGAAACUUCUGAGAAGGCACAUGUCAUGAUCCUAAUUAUGAAUUUUGCAUCAUUGAAGCUCACUAGUGUUAGAAGUGUGCAUGAGUACAUCAUGCAAAUGAGAGAUAUUGUGGCUCAGCUUAAGAACCUUGAAAUUGAGAUAUCUGAAUAAUUUCUUGUGUAUUAUAUUCUGGACACUCUCCCACAACAGUAUGCGUCUUUCAAUAUCUCUUACAACACACAUAAGAAUAAAUAGUUAAUUAAUAAACUCAUGAUCAUAUGUGUUCAAGAGGAGGAAAGACUGAUUAUGGAAUUAGAAGAAAGUGCUCAUUUGGCAAUACAAGAAAAGAAUAAUGGUCAUGACAAGUAUAAGGGAAAAUGUAAAAUAUCUCCCCAAACUAACAUUAAGAAAUAAUCCAAAUGUUUCUUCUAUAAAAAUAAUGGGCAUAUAAGGAAUGAUUGCAUCAGAUUUAAGGCAUGACUUGAGAAAAUACGUAAUACAAUCUCUUGUAUUUGUUAUGAAUCUAAUAUGGCUGAUGUAAGUCACAACACUUGGUGGAUUGAUUCUAGAUCUACAAUUCAUAUUUUGAAUUCCUUGCAAGGUUUUCAAAACCACAGGAAACUAGUGGGAAGUGAACAAAGCAUAUAUUUAUGAAAUAAGAUGUGUUUGCAUGUGGAAGCUAUUGGAACAUGUAGACUAAUCCUCAAUAGUGACUUUAUUUUGAAUUUGGAAAUGACUUUUUAUGUUCCUAGUUUCUCUAGAAACUUAAUUUCAGUUUCAAAACUUGUACCUUUGGGCUAUUAUUUUAACUUUUCAGAUUCAAACUUUUGUUUAUCGUUUAAUUUGAAAUUGUUGGGAGUGGUAUUUUGGUUGAUGGUCUUUUUUGAAUUAAUUUCCAAGAAAAUGCCUAUUAUAAUAAGAUGCAUGUUCAUGAUAACGCUAGUAUGAAACGAUGUGUUUGGUAUAAAACAAUGUGUUGUGAAAAAACGUUCCUCUAUGUUGUGGCAUCGGAGAUUGUAACAUAUCUCCAAAGAAAGAAUGAAACAAUUGGUAAAUGAUGAAAUACUUAGUACUUUAAAUUUUACUAAUUGUGAUACUUGUGUGGAUUGUAUAAAGGGAAGCAGACCAAUAAGACAAAAAAAUGUGCCAAGAAGAGUACAGAAAUAUUAGAAAUUAUAUAUACAGAUAUUUGUAAUACAGAUAUGGACUCGUGUGGUUAGAAAUGCUUCAUCUCUUUCAUAGAUGAUUACUCGCGUUACAUGUAUCUUUAUUUGAUUUUUAAUAAACAUGAAGCAUUAGAUGCCUUUAAGGUGUUUAAGGCGGAAGUAAAGAAACAAUGCGGCAAACAAAUUAAGAUCGUGAGAUUAGAUAGAGGUGGAGACUUCUACGGUAUAUACAUUGAAAAUGGACAAGCACCUGGUCCAUUUGCAAAGUUUCUUCAAGAGCCUUAGAUAGUUGCCAAAUAUACUAUGCCUAUUUCUCUAGACCAAAAUGGUGUAGUGGAAAGAAGAAACCAAACCUUAUUGGACUUGGUACAGAGUAUGCUUAGUGGCUUUAAACUUCAUAAAUCCUUGUGGACUGAAGCACUUAAGACGGCAAUGUAUAUAUUAAACCAAGUUCCAACUAAGGCUACAAGAAAAGAAGUUUGACCUAAGGAUCAUAAGUAGGUAUUUUAUUAGAUAUGCCAUAAGAUCCAAGGGAUAGAGAUUUUAUUGUCUAUCUCACACAACUAGGAUUGUGGAAUCAAGAAAUGCUGAAUUUCUUGAAAAUAACUUGAUUAGUGGGAGUGAUCGUUCGAAGGACUUGGUUCCUAAGAAAUAUUAUACAGACACUCAACCUUCCACCUCAAGUUUAAGGUUGGUUGUUGUUCAUAAUGCCCCCUCAAUUCAACCGACUAUUGAACAACUAAUCGUUGAAGUUCCACAACCUGCCGAUAUUGAUCUAGUAGAUCCAGUUGUUUAACAAUUAUCAGAAACUGUUGAACAACAUGCUCCUCAAGAGAAUGUUAAUGCAACAUUGAAAAGAUCUGCUAGAAUAAGGAAAUCGACAAUUCCUAAUGAUUAUAUUGUGUAUUUUUAAGAUUUUUACUACAAUAUUUGAGUUGAGAAUGAUCCUGAAACGUUGUCAUAAGCUAUGAAUAGUGAUAAAUCCAAUUUGUGAUACAAUGCCAUGAAAGAAAAGAUGAAUUCUAUGGCAUCCAACGAAGUUUGGGAUUUGGUUGAGUUGCCUAAUGGUGCGAAGGCCAUUAGUUGUAAAUGGGUCUUCAAAACUAAGAAAGAUUCAUUGGGUAACAUUGAAAGAUAUAAAGCUAGACUUAUUGCCAAAUGAUUCAUUCAAAAGAAAGGAAUCGAUUACACGGAGACUUUUUCUCUUGUAUAUAAAAAAAGAUUUUCUUCGUAUUGUUUUAGCAUUGGUUGCCCAUUUUGAUAUGGAAUUACAUCAGAUGGAUGUGAAAACAUCAUUCCUCAAUGAAGAACUAGAGGAUGAGGUUUACAUGAAACAACCUAAAGGAUUCUCCUCUAGUAAAUGUGAGCAUUUGGUGUGCAAGCAUAAAAAAUCUAUAUAUGUCUUGAAACAAGCAUCUCGCCAAUGGUUCUUAGGGUUCCAUAAUGUUAUCUCUUCAUUCGGUUUUGUAAAGAAUGUUAUGGAUCAAUGUAUAUACCAAAAGGUCAGUGGGAGCAAAAUUUAUUUCCUUGUGCUAUAUGUGGAUGCUAUUCUACUUUCAACUAAUGAUAAAGGGUUGUUAUAUGAAGUGAAACAAUUUCUAUCUAAGAGUUUUGAUAUGAAGGAUAUGGGUGAAGUAUCUCAUGUCAUUGGCAUUAAGAUCUAUAGAGAUAGACCUCAAAGAAUUUUAGGACUAUCUCAAGAAACCUAUAUCAAGAAGGUUCUAGAGAGAUUUUGGUUAAAAGAUUGUUUACAAAGUAUAGCACCUAUUGUGAAGGAUGACUGGUUCAAUUUGAACCAAUGCCCGAAGAACGAUCUAGAAAGGGAACAAAUGAAUAACAUUCCAUAUGCUUCUGUCGUCGGAAGCUUUAUAUAUGCUCAGGUUUGCACUCAUUCUGACAUCGUUGUUGCUGUGAGAAUGUUGGGAAGAUAUCAGAGUAAUCCAAGUAUGGACCACUGGAAAGCUGCAUUUCUUAGAGGAUCCUACCAAGCUAGAGAAGAAAAGGAGUUUAGAAAGCCAUAGAGAGGUUUUUCACAAAACACUCACUUUACUUCAGGGGACUCUGCCCAACAAAAUACACCCUCCUCGCCUUAUAUAGGCAAUAAGAGGUCACAAGCCAACAAGCAAAGACCAAGCUAAUGAGUCCAGAUACAAACAGAGACACCGAAAACUUCCGGGAGAGAAUUAUUCGCACACUAUGAACAGUGACUGUAGUAUGAACAGUACUUUCCCUAGCCUAGUGCUACAGUAAAAAUGAAUAGUAUUUUCCCUAGCCUAGUGCUACAGUGAAAUUGCACGGACUUCAACGAUCUCGUCCGUCAUGAGCAUUGUAGUCAUAAUUGGAGUCAUCCGAGCUAUGUACUGUUGCUAGGCAAUGUUCAUCAUACUUUUGUUCAAAUGCUUCAAGGUCUUCUAGUGAUAGGAUUUAGUUGAGCUAAUGAGAUGUGGAUGCUGCUUCGUAAGCCCAGUGGGAUGCUUCUUCUUCAGCCCAGUUUGUGUUGUCAUCCUUUGCUGUGUUGGCAAGAAUGCUUGGCUGAGACCAAUUAGAUGGUUGUGCAUAGAAAGAUGUAUCUAUGCUUUGAGACGAGCGUCCUUGUUCAUAGGGAUCCUAGGACAAAGGACCUCCAAAACAUGCAUAGGGGUCCUGGGUGGAUUGGACAGUAUCAUCUGCUCCUGUCAUUUCAUGAUCUUAAGAUAAUGCAGCUUGUCUGUUUUGCCUGAGUGCAUACUUAGCUUUUGGUGCUAAGUUAUAAUGAUUCCACAUAGUGGGUACAUUAUUCCAUACAAUUUCGGGAAUGGUCUUGUUUUCCUGGCACAAGAUUCUCUAAAGUUCUCGGUAUUGGUGUUCACAAGAUCUAACAAAUCAUGGAUAAGAUUUGUGAAUCCGAGCUUCUUUGCUAUCCAAAUGAGGUUUAUAGGAUGUGGUUUCUAUUUCCUGUGGGGCAUUAAUUAUUUCUGAAAAAAAAUGCCAUGGACGUCUAAAAAACAGGAUGGUAUGGACUUCAGGAUUUGGUGUCAUGGUUCUUAGUUCUUUCUUCAAGAGAUGUUUCCAGUGAGUAGGAGGAUCGAACCAGUUGAGAAAGUCCAAAAGAUUUUGAUCACUUUCUCUCUCAAUAUUUUUCCUAAGUAAGAAAAUCCUGGUGAGGUUGGCAACGAAUUGGAAUUUCAAUAGUUAUCAAGUACUUAUUGGUUAAGUACCAUAAUAACGUUUUGAGUUGAUCAGGGAAAUCAUCUUCCUUCCAGAUAAGAGGAUGUAUGAAUAGAUAAUCCGAAUUUAACCCAAAAGGAUAAAGAAUCGAACCUCCAUUAAAUCUGAACAUAUCUGUGUGACAUUGCCACAUAAGGUUCUCCAGGUUCUCAACGAGAGUGUCAUUCUGGAUUUGUUGAAUAAUCUCCUGGGGAUAUUUCCAACUUGGCAAAUCUUUGAUCUUCUCAAUCUUAUAUUUCAUGCCAUGAUUGAGCAUAUGAAAAGUAGGCCUCUUGAUGUACAUGUUGAUUUCAGCUGGUGCUCUUGACCUAGACAGGAAGUCAGCAAGCACAUUCUUUUUUCUAGGAAUAUGUUUGGUUUCAAAAGAGUAUUUUGAAAACCAUUCAACCCAUCAAAGUAGUUGAGAAUUUGGAAUAUGUUUUUGUUUAAACUUGGUCAUCUGAGAAAAAGAUGCCAUGUUUAAUUCUACUAGGAAGUGAUGGCUGAUGAAAUGGAAUUCAAAUUUCUUGAUUCCAUUUUUUACUGCUAAGAUUUCUUUGAAAGUGGAAUGGUAAUGCAUUUCAGCUUGAGAAAAAUUUCCACUUUUGUGAGCACAAAGGUGUCUCUUACCAUCAAUUUCUUCAAACAAGAUAGCUGCCCAGUAUUCAUCACUGGCAUCAGUUUGAAGAAUUCUCUUCCCUGUUGAUGGUAUCUACAAUGGUGGGAGGUUCUGCAUUAUCUCCUUAAGUUCAACGACUACUUUAGUCUGAAUUUUUCCCCAAGGUGGGGGGUUCUUCUUUAGCAUAGAUUGUAAAUGAAUCAGGAGCUUUGCAAUAUUUGGGACAAAAUCUCUAAGAUAAUUGAUGAUCCCAAGAAAUUGCUGAACUUGUUUUGUGGUGAAAUUAUCUUCAAGAAACUUCAAUAAUUCUUGAGCAAUAUGUGGCCCGGGGUAGUACGUAUCUUUGUUGAUGUGCAUACCAAGAAAUUCAAUCUCUGUUUGGGCAAUGUUCAUUUUUCUUUGAGAAAGCAUGAUGCCAUGCUUCUUUACGAUUUCUGCAAACUGAUCAAGGAGUUGACAGUGUGACUGCUCAUCAAAACUGUAGAGCAGGAUGUCAUUGAUAUAUACUGUAGUACUUGAGAGAAUUGGUUGGAAGAUACGACACAUGGCUUUUUGGAAAAGGGAUGGUGCUACCUUUAGGCCAAAAGGAAAAAAAUUUCCACUGGAAGUGCUGGUUCGGAAUACAGAAUCCUGUUUUGGAUAUGUCUUCAGAAUGGAUGCCCAAUUGCCAAAAUCCGGCUUUGAGGUCCAACUUAGAAUAGAUAUGGGCCUUGGUUAGGCUAGUAAAGAGGGAAUCUCUAGAGGGUAAAGGGAAUUUAUCAUCUUGGAGAAAGAGGUUGAGAGGUUGAUAGUUGAUUACCAGUCUCAUUUUUCCUCUGUUUUGCUCAGCACACUUAUUGACAUAGAAGGCUUCGCAAGCCCAUUGAGAAUUGGAGACUUCAAUAAAGCCUUGUUGCAAUAGUUCUGAGCAUUCCCUUUGAGCUAAAGCCAAGUGUCCUAGCUUCAUUCUCAUAUGACUUGCCUUGGUUGGAUUUAUAUCUUCAUUCUUCUUGAAAGGAAGGCGAACAAAGAAUUCUGGAUUUUCUCACAAAGGAUGGGAACACUUUUGAGCGAAUUCCAAAUGGGAUUCCGAACAAGAUUCUAACAAUUUUUGCAUGAUUGGAUCUAAUAGACUCACCUGAAUGGAAAAAAGUCUUUGAAUAUUGACAAACUCAAAGAAUUGGUCUUUAUAUCUAAGAACUUUUCCUAGGAUGAUAUGAAGUUGGGAGAUUUGAGUCAUGAUAUCCCAACCAAUGAUUAAGUCUUUGUUGGGAAGACUAGAUCCAAAGAUUUUUGUGGUUAUAGAACACUGAGGGCAAUAUCGGACAUUUGUGGAGAAAGCGUCUCUUGAGGCAGAGUUGAAAUAUUGGACAUAAGGAGUCCAAUAUUCUUCAGGAAGUACUUUGGUAUCCAAAAUCGAACAGCUUGCCCCGGUAUCAAUGAGGGCAAUAAUAGUGAUAGGUUUAGCAAACUUUGAGGUGAGAAUUUUUAUAGUGAAAUGAGGACAGUGAGUUUGACUUGAGACUAUGUCAAGGCUUGGUUCUGCAUAUGUAGGUGAUAUGUGAAAAAUAUUUUCAGAUUCUGAAUCUGACUCAAUUUCACUGAAAGUGUGAUAACAUGGAAUGACACAAAGAGUUUGUUCAGAUGAUUCUUCAUCAGCAGAGAACAAUGAUUCGAUAUCAUCAUUUUCAAGAUAAAUUCAUGUUUCAUUCUCAAUUUGAUGUAUUGAAUGAUGCUGACAUUUUCUGGCUUGGGGACAGUUUUUGGCAAAAUGUCAUUUCUGAUUGCAGAUGUAGUAUCGAUUUGACUUUUUAUGGCAUGUGCAAUCCUUCCUUUUGCGUAGGUAGCACCAUUUCUUCUUUCUUCGGAAGUGCUUGUGGCCAUGUUUGGAUGAUCUCUUCAUCCAAUACUUCUUGAAGUGCUUCUUUUUUCGGGAAGCUUUUCCACAAGUACCAUCACAGUAUUUUUUGGAACAUUUGAUUUUUAGCUUCUGGUGGGAGCAGGCUGUUUCGAGUUCUCUAUCGUUUGUGAUGUAGGUGCAGACCAUUUGGCACUUUAGGCACAAUUCUUCAAGGCAUAGAUAGAUUUCUUUGUUGUAUUUCUCCUAAAAGAAUAUCAUGUACUCUCCUUUGUCUUCCAAAAAAUGAUCUUUCAACCAUCUGGGAUAAUUCUUUAGGGAUGGAAGUAAGGAAAACAUGCUUUAGAUUUGGAUCAGCUCCAAUCUGAUAAAAAAACUGAAGCAUUUCCGAUAAUGCUUAUCAAGAUGUUUCUUCUGGAGGAAGCAACAUUUUCUUUCAAAAAAUUAUCUUAUUUUCAUUUCUAUGAGGUCAAUGAGUUUUCCCAUAAAGAAAUGAUAUAAGAGAGUAAUGGCAUGGCUAAAAUCUGGUGACAUUAGAAAAUGAAUCUGGUCUUGUUCUGAUACUAAUUUCCACCAAAGUUUGAGGCUUCUUGUGAACCUUGUGACAAAGUUGUAAAGGACAUCAUUCAUAUCAUGGUUGGUGAUGGACUGAGUGUUCAGCCAAAUAUAAAUUCUUCAAGUCUUUCUGGCCAUUUAUGAUAGGGGAUAUCAUCGAUGGUGAAAAACUGCUUUGAUGACAUGGACACAUGGUGUCCCGGAUUAUUCUGAACAAUCUCUGGGUCAGAGUAAUUUGAUUCCAUUUUUUGAUCUGGAGGAUCAGCCAUGAAUAUAGAUGAAGUCACUGGUGCAAUAGGAAGGGAAUCAUCAAGGAUUGAAAAAAAUGAAGAUGAUGAAAAUGAUGUUGAAUCUGAUUCAAUUUCAGAAGUGGUAGGAACAGUUUGUUCAGUUGGAAAUAGAGUUUGAUCAUUUGGAAGGGCAGGAUCUGGCUGUUGGAUAACAGGAACAGGUUGCUCCUGAGUACCCAAAUCCUUUAGAAAAUGGAUUGGAUAACAUCAUAUGAUCUGGCCUUUCUUUUAUGAUGAUCGAACUUGAUUGUGUGGGCAUUUUCUCCUUUCCUUUGUCCUUCUGUAGAUUCUUAAGACGAUUCUGUACCUCUGCCAUAUCUGGUUCUUUUCUAAAAUAAUAUUCCGGAAUGGCAGCAAAGAUGGACGUCUGGGGUGGCAGAGGCAAAUACCCAUACAGGAGUUGCAAAUGGAUCAAAAGAUCUGAACCUUCCUUCUUCAAGGAGUUAGAAUUGUCCUUUGAGUUUUUCUAUUUCCGGUUUUGGGCUCUCCAGAUGAUGAUACCCUAGACGUUGUCCUGAUUCCAAGGCAUUUAGCCUCUUCUGGAACUCAGAAACCAUUUUCUUGGUGGUCUCAUCAUACUUUCGAAGAUCUUGUUGCACAUUUCCAAUCUUGGAAUCAAUUGCUUUGAAAGCAUUGUUUUGUGCUAACAGAGUCUCCGAUUGCCAAUUUAGAACGGCUUCAGCAGCAGGAGUCUUUCUCUAUCUCCCAUGCUCAUCCACAUCAGUAGGCAUAGCUAUCUUAGGAACAUGGCGAAUCUGCCUUGUGGAUCAAUGAAUUCCUCUGAAGCAGGAAACGAGAGUUUAAAACUUUCUCUAACAAGAGGGGGAAAGUCAAUGUAAUGAAACAUGGCAAUGGAGGAUAUGGGUGGUUUUUCUGCUGGAGCUUCAAGUGGGUAGGAGUGCUUCUUGGCCCACUUUAAGAUUGGCUUAUAGAAUGGGGAGAGAGCUUGUUUUUUCUGAGAAGGUGAUGAUGGAGGUGAUUUCGGUGGAUCUGGUGAAACUUGGGGUGUAGUACUAAAAUCUAGUGGUGGAGGUGGUGCAUAAGAAACCAUGAACUGGUAUUUAUCACACUCACCAAGAGUAUCAACGGAGGGAUCUCUGUUUAAGUACCUUUGGUACACCUUAUCUUUUGGCCUUUUCCAUUAAGGUGGAGGUUUGGCAAAAGGAUCUACCUCAUCUGGGGAAUUUGUACAAUAGGAACAUUGGCAGAAAUGAUCCCAAAAACAAUUACCAUAAUUGUCUUUGUAUCCUGUCCAUCACUGUUAAAGUGUCGAACAAGCUUUUUUGGAUCUGGCUCGGAAAUUGAUUCUGGAACGCAUGGUUCAAUCAUGAAUAAGGUCUGGAAGAUAGAAGGACUUUCUUCCUUUUCCUUGCUAAAUUUGAUGGAAACAGUUCCAUCUUUUUUUCGGACGAACUCAGAGUUCGUAGACUGGAAAGGCUUGUUAUGCUGGUGUAGCUUUUCAUAAUUGGUGAUUCAAGUCUCUGGCAGGAGCUUGGCCAACGUAUCCUUCGGGAUCUGCCUAAGAACAUGGAUGUAUGAUGCCUGAUCGUUCUGCAUGGAGAUAAACAAAGCAUCUUCGUUACCAUUGUUGAAGUUUAGAUCAAGAGCAUGGUUCUGUAUGUGAUAAACCAUCUAGUAAUGUAGAGUUGUAGCCAUAGAGUCAGCAGUUUAGGGAGCUCCAGUGAGCUGGACUUGGACUUUUAAGAAAGAGAGUAGCUGAGGGUCUAAAAGAGCAAUGUUAAAGUUUGGAUACAAAGGCACAAAGAUUGUUCCGGCAUUUAGAGUAGUUUGUACAAUACCAAUGCAAGCAUGCUGGUAUUGUAAAAACCUGGUAUUUAACAAUGCAAUUCUUGCCACAAUGGGCAAACCUUUACGACCAUGAAAGGUGAGAGCAAGAUGAACAGCGCCAUAGUGAACAUGAGUAUAUUCCUGUUGAGCCCAUUGUCUGGGGAAUUCUGGAAGGAUCUAGAGAGUAACAAAAUACUCCUUUUCAGUAGCAGGAACGAGGUGUUGGUCGAAUUUGGAGGAUUGGACGUACUCCUUUACUUGCUUUGGGGUUUGGUGAAUAAGCUGGCGAAUGGAGCGGAUAGGUGAAAAUAACGAGUUGGGUUUGGCAAAAGCAGAGUAAGGAUUCAUGAGAGGAAGUUGAGUUUCAAAAAUCAUGGUUUCAUCACUAAGAGAGACUUCGUAAAGAUAAUGUAUCUUAGAGGCAUUGAAAACACGAAAUUUUGAGGGUGUUGAAGAUGAUGGAGAGGGAGCAAGAGAAACUGAUGCUUCGAAGAUUUCUGGUUCUGUAGACAUGAUGUGAACAUAUCUUCUAAGCACUGGAUUCACCUACUAAGCGCAUGGAACAGAUAACAUUACAAACGAAACCGUGGCUCUGAUACCAUGAAUGGACUUAGACUUAAAACUAGGGAAUGAGAGUAAAUUUCCUGCAGGUAUGCAUCCCACAGUGGGCGAACAACUCCCAUUCAAGCAUUUCAAGGACAGCCUUUUAGUAGAAAACCACUCAGCCAUUUAGUUCAGCCUAGAGAUACUCAGAGAUACCAGGACGGAAACAUUUCUAAUCUACCCGAGCUGCAUUUCUUAGAGGAUCCUACCAGGCUGGAGAUACCUUCAAGGUACCAAAGAUUACAUACUUAUGUAUAGACGGACUGACAACCUGAAAGUAAUUAGUUAUUCGGAUACGGAUUUCGCGGGCUGCGUUGAUUCACGAAAAUCAACAUCUUGAUACAUUUUUACAUUAGCUGGUAGAACCGUGUUAUGGAGAAGUGCCAAGCAGACUCUGACUGCUACUUCCACUAUGGAGGCUAAGUUCGUUUCUUGUAUUGAGGCUAUCUUGAUGGUGUAUGGUUGAGCUUAGAAUUGUUGAUUUUAUCUCUAGGCCAUCAAGAAGAUAUUGUGACAAUUCAACUGCAGUUUUCAUGGCUAAAAAUGCCAAAAGUGGUAGUCGAAAUAAGCAUAUUGACAUCAAAUAUUUAGCCAUAAGGGAACUUGUUAAGGAGAAUAAAGUAGUCAUAGAACACAUUAGCACUGAAUUGACGAUAGCCGAUCAUUUAACUAAAGGCAUGUUAUCGAUGAAGUAUAAGGAUCAUGUAACUAGUAUGUGAAUAGCUCCCAUCAUGUGAUUUGUCGUCAUAUGGACAAUUUUUGUUGUAUGAAACUCUUCUUCUGUUGUAAUGUUGAUUCUUAAUUUUUGUGUACACAUUUUGCUAUUUAUGAGAAUAACAUUUAUCCUUAGUUUUGGAAUAAACAUGGGGUUUCAUUAAAAUAUGUUGUCACGUAUAGGCUAACAUUAAAGAAAUAAGAUGCAUUGUGAUACAUAGAAAAUAUUACUCAUUUUUAGAGGACAUGUCGCUAUCAUCCAUGUGUUUUGUUUCUUUUCAUUAAGCAUAAAUUUUUUCGUGGAAUUGGUUGGAUAAUCCGUAUGAUGAAAAUAAUGUAAUCAAGUGGGAGAAUGUUUUUUAUUUUUGUGAUCCCACAUUUUCGGACCCACAUUUUCUCUUUAAAGUGGUGUUUAUUUGAUAAGUAGUUUUUUUACAUUUCGUACAUUUUCGUGACAACUGCCCAUUUGAUAACCGCCUUGAUGGGAGAUGGUAUAUAAAAGGAACAAUCAUUCAUUUCUAACGAGGCAAUCAUAAGGUCUAACACAAACCCUAUCUUUUUUAAUACACCAUCAAUAUAUGUAAGGAAACUGGAUUAGUAGUGUGUACUAAAUAUUUCUUUGAUUUUCAGGAUUUUUCGACGAACAUGAAUAUGAACAAUGGCCAGAGGUUUAUCUAUAAUCAAUCCUGGUUUCGCAUUUGAUUUUUCAUGUCUUAAGCAUAUUGACGAGAUUUUGCCAGCCAAAAUUUUGAGGAGAAAAUCAACAGGCGCACAAGUUUCCUUUUAAACGUGCCCUUACAUCCUUCCGCGCAUUCUGUACUUGCACCGAGUUCUCAGCCGGACAUUCACUGACAUUCAGCUUUUCCAAAGACGUCAAUUUUUCUAGGCCUUCAAUUUGAUGGAUCAUUUCGCAUCGUCUGAUCUCUAAAACUUUCAGCGACUUCAAGUUUGAAAGAUCAGGUGAACUAUCGAGGUAAUCACAGUAGGAAAGAAUCAAACUACUCAGUGAGGUUAACUGGCCAAUCCCAUUCACAUUUCGUAUUUUGCAGUUAGAUAUAUGCAGCCUCUUAAGCGCUUUAAGCCCUUCAAGCUCUUCAAUCUCUUCUAUUGCAGAGGGUGGUCGGCGUGCUUUCGGGUCCCCAUCACUUAGGCACAGCUCCUCCAAUUCCUUUAAAUUUCCAAGAUGGCGUAUCGCUUUCAUCCUUUUAGAACUCACGCGCAGACAUAUUAGAGAAGGGGCAAGCUUCGGCAAUUUUUCAAUUUCAUUGCACUGAAUUAAAUCCAGGGUGUGAAGACCAGAGAUGGUGGAGACUUCAGGGGGUAGGCUAGAUAUACUGGAAUGCCCCAGCGUCAGUGAUCUAAGACGAUGUAGCGCCUCAAUAUCACCGGGAAUGGCCCCCUUCAAACUCGGGCACCACGAAGCGUGUAGUUCUUCGAGCUUGGUUAGAUUCCCAAUCUCCCCAGGAAUCGCUCGAAUGAAAGAAGAGUCCAUUCUCAGCACUCUCAAGCUUUUCAGCUUUCUUAUUGAAUCGGGGAGUUCAGGGAUACUAGUCGCCGAUAUAUCCAACUCCUCUAAUGACCUCAUUUCACCGAUAGAAUAUGGAAGUUUCCCCAAAUAACGGCAAUCCCUCAAUGACAAGCGUCUUAGCUUGAGCAGCUCCCCCAGUGAGCUCGGGAGCUUAGAAAUUUUGGCACCAUCUAAUGAGAGUUCGGAGAGAGCAGCCAGAUAACAAAUCGAACUGGGCAGGUGAGUCAAUGGGAAGCACUUCAAGCCACUGAGAAUUUCGAGUUGCUUCAAAUUGCCUAUGGAGAUGGGGAUCUGCCGUACAGAAGUCCCGUCAAGAAAAAGCUCUUUCAGAGCUGUCGUACAACCUAGUUCCACUGGCAACCCGUUCAAUUGGGAGCAGAACUUCAAAUUCAGGGAAACUAAACGUUUCAAAUUGCCAAUUGAAGGAUCUAGCUUCACCAAAUGAGAACAUCGUUCAAGAAUCAGGAUUUCC
rnacentral:lncRNA from 1 species